rnacentral:lncRNA from 1 species
UCACAGAUAUAGCAUUGCAGCACGAAGCAGAACAUGAAGAACUUGUGAUACGGAGCAGAGACAUAGCAUAUGAAGUUGAAUAUGUUAUCAACUCAUUACCUCAUGUUUGGUAUCUUUCUCUCCGGCUCCCUCAACUCAUUGACAAGAUUCAGCUUAUUAUGAUGGCUGUCAAAGGAAUGAAGAACAAUAUUGAUGUAGCUAGAAUGUCAAUUGUUUCAAAACAUCCACAUGAUCACGUAGAUCCACAGUCAGAAGAUCUCCCAUUUUGGAAGACUUUGUUGUGGGAUUUGACAAUGUAACAACUGAAAUUGUAGAACAACUUGUUCGAGGAACAGACAAGCUACAAAUUAUUUCCAUCUUUGGGAUGCCUGGACUUGGUAAGACGACCUUGGCAAAUAAAUUAUAUAAUCAUCCCUUCGUUUUACAGCAUUUUGACAAGCGUGGCUGGUGUGUUGUUUCUCAAAUGUAUAAUAAGGAAAAUGUUUUGAUUGAAAUUUUGAGCUCAAUGAGUAACAGUAACAGGGACACAUACAUGAAUAUGGACGAAAAAAGCUUGGCUACAAAUCUUUACCAAAACAUAAUAGGAAGCCGAUACUUCAUUGUGAUAGAUGAUAUAUGGGAUAUCAAUGUGUGGAUUGAUUUGAAAAGAUAUUUUCCAGAUGACGGAAAUGGAAGCAGAAUCUUAUUCACUACUCGAAAUAAAGAAGUGGGUUUGAAAGCUUUACCUCGUAGUGUCAUAAAGGAACUUCCUUUUCUGUCAGAAGUUGAAUGUUGGGAAAUAUUACAAGAAAAAGUGUUCCAAGAUAAAAAUUGUCCUCAAGAAUUGCUAGACAUUGGCAAGCAAAUUGCAAAAAACUGUCAUGGCCUACCACUUGCAGUGGUCGUGAUAGCUGGAGUUCUUGCAAACAUGGAGAAGAAAAAACAUUUGUGGGAAAAAGUUGCAAGAAAUUUAAGUUCACAUAACUCCGAAAUACCAGAGAAGUGCAUCCAAAUAUUGCAGCUUAGCUACAACCAUUUACCAAUGCUUUUGAAACCAUGUUUUCUUUACUUCGGAGCAUUCAAAGAAGACAGGAAGAUCCCUGUGCGGAAGUUGAUUUAUCUCUGGGUUGCCGAAGGAUUUAUAAAGAAGGAAGAACAGAAGAACAUAGAGGACGUGGCACGAGAAUAUCUAAUGAAACUAAUUGAUAGGAGCCUAGUACUUGUUGUUGGAAGCACAUAUAAUGGAGAAGUCGAAGCAUGCAAGAUUCAUGAUCUAUUGCGUGAAAUGUGCUUGAAAAUAGCUAAUGAAAAUAACUUUUUGAAGUUGAUCGAACGGUAAGUUCAAUGUUUCUCUUCUUUUCUCUUUCCUUUUCGUCCAUUUUUUAUUUUAGCUUACUAAGAAUGGUUAUUAUAUUUGAUAACCAUAACAAUUAUGUGAUAUGUUGCUUUGUUACCAGUAAUGAUGAUGAUGAACAACGUUUCUUCAGUCAAGUAUCAACGUAUCAGCAGCACCAUCGUCUGAGUAUCAACUGUGCAAAAUCUUCUAGUUCACUACCCGUUGGCCUACACGUACGCUCUCUUCUAUUUGAUUCGGAUUUUUUGAGUGCCAUCAGGUUUAUCUCAUCCAGCUACAAAGUUCUUAGGGUCUUUUGGGGAUGGUCACGGAAUGAUAUUCUAAUAGGACUUGAACAUCUAGUUCACUUGAGGUACUUGGAAAUUUCAUGUAUGCUGCCACCAAUGGAAAACUUCCGCAAAUUAGAAUUUCUUGUUGUGUACAAUCAUGAUGAAAUUGAAAUACCUGAGAUCCUUCUUAAUAUGGUGAGUUUGAGACACAUGGAGUUUAAGGGCGGUGCAUACUUCAGUGAAUCUAGCCGUCAGCUAGCAAGUAACAGUAAGAGUUUCCAAAUAAAUAACCUACAAAGUAUUUUUGUACUCUCAAUUUAUGAUGAAAUGGAUGAGAAAAUUUUGAGCAGUUCACCCAACCUUUGCAGACUGGAAGGCAAGGUUGGAAAGUCAUUAAAUCUCUCCUUAGGCUUCCUUAAAAAGCUCGAAUCACUGCUGCUAUGUAAUCCACGUUUUUAUCCUUCCAGUUUGAUCAGUUUGCCCUUGAAUUUGAAAGAAUUGGGACUGAAUGCUUUAGUCGUGUCUCAAAAAGAAAUGGAGAUAAUUGGAGGAUUGCCUUACCUCGAGGUUCUCAAAUUAGUAGACGUUGCCUUUGAGGGAGAACAAUGGGACACGAGUGAAGUUGAAUUCCCACGACUUGAAUACUUGAAACUUGAAGAUAUAAAAAUUGCAGAAUGGAAUGCCUCAAGUGAUAAUUUCCCGAGACUUCAACAAUUGUUGGAAAAAAUAAUUAGUUGCAGUAGUAAUCAGAACAAUAUAAUGCAGAAAUAUAAAACUUAUCGUCCGAUCGAGUCUCGUGACAGCACGAUGUCCUAAAGUGAAAUUGCCCGUCAAUAAUUGCUGCGACCUCCGUGGACAAUCACUCCCAGGAUACAACGAUCGUAAACCAUUUGUGCAGCAAUCACGAAUGGUUUUUCUAGAACUCUCAAUUAUACUCCAGAAUAGAUAUAAAAACCCGAAUAUAAGAAAUUCACAAUAUGAAAAGAGUGAUUGAUGCAAGAUGAUUUUUUUAUUUGCUUUGUGUGUGUCUUUUCCCAAAACGAGAUAUGGGUCUAUAUAGGCAAGAUGGUAAUAACAGUUUUCACCAUGUUAAUGCAGAAUUUUAAUGACUGAGUAGUGGGUCUUUUAAUGGCAGUUAGUGAGUUGUUACAAAAACAAACAGUCAUAAAAUAUUGGCUAGUUUUACCCAUUAUAUAAUAAAAAAAAAGAAAAAAAAUAUUUAUUUUAGUCAAGGAAGUCCAAGAGCCCAAGGCCCCAAGGCCCCAAAUCAAGACAUUUUAAUAUUUGCGUGGAGAGUGAUUCGAACCCCUGACGUCCCACACAAAUGUCACAUUUCCCACCACUUUGACACUUUAUCUAAUUUGAUUAUUUCUUUCACAUUUUAUAUUUAUAUCAUAAAUAUAUAACAACAAUUAGUAUUGAAACAUUGCCGGAAUCUUGAGAUGAUCCCUUCCAGUUUAGGUGAUAUUCCAACGUUACGGAAGAUUCGGGUAUAUAUGUGUGCAAAAACUACCAACGAAUCAGCUAGGAAAAUUAAGGACGAACAAGAAAAGAUGGGCAACGAAGAGCUUCAAGUCAUAAUCACUGACAAAUAUUGGUCAGCGAGGAAAUUUAGAAGGUAAUAAUGAGAGAGAUUCUCUUUUUUAAACCUCUUUCGCAUUCUCAGCUUGGUCCUAGGUAUUUUAUGUUAUAUUAAAAUGAAACAUAAAAAACAAAUCCUACUGUAAUUUUUGCUGGCAUUGAAAUUAGGGAAAAUUUCAUAACUAAGAAAUUAAUUAUGGCACAUUUCAAAAACAAGAAAACAAGUUUCAAAUUUCCAAAAUCAGAUUUUUAUUAAAAAUUAUUUAUAAUUUAAUUAGUUAAUUAAUUAUUUUAUUAAUUAAAUAUAUUUAGGUCACAGAUCUAUACAAUUUGGUCACAAAUUAACAAUAUAAUUAGUCACUUAUUAUUUUUUGGUCACAAAUCAAAAAUUUUAUGUCACAAAAUUUUUGAAAAUUUUUUUACGAUCACUUUUCAAAAAUUUUGUAAGUCACGGUUUGUUUAUUGGUCACAAAUCCAAAAAUAAUUAGUCACGGAUUAAUUUUUAGUCACGACUUAUCAUAUUAUUGGUCACAACUUAUUUUUCAGUCACAAGUUAAAAAUUUUAUAAGUCACAUAUUAUUUUUAGAUCACGAAUCAAAAAUUUUAUAGGUCACAGAUUAAUUUUUCGGUCACAACUCAAUAAAUUAUAAGUCACAAACACAAAUUUUAUAGGUCACAUAUUAUUUUUCGAUCACGAAUCAAAAAUUUUAUAGGUCACGAAAUCAAAAUUGUUAUUAGUCACAUCUAAUUUGUCGGCCACAAAUCAAAAAUUUCUUAUGUCACAAUUCAUUGAUUAGUCACAAAAUCAAAAUUUUAAUUGGUCACAAUUCAUUUGUCAGUCACAAAUUAUAUCAAAAUAAUUGGUCACAAUUCAUUUGUCAGUCACAAAUUAUAUCAAAAUAAUUGGUCACAAUUAAUUUUAUAGUCACAAAUUAAUAAAUUACAAGUCACAAACCAAUUUAUUGGUCACAAAUAACCAAAAAAUUGGUCACAAAUACCCCGUCCAAUGCAAGUCACAAAUCGAGAGUCACAGGCGCAGUCACCAUCACCACCGCCACGAUCCAAUUAUUAGUCACAAAUCAACCAAACCGCCACGAUCACCGACACGACCACCACAAUCACCGCCACGACCAACUGUGACACCCAAAUUGUGAGUCACAAAUUGAAAGUCACAGUCACAAUUUUCAGGUCACGAGUCCAAUUAUGUGUCACAAAAUCAACCAGCAGUCACGACCACCGCCAAUCCACCACAACCACCUCGUCACCAAAAAAUCGUGCAUAUCACCACCAUCGGCCCACUAUUGUCAAACUCUGUCAAUAACAAAAACAUCCCCAUAUCCACCACCAUUUUCAUUACAAAAAACUACCACAAAAAAAGGACCAGCAACACCACCGGAUCCGCCUUUGCCAAAGUUCAGAGCCACCAUCUCAAUCACACAACCACCACCAUACCAACCAAAAAAUUCCAAACCCACGAAAACAUCCCCAUAUCCACCACCAUCACCAUUUUCAAUACAAAAACCACCACAGAAAAAAGGACCAGCAACACCACCGGAUCCGCCUUUGAAAAAGUUCAGAGCCACCAUCUCAAUCACACAACCACCACCAUACCAACCAAAAAAUUCCAAACCCGAUUCAGUCGUCGCCGCCACUGCAUCUCUACCCGUCGCCUUAUGCGUUGCUCAUGACGACGACGAGAAAGGUGAGAGAGACAGAAUGUGUUUGGGGGAUCUGCAGCCUCGCGUCACCAUCACCUAGAUUAAAUCGAAAAAUUAAAACGAGGCGGCACAGACCACAGCCUCGUCGAUUCUAUCUACUCCGUCCACAUCGGGGCGGCACCGCGCCUCAUUGCUCGCAGCUCCGCCAUCUACAGUAAGAAAUGCGACGCUGUGCUGCACCAAUUCGACAACAGGAGCAUCACGUUGCCGCCGUCGACGAUGGAGGGAGGCGCCGUUGCGGGGAGAAAUGUAGAGAGGGAUGGUUGUGGGAGAAAUGUAGGGUAGGGAGGCUUUGGUUGUUGGGAGAUAGGAUUAGGGUUUGUGAUUAAAAAUAUUUAUUUCAUAAAAAUAUUAAUUAGAAUAAAAUUUCUGACUAUUGAAAUGUCAAACCUCUGCCCUGAUUUUAGAAUUGAUGAUUUUAAUGAUAGGGUUUCGUGUAAUUUCCACUUGAAAUUAAGCCACUGUUUGGUAUGAAUUAAAUUAAGAUUUUUAGUAUUUGGGACCAAACUGGGGCUAAGUUGAUUCUAUUUUAUGAGCUUGUUGAUGUUAUUCUAGGAAUUACUAAACCAUAAGCUUCUAUGUUUGGACAUUGAUCUAUAUUAUUUCUGCAUUUCACAUUUUUUUUACCGUAAAAUCGAUUUUACAUAAAAUCCCAAUGGUCACAAUUUCACUUCUAGUUUGAUUUAGUAGUCGGAAUGAUUUGAUUGUUUAGCCCAAGUCCUCAGCUAAUUGCAUGGGAGGUCCUUCAACUUCUAAACUUGUUAUCUUGGUCCUUGAUUCUAGAUUCCAUCCAACUUCCAUUCUUCUCGAUCAAAUAUCGUCCCUUUUUAUUGUUUCCUAUUCAAUACUGGUUUUUCUCCUAAAAUAAUAAUCAAAUACACAAAAUUAAGUAUAUGCUCAUAAAAGUAUUUCCAAACCCCCUCUUUUGAUUCCUUGGAUAAGUAUAAAAUCACACUUAUCGUAGAUAUGCAAUUUCAAGAGUCGAGUGAUUUUUUCAGGGGUAAAUAGUGAUUUAAUCAUUUGUAUUGCACGUUUGUGUUCAGACAAUUUACUAAAGGACAAGUGAAUUCAAUUGUGUGAGUAAUAUGUUAAAGAUUUUAAACCAAUAGAGAUCUUGGCAUUGAUGAUCAAAUUUAGACAUGUAUUAUUGAUAUGCACACUCUAGAGAUUUUAAUAGGGUUCGAAGACCUUAAUAAUCUUGCAGAAAAAUUUGUUCUGUCUUAAAAAGGCGAACCCAUUACUUUACAGACUUGUAAUAUUGGUGUUAAUUAUUUCAGAUGCUAGAGGUGGUACGUUCUUGGCAAACAAGAUGAUCAAGAAUCGAUUGCAUAAUUGGAAGCUAGAUCAAUGGUUGAACGACACUUUGGUGGCGUAUAUUAGUACGAUGUAUUUGAUGAUAUUGAUAACGAUAAUUAUACAAUGUUUUCAAAGUAUGAAAACUUGUAGGCUACAAUUGUAGUGAUCUAUUGGCUAUUUUUAAUUAAUACGUUGUUUUAGAAAAAUUAUAUUUUAAUUUUUAAUCCUACAAUGAAAAAUGUGAGGCUUCGCAAUCAUAUUAGGCUUGACAAAACCAAUUAUCUUCAGUGGGAAAACCAAUUUCUGAAUGUCGUCAUGGCUAGUGGAUUAGAAGGUUUUAUAGAUGGUACAUCUACUUUUCCAUCAAAGUUUGUUGUACAGCUGCUCAUUGGGUCGAAAUUUUUAUUAACUUUUCAGUAUUAUGACUUCAAGCUUUUCAUUUCCCAUCUCUUCUUGUUCUUCCUGAAUUUGCUUAUCAGAUUCUUAAAUUGCUUGCUCAGACCCUCUACCAGAGAAGUUUCCCAAUCAAGAAUUUGCUCAUAAGAUUGUUGGUUAAGGGAUUCCUUCAAAUAAAAUAGAAGAAGAUGGUAAAUUUUCAUGUAUAUCAAAUUGAAACAGCAAUCUCUACAUAUAGAUGUUAGUACGCCUUUCCAAGGCGUUACAAUAUUUCUAGAACCAGCCUAGUUGAUACGAAACAAAUACAAAAAGAAAAUUUUAUUAUUCGAAAAUCUUCCACCCUGUCUAUCCCCAAAGUUCAAAACAGGAGGGGGUGUUUCUCCUUCUUCAGUAUUAUUAUGUAAUUGACUCUUCUUUUAAAGAGUUGAUUGAAUUGAUUGACUUAGACGGAUAAUAAUAUACAUGGGGGCGCCAACAAUAAAUGAUUAUGUAAUUAUACUUGCUAAUGCAAAAUAAGUAUAACUUCAUUGACAUAAACGAUAGGCAUCAUUUUUUACUGCUAUGCCAUCGAUUUCCAAGUGACAAACUAGACUAAGAGCAUUUAAACAUCUGAAUUCUUGAACACGCCAUUCUUUCAAAAGAUUUUCAAUGUGUCAAAUUUGAAUAAGGUUCCUUACUAUUCAUCAAAUUAAACUAUUGGCUCUAUCACAUUUAUCGACCUUUAGUUCAUUCUUCUGGAUGUACUCCUUAAGGGUUAUCUAACAUAUUAGGCCAAUAUUGUAGAUUACAUACUUGUCCAUGUAAAUUGAUUUAUCAAAUGAUCUUGUAAUUGUCCACCCUCAACUCCUCAAGUAAUUUGUCUUGAAUGUCCUAUAUUUCAAAAGCGUUAAAGCGUCCCUUGUGGUAUCCAGGUUCGAACAAGUAGCCAUGGACGUGUCUUCGAUUUGACAUUGAAGUACCAAGAAAUGAAAUUAAAUUGCUUACAAACUAAUUAACUCACGUCUACUCUUCUACAAUAUAAAGAUAGCUUACUUGAGCUUGGUAUUUUUCGCAACAUAUUCCAACUAAUCCAAUUUUGAAGUCAAAAAAACUGCAAAAUUGUCUAUCAACUCAAGUACAUAUUUUCUUUGAUUAAAUGUAUGCUUUAGGAAAAAAAUAAAUUGUCACGAGUUGUGUUAUCUAAUCAUACCACACUUGCCACGAUGAAAUCAAAACUUAUCGCGACCAAACUACUGUUAUACGCAACAUCAUGCACAUAAGAUCAUGAAUUUUAUACACAAAUCUUUCAGAAGUCUGCAGCUUCGAUUUUCAAACCAUAUCUGGAGGAAGCAUGAUCCACGUCUUGAAAACAUAUUAAGUGCUUUCAAAAUUGCUUUGAGCAAACCUAUCAAACGAAAUAACACGCAAUCUAAUAAAUGUUUUCUUGAUAUGAUCUGGAACCUGAGAUGUUAACCGGCAUAAUACCUUAGACAAUUGAGACAUAAAAACUAUUGUUUCGAAAGCCAGUGUCACAAGAUGGAAGUACUCUUGACCUCCUAGCUAGACAGAGGAUCAGGAUUCGUCUUCGUCCUUAUCUUCGUCCUCGUCUUCAACUUCAACUUCAUCUUCAAAAUCUACAUAAUCGACCUUUGCAACAGGAGAUGCUCACCAAAACUUGUUCAACUGUUUCAGAAUCUGAAGUCCUUUGUCAAUGACAGUGUUGAAAAUUGACCAGAUCACCAUUCUUUUCAGCUUCGGCGAUUUUUCUAUCAAAAGCUUAGUGACUGCCAUCUCAGCAACUGUGCCUAAAAUAAAAGCAGCUUCACUUUUUGAAGUCGAUUUGAAGUUACAUCUGCGUAGUCUUGCACUUACAUAAAAUCUAGAAUAGGACUAGCAUCAGCAUUUGCACUCUCACAAAUCUAGACAAUAAGGCAAGAUAUCACUCAGCUUAAACUUUUGUUUUAAAAUGGAGAAUUGAAGAUGUAAAUUGUAAUGGUCAUAUCCAUCACUUACCUCGAAUCUCAGUUCCUAAAGGUUGGGGGCGCUGCUGAUCAAACACAAAACACAAGAGAGUUCAUCCAAUAAAUUAAAAAAUAUAUAAAAUAACCUCUGAUCAAGCACAGAACACAAGAGAGUUCAUCCAAUAAACUAAAAAAUAUAUAAAAUAACCUCAGAACUUUAAGGUGGAUUAAAGUAGCUGGAAGCCUUUCUUGGACUUGACCUGCAGCCAAAAUCUUGAAAGCAGUGGUAAAAGCAUGAUCUAAUGUAGUUAACUUGACGAUUACAAGGGAUUGUAUUUAUAAUCAAAAAUACCUUAAUGACAGUAUAGUUCAAGUACACUUUCUGAAGGCCAGGCAGAGAAUAAAAAAAUGAAUGAAGUUACAUUUCCCAUCUUCCAAAAUAUUGUCAACCACCCAAUCAUUAUGUGAAGCAACCAAAAUUAUUGCAAGAAGAGUGAAUUUCUUAAAACAAAACAAUGAUGUAGGGAAACAUGUCAAUUCAAAGUGUUUUAGCAUAGGAGCAUCAAUUUCUAAGUAGUCAAAUUUGUUUGAAACAUUCAGCAACAGUUUCUCCAGUAAUGGGCAGCUAGAUAUCAAACUUCCUAAUACAUACAUCAUAAUCAAUUGUCACGUCAAGCAAUUCCAGCCAAAUCAUCCUAUUAAAUCCUUCAAAGCUUGGUGGAGGUGGAUUGAUCAAACAAGACAACAGCUUCAAAUGUUUCAAAUGUAAACACAUAAAUAGUGAAGAAGGCAAUGUGUACAGUUCUCCGCUCUUGAUUUUAAAGGUGAAUUCUUCAACACUGUUCUUCCAUAAGAUAUGUAUCAAGUCGUCAAUUUCUGAGCAAUUUUAAGUUUCAGAAUAACGAAGCUCAAUUUUGUUAUGGGUCCUUUACGAAGCAAAAGAACCUUGUAAAGGAUCAACAAGAACUUCAUUCUAGCUGAUUCUAGGUUUCCCUCAUAUUCUUGCCAUAGCGUCUCAUCAAAUCUCAGUUGGGGUAGUUUGACCCAUUUAUACCUCCAUUGUUUUGAAUACUUGUCUUUGCAGCAUCAUGUAAAGUCAAAUGCAUUAGAAUGCUAUCAGCUACAUUGUCAGUAAGGUUGCUUAUCCUAUCAACAGGUUGGAACUGGGUAAUAUCCAUUCUGCAGUGUUAUUGAAACGACAACCCUUUAAUGACACCUCACAAGUAAUAAAUAUAUAAAAAUUACCUUAGAAGUAAUAAGCAUGCACACAGUAGAUAUUAAAGAUCCAACAUGAAGGUUCCCCAUUUUCUUGCAUUAUUUUAAUAAUCCUACGCAAAAGUUUUAUCAUUUGUAUUUUCCUUAUUUUAUAUCCCAAAAUUUGAAAAAUUGGGGAUUAUAGUUUCUCAAGCAUGGAGACACUUGCCCUCAUGCGUUAGAAAUUAAAAAAUUAAAAAAUAUUGGACAACAUGUGGUGUGUUGAACACAUCUGCCUCAAGUCUCGGAAAUUUAAAAAUGAUAUAUAAAAGAAUAUACGCCAAGUGACAUAUUGGUAGUAGAAUGAGUGUCAUCCUUCAUAGCUGGUUAAAUUACCGAAACAUUCAUAUGUUACCCACCAGGAAAAUAGAGACAGGUUUCACAAUUGAAAUUUACAUUUGUACAUGCCCUCGACAAAGUGGUUGUUAAGGGAUAUAAACCCACAUCGAAUAAAGAUAAAAAUAUAGAUCAACUUAUAAGAUUUUGCGCUACUCCUGUUUAUAAGGUUGACCUUUUAAGAUGGAAUUCCCAAUCUUAACAUAUCGAAGACAUUAAGCUCUAUCAAACAAUUCGAUCCGAUUAAGAAUAAAAAAAAAAUGAGCAUACGGAUACCAAGAUUGGUUUGCUCAAAAGAGCCACAAUCUUGCGGUGGGCUUGUUAAGGAAUAUAAUCUCAUAUCGAAUAAAGAUGUAAACUUGGACUAAUUUAUAAGUUUUGGACUACUUCUCUUAACAAAGUUAACAUUUCAAGAUGGACCCAAGUCUUAAAAUGGUAUGUUAAGGGAUAUAAUCCUACAUCAAAUAAAGAUGGGAACAUAGACCAACUUAUAAGGCUCUGGACUACUCCUCUUAACAAGAUUGACCUUUUAAGAUGGACAUAAAUCUUAACAUGGUAUUAAAGCUCAUUAAGCUCCAACGAGCGAUUCGAUCCGAUUAAAACUAAAAAAUGAGUACACGAAUUUCAUGAUUGGUUUACUCAAACGAGCUAUCAUUUUGCGGGGGGUAUGUUAAGAAAUAUAAUCACAUAUAAAAUAAAGAUGAAAAUAUAGACCAACUUAUAAGGUCUUGGAUCACUCCUCUUAACAAGGUUGACCUUUUAAGAAGAAACCCAAAAUCUAAACAGUGGCAACAAAAUAUUCAUGUAGUCAAUCCCAAAUUUAUUGGGAUUAAAGUUUAGUUUGUAGUCAUAGAUGCAAAUCUAACAUAAAAAUGUGUACUGCUCUUCACAUAGUAUGCUUGAUGAUGCAGUAGUGCCUACCUGUUAUAAUUCGAUGGUUAAACUAGUUGUGAAUCCUGAUGACAGAAAGUGUGCUAGGAUAAUAGUUUGUAGAGUGUUCUAAAAAAAAAUUCUCUCUUGUAUAUGACCUAGGCGCCACUUUAUAGGUAGAGACUACUUAUGCAGAUGGUGUGUUUCUUCAUUUUAAUAAACCCGUUGCUCGAGUUUUCUCGAAAUUGAGUCUACCGUAAAAUAGGUGAUCGAAUGGAUUGACUCAGUCAGAGAAUUGAUUUAGAUAAGGAAAGAGUCUGGUCGAAUAUCUAUGUCCAGUCUGACCAUAAGUUAAGAAACAAAAAAGAAAAUCAAAAUACCGUCUAUAGCUACAAUGUAACUGCUCAGAAAAAUCUAUUGUUUGAAAAUUAGAAAAGCAAAAUAUCAAGGAAAGUUAAACUUAACAAACUGACUAAUUGCUAAACUAAUUCUAUUUACAGUAGCCUACAGAGUUGAGGGUCAUUUUUAGGAUUUUUCUUCCAUCCUCAUCAUCACCAAAGAAGUCAAUCUUUAUAUAAUGUAUGUAUCAAUAGACUAUGCAUUUUCCAUUCAACCCCACCCCAUUAAAAGAAAGAAGGCAUCUUCUGGUAGUAUACACUACUUCUGAAUCCUCUUUUAUCCUGUCAUAAUACUAAAGAUUUCACUCAUAAAUAAAACACUACACAUUUCUACAAAUAUUUCAUAUAAAAAGUUAAUGGGAGGGACCGUACAAAAACUGUUUCAAUUUAAGAAAAUAGAAUCGUACCUGUAAUGGAGAGAGUGAUGGCACCGCGGCGGAGAGGGUUUUGGGUUGCAAUCUCAAAGGAAAUUAACGCGCAAAGGGGAGCUGAACCUUCAAUGGUGGAUUAAAACACUUGGGUCUAACUUAAAAGUUGCUGACAUUUUUUGCUAACUGCUAAACUUGAUUAAAAUUUUGGGAUGUACUCAGAUUGAGAUCGUAAUGAAUUUUAAAAGUCAUUCUAAAUUUAGAUCCUUGUUUGAGCCCUAUUUUUGCCAAGAAAAUACAUUUUUAAAUAGUAUAAUGAUGUGAAAUGUAUGGUUAAAAAAUAAGGAAAAGUUUUAGAUUUUCGUGUAAUAUUAUUUUAUUGAAGAAUGUGUGGUUGAAAUGAUGUCAAAAUAUAGUUUAAGAAUGUAUUUUGUCAAAAAAAUGGGGCUCAAACAAGGGCUAGGUAUCUUCAAUUGAGAUUUUAUUGGAUUUUAAUUAAAUUCAUUAAAAUUUAGGUGUCCCCAAUUGAAAUUUUAAUGAAAUUCUUAAAAAUUUAGAUAUCCUCAAUAAUUAGUGGAUUUAUAAAGAUUUCAUUGAUAGAAGGAUUUUAGAAGAUUUGGAUGGAUUUCAAGCUUAAAAAUACAUAUAAGUAAAUCUUUUGAAAUUUCACCAUAUUUAAUUAGAUUUUUUUUUUUUUGAAAUUUGUAAGAAUCUAUUUAAAUCCACCAAAGUCAUUAGAAUUUAUAAUCAUUUAAAAUUCAUUAAAAUCUUAGUUGAGAACACCUCCGUUAAUUUUAAAUUUUAAAUAACUUCAUUUUGAAAUAUAACUAAAGACCUUGUUUAGUAGGGAUUAAAAUCAGUUUUUUAGUAAAUUUUGAUAAAAGUCAUUGAAAUGUAGCUAAAAAGUUGUAGAUCCCUUAAAAUGUUUGAUUAAAAAUAGUUAUUCACUUUGACUCAAAUAAAAAUCUAAAUUUUAAUUUGUAUCAAACAAGUUUUUAAAUAAUUAAUUACUUUUUUCUUAAUUAAAAGCAUUUAGCCCCUGGUUGGUGGGUAUUAAAAUCGAAUUUUGAGUAGGUUUUAAUAAAAGUUAACGAAAUGUAUGGUUCAAAAGUUGUGGGUCCCUUAAAAUUAAUUUUUGGUUAAAAUUAGUUAUUAACUUUGAUUUGUAUUAAAAUCUGAAUUUAUGUAUAAAAUAGGGGCUCAGUAUAAAAGUAACUUUUAUUUUACUAUAAACACAACAUGUUUGCUAGUGAGAAUGAAAAGAAAAAAGAAUAACAUACUUGGCUGAGUUUAAAAAAAACAUAAAAGUAUCUAAGAUUUACAAAACACGUCAUCUUAUCAACGUUUUAAAAUCGGACUGACCCCAAUCCGUUCAACCGCAAGAAUCGAGAAUCGAGUCCAAAACCAAAACCGAUCCAGUUAGGCUUAUAAAACCUCUAAUUAAAAAUCCAUCCCAAAACUAGUUAAACCGCAAAAAUCACUAGUUCGAUUCUGAUUCAACCUUUUGAUGCUUGACUCUCUUUUUCAAGUAAUAAGUCGGGUCGAUUCUUAAAACAUUGCAUAUUACUGAUUUGAUAUCUUUAUUAUUCAUUUUAUUUUGAUUUUCAAAUUCGCUAUAGACUUGUAUGAAAAUAGGAUUUACUUUAUUGAACUCCUCGACAAAAUCAUACCAAAUGGGGGUUGAAACAUAGCUUCUUUUGAUUAUUCGUAAGCGCCAAUUAGCUAAAAAAUUACAUUAAUAAUUUCUACUCUUGCCCUAGCUCGUCCAAAAGCUAGAUUCAUAUCUAUAUUAGUAAAAAAUAUAUUUUAAAACUAUAAAUAAAUAAUUUUUAUUAAUCAUUUUUUUCUAAUUCACUGUAGACUUGUAUGAAAAUAGGAUUUACUUUAUUGAACUCCUCGACGAAAUCAUACCAAAUGGGGGCAGAAACGUAGCUUCUUUUGAUUAUUCGUAAGCACCAGCUAGUUAAAAAAUCACAUUAAUAUUCUCUACUCUUGUCCUAGCUCGUUCAAAAGCUAGAUUCAAAUCUAUAUUAGUAAAAAAAAUAUUUUAAAACAAUAACUAAAUAAUUUUUUUUUAUUAGUUUUAUAAAUAAAUUAUGUUAUUUAUUUGAACAAUAAAAUGAGAAUUACUUUAGAUCAAGUAAAUGAUUUUAGGACAUGUUUAAAAAUAAAAAAUGACUACAAAAUAAUUAUACAUGUGAAUAUCACACUUAUUUUUUGCAUAGUUAACAAGCUUUUGUUGAUUAUUAUAUUCAAUUCUCUAUUUUUUUAGAGUGAAUUAUUCGAUUCUAUUCUCAGUUGAUUUGUGCAAUAUUUUCGUGUUAUUGGGCAAACAUUUGAAUUUUGACAAAUUUAUGAUAUAGAGUGAAAGAGGCAAAAAGAGGACUAGCUUUUGAUGGUUUAAGUUUCACUGUGACAUUUUGAUAUUGAAAUUGAAUAUAAAUUGAGUCUUUUUUUUUUUUUUUUUUUUUAAAGGGGGGAAGGGGGGGUUCCCAAGUAUGCAAAAUUAUGGUUAAAUUCCUGGAAAUUAAAUUCCCACACAUAGCUCUGCUCCCUUAAUCUUGAAUGAAAAUUUGGAAGUCUGGGGACACUUAAUUUUGUGGAAAUUUUGAUGAGAAAAUCGGACGGGAGCAAGACAAACAACCUUGGGCUCCCAUUAAAUUUUCAUUAUUUGAGAGAGAUAGAGAGAGAGAGAGAGAGAGAGUUAUUAUUAUUAUUUUUUCUCUUUGUUAGUUUAAUCCAAUAAAAAAUUUGUUCCCUUACACUACCCCUUAUUAUAUUCAUAUUUUUAUCAACUUGUGAAUGGUUUGUGAGCUUGGAAUAAAAAUAAGAUAAUUUGUCAAUUGUUGUAUUAAAAAUCAUAAAUCCAGUAGAUGGUAAAAAUAUGCUUUUAAAAUUUGUGUGGGUCUUGUAAUUGAAUUUCUUUGGGUCCUAACGCACUUUAAAUUGUUGAAACUUAUCAAGUGAUGUGGUCGUUUCACACAUUAAAGUAGGUUUAAUUUUUCUUGAAAGAGAGAUCAUCAAGUAAAUUUGAGAAAUUUGACUGUCAGCAUAUGUGAAAUUUGUCAAAGUGUAAUAGUUAAUGUUAAAAAAAUGUUUGAAUCGGUAGAUUAUGAGGAUAGCCAAUCUAAUUGGGAAGUCUCGGCUCACUCAUUACUAUCGCUAACAUCCUUACGCAAAAAUAGAACUGUAAAAUUAUAAAGUAAAUAACUUUUUUAUUUUACGAGAAUUAUUAAGAAAAUAAGUUAUUAAUUUUAACAAUAAAUUAGCACAUGUUUAAAAGAAAAACAAAUAUAAGGUUACGGAUUUGAAAAUAUAUUUUUUAAAUUGAAAAUUUAAUCCACAACAAAAUCAUAGAAACACUACGUGUAAAUGAUCAAGAUGUCCAUUAACAUGCUCCUUUUAUGGUGAAUUUCAAUGUGUAUAUUGUGAGUAUGUCUAGACAUAAGAUACCUUAGCUAAAAAGUUGAUAAAAAUUUAAGUUUGAAAAGUCAACAAUUAACUUUAAUCACACAUUUCUUAGGAUCUUCAAUUUUUAUCAACUUUUCUAUCACACAUUUAUCGACUUUAUUAAAAUUUACUAAAAAUAUAAUUUUUAGCUAAAUCAAAUGGGGGCUAAUUCGUAUGUAGUAACAUGCAAUCCAAUGCGAACACUAGAAGUCAAUCUAUGAAUUUUCGAAGCUAUUAUACCUUUGAUUUUACCCCAAUACAAGGAAUCCACAUAAAAUCUUAAACUCAACCAAACAGGAGCUAAUUUGUAUCCAAUAGCAUGCAAUCCAACGCAAACAUUAGAAGUCACUAUAUGAAAUUUAAGAACUAUAUACCUUUAAUUUUACCCAAUACCAGAAGUAAAGCAUUCGUCCACGGCUAGCAACAAUUAAGCCCUUGUUUGAGCCACAUUUUGGGGGGAAAUCUAUUUUGGAAUAGUUUAUUUUUAGAGAAUGUGUGAUUAAAAAAUAAAAAAUAAAAGUUUUCGAUUUACGUGUAAAAUUAUUUUAUUGAAUAAUGUGUGUUUGAAAAUAAAUUUUGAAAAAAAAAUGAGUUUUUGAUAAAAUGGGGCUCAAACAAGGACUAUGUGCUUCACCAUUGCAUUGUGUCUACUUGCUUUUAUAUUGAUCUAUCCAACGAAGUAAGGCAUUAGCUCAAGAAGACUUUUCUUAGCCCCCGUUUGUUUUUCAUUUUUGGAAGAAUGAGAAUGAAAACUAUAGGCGUUAUGGGUUCCACACAAGAGAUAGAAAUUCAAAUUCGAUGGCUUGAUGUGAUGGAUAACGAUCGUAUUUUUCAUUUUAAUGAUGAAAAAAUGGAAACCAAACAGGGGCUUUAGACAGUUUGAAAUCUGAGAUAUAGCUCGCAUAAUAUUAUGCGCCAUUCAGAUAAAAGAGAGAGGGGAGGGGGAUUUUCUAGUCCCAAGAAGCCCACGUCAUAAGAUUUCAAGAACUCUUGACCUCCUUGAGCUAGUAGCUGAGCCAAUAUUAAGCUAAACUACUAAAGUUCAUUUUCAUCCAAAGCUUUAAAAAUGACAUUUGCAUUUGGUGAAGGACUAAUCGAACAAUUCCAGUGUAAUUAGUAUCAAUGAUGACAUCAAGCAAUUCCAGUGUAAUCAGCCUAUUAAAACCUUUGAAGCUUGGUGGAGGACUAAUCAAACAAGAAGAAAGUUUCAAAUGUUUCAAUAGUGAACACAUAAACAGUGAAGAAGGCAAUUUGCACCUUCAUUUUCAAAAUGAAUUCUUUAACACCUUUCUUCCAUAAGAUAUAUAUCAAGUGUUCAAUUUCAGAACCACCUCUGAGUUUUGGAAUGUAGAGAAUGAAGUCAGCAAAACUGAAUUCAAGGCUGAAGAUCAGAACCAAAAUUACAGCAACAGAUUUGGUGAAAUUAUAGCAGCAAAUCAGGAGCCUAAUCACAGCGGCAAAUUUGAUGAAAUACCAGCAGAUCAGGAGCUUAAUCACAGCAGUAGAUUUGAUGCAAUCUCAACAAAUCAGGAACGUAACAGAUGAGGAAGAUUCGAUCCUGCCAUUAUGUUAAAAUUGUAUAACUGUAAAGAUUGGUUGUAAAAUUUCUUUAUAAAUAUACUGCUGUACAUAUACAAUUGAAUUCAAUAAAAACAGAGGAAUUAAUUCCUUUACAUGGUAUCAGUAUAGCCAUCAACAGACCAACGUCUAAAUGUCUUCCUCCAAUUCUUAAACCCAAUCUCCCUCUGUUAUCUCCAUGCCUAAUAUUUCUACUAUCAAACUAACCCAGGAUAAUUACCUUCUUUGGAAGGCCCAGAUGGUAUCAUAUUUCAAAGGUUAGGACCUCUUUGGUUACCUCGACGGAACCACACCAAAACCACCGAACUCAGUUUCUGCAUCCCACCCUGAAACCAAUGUUGUUUCUGAAACACUCAAUCCGGCUUACUCUCAAUGGGUCAAGUAUGACAACCUCAUUCUUAGCACUCUCAUAUCUUCUCUUACCGAAUGAGUGCUUGCUUAGGUUGUUAAUUAUACCUCUUCCCAUGAUGUCUGGUCUGCCUUAAAUGAAACCUUUUCCUCAAAAUCUCGUGCACGCAUUGUUCAAAUUCCCACACAACUGGCCACUGCUACUAAAGGUAGUAAAUCUGCCACUGAAUACUUUCACUUCACCUUGAGGCUGGGGGACGAACUAGCAAUUGCAGGCCAGCUAAUGACACGAGAUGAUAUUAUCGCAUAUAUUCUUGCAGGUCUUGGCCAUGUAUGACAGUUUUGUGGCCUACAUUUUCGCUCGCACUAAUAGUGUGACACUUGAAGAAAUUUAUUUUCUUUUAAUAACCACAAAAGCUCGUCUUUCUCGACACCAACUCACUCCAGCAAUUCAACAAAUUCUGCCAACUUUGCUCAAUGCCAAUCACAACCAUUUGCAAGAAAUGGCCAUGGUGGCCCUCGAGGAAGAGGACGAAUCCAUCGUGGUGGCUUUAACUCUUUCAAUCGAAACAAUGAUCAUUCAUCUAUUAUCUGUCAGCUCUGUGGUAAGUCUGGACACUCAGCUCGUAAAUGUUAUCAUAAAUUUGACCUUUUUUAUCAGGAUGCUCCAAAAGACACACCCAAGCAAGCUAUGGUUGCCGUGAAUAAUGGCAAUCCUAAAAAUUGGGAGACUGAGUGGCAUGUGGAUACGGUGCAACCCAUCACCUUACAAAUGAUGCUUCCAAUCUAGACCAAUAGAACAAUGCAUAUAAUGGUUUAAAUACCGUUCAAGUGGGAAAUGGUAAAGGUUUGCACAUCUCUAAAACUGGCUCUUCUAAAUUCAAAACCCCCUCAUCCACCUUUGUUCUUAACCAAGUCCUUUUAGUUCUUGAGAUUCAAAAGAAUUUGAUAUAUGUUCAGCAAUUUUGUAAUGACAAUAACGUUUAUUUUGAAUUUCAUGCUCACUUCUUUCUUGUGAAGUAUUACUUGGGGAAGGUCCUUCACCAAGGAUAUCUCAAUGAUGGCCUCUACAGUUUCACAAACAAAACAAGUCUACCUCAAGCACACUCCAGUAUUCGAGUUUCAUUUCAUAAUUGGCAUCGUAGGCUUGGUCAUGCUCUAAUCCCAUAGUCCACAAAGUUCUCUCCACUUUCAACGUUCCAGUAGAGAAAAAUAAAUUGCACAUUGUGUGCCCUGAUUGUCAAAUGGCUAAAAGCCAUAAUUUGCCCUUUAAAUUAUCUAUGUUUGUUUCUUCAAAACCCUUGGAUUUAAUUUUUACUAAUGUAUGGGGACCUGCUUCUAUUGCUUCCACUAUUGGUGCAAAAUAUUAUGUGAGUUUUCUGGAUGAUUAUUCCAAAUUUAUUUGGUUAUUUUCUCUUAAACUCAAAUUUGAUGUGGAACAAGUUUUUCUUAAUUUCCAACAAUAUGUGGAGAAACAUUUUGAAAGAAAAUAAAAGCCAUCCAAUCCGAUUGGGGUGACGAAUAUAGGCGGUUAAACACAUAUUUUAAAAACACAGGCAUCAACCAUCAUCUAGCUUGUCCACAUACACAUCAACAAAACGGGUCUAUUGAAAGAAAACAUCGACACAUUGUCGAAGUUGGUUUGAGCAUGUUGGCACAUUCAAAUCUCCCAAUGAUCUAUUUCGAAGAUGCCUUUCAAACUGCAACUUAUGUGAUUAACAGACUUCCAACGAAUGUUUUAGACCAAAAAUCACCAUUUGAGAUGAUAUACAACCGUGUUCCUGAUUACAAAUUUAUGCGUGUGUUCGGGUGUGCAUGUUGGCCUAACUUGAGGCCUUACAAUCAACAUAAACUCAAUUUUCAUUCAAAAACAUGCAUUUUCAUUGGCUAUAGUCUUUGCCAUCAAGUGUACAAGUGUCUUGAUCUCUCUACUGGUAAGAUCUAUGUCUCAAGAUAUGUCAUUUUCGAUGAAAACCUUUUCCCCUACACUUUCAAAAAUAAACUUCAAAAUCCCAGUCAUCAUGUUUCGAACACUAUCCUUCUUCCCUUGCAAAUUAAUUCUUCCCCAUCCAUAAGUUUCAGAGAUUUGCCUCCCAAUCCGAUUCCCACAAGAAUUGAAUCUGCCCCAUUAUAUUCUACUUCUGCAGGAAUAGAUUUUGGAACCUCUUCGCACCCAGCAACCAAUGCACUUUGACUUUUCUGAUGCAUUACAAGAAGAUGAACAGCCGCUCCUACAAAUACUCAUCCCAUGCUCACCAGAUCAAAGAAUAAUAUCCAUAAGCCUCAGCAACUAAUUGAUGGCUGCACUCGGUAUCCUUUAUCGAGAGCUUUGAUAGCAGAAACAAUAACUCUGGCAAAGGAGCCAACUUCAUAUACUGAGGCCUCCAAAUCAUCUCAUUGGCGAGAUGCUAUGAAUAAAGAAUUUACUGCAUUGCUACAAAAUGGCACUUGGUCUUUGGCAUCACCUUCAACUAACACCAAUGUUGUGGGCUGUCGUUGGGUGUUUAAAAUUAAAAAGAAGGCAGAUGGAACCAUUGAACGUUAUAAAGCACGACUAGUCACUAAAGGAUUUCACCAACAAGAAGGUGUCGAUUUUUAUGAAACUUUCAGUCCAGUCAUCAAACACACAACUCUUCGGCUAGUGCUUUCUCUUUCCAUUUCUUAUAACUGGCCUAUAAAGCAAUUGGAUGUACAAAAUGCAUUUUUGCAUGGUGAGUUACAGGAGAACGUGUUCAUGUCACAACCCCAAGGCUAUAUUCAUCCACAAUAACCAAAUCAUGUGUGUAAAUCACACAAGUCGCUCUAUGGAUUGCGGCAAGCCCCAAGAGCAUGGUUCUCAAAGCUCUCUGACAAACUCAAAUCUUUGGGCUUUCAAGAAAGUAAAGCUGAUACUUCUCUUUUUAUUUUUCGAAAAUUAGCUAUUAUUACUUACAUACUCGUAUAUGUGGAUGAUAUUUUGAUAACGGGGUCAAAUUUAGAUGCAAUCACUUACGUGAUUAAAUGCUUGAAAAAUACUUUUGCUGUCAAAGACUUGGAUGCACUAAAUUUCUUUCUUGGUGUCGAGGCACUUCGGUGUUCAGAUGGAAUUUACCUCACUCAACGCAAGUAUAUUGUUGAUUUACUCAAAAGGAGCAACAUGGACAAAGCAAAACCUUGCACGAGUCCAAUGGCCCCUAAUUGUCAUCUGACUUCCACCGAUAGACAUCCUUUUGAAGAUAUAAGUCUCUACCGAAGCAUCGUAGGAAGCAUACAAUAUCUAUCAUUCACAAGGCCUGACUUAGCCUUCACAGUACAUAAAGUCAACAAAUUUAUGCAUCGACCUCUUAAUACACAUUGGAUGGCAGUCAAGCGCACAUUGUGCUAUCUUAAACACUCGGUAUCCACUGGUCUCUACAUCACCAAAGCUCCUGAUAUGAGGUUGCAAGCUUACUUAAAUUCUGAUUGGGCUGCUGAUAGAGAUGAUCGACGCUCGGUUGGUGCUUUCUGUGUCUAUAUUGGCCCCAAUUUAAUAUCUUGGAGCUGUAAGCAGCAGCCCACAGUUGCAAGAAGCAGUAUCGAGGCUGAAUACAAGACACUAGCAAACACAGCAUUCGAGCUCACUUGGAUAAAAUCUCUUCUCUUUGAACUUGGUCUUUCUCAAACACAGCCACCAGUUCUUUGGUGUGAUAAUAUUGGAGCCACUUACCUCACCUCAAAUUCGGACUUUCAUGCAAGAACGAAGCACAUAGAAAUUUAUUUUCACUUCGUACGAGAUCAAGUUUUCAAUAACCAAUUGACGGUUCAAUUUAUUUCAAGCCGAGAUCAGUUGGCAGAUGUGCUUACAAAGUCGUUACCUCCAUUAAAGUUCAAGUAUGUACUAGACAAUCUCCAUGUCCGUGAACUACCCUCCAGAUUGAGGGGGCAUGUAGAGAAUGAAGUCAGCAAAACUGAAUUCAAGGCUGAAGAUCAGAACUGAAAUUACAGCAACAUAUUUGGUGAAAUUAUAGUAGCAAAUCAGGAGCCUAAUCACGGCAGCAAAUUUGAUGAAACACCAGCAGAUCAGGAGCUUAAUCACAGCAGUAGAUUUGAUGCAAUCUCAACAAAUCAGGAACGUAACAAAUGAGGAAGAUUCGAUCCUGCCAUUAUGUUAAAAUUGUAUAGCUGCAAAGAUUGAUUUUAAAAUUUCUUUAUAUAUAUACUGCUAAACAUAUACAAUUGAAUUCAAUAAAAAUGGAGGAAUUAAUUCCUUUACAUGGAAUAAUGAGGCUCGACUUUCAUAAGAUACUGAGAUGACCUUUCAGCAUUUAAUAUCUUGUAACUAAAAGUUUUAUUGUCUGUCAAAGAAUAACAGUGAUGUUUAUCAUCACUUGGUUUUUUGCAAAGUGGCACUAUUAUAUUAUUUGUUGCAGUAAUGGCUGUAGAUUUGUUAGGGUGAGAAGGGAGGAAAAUCAUGAAUUGAAGGCAAAAUUAAUUUUUUCCCCUACUGUUUUCUCUUUCUUUGUAAUACUAUAACGCAAGGAGUGACAUUGCAGAUAGAUAUCUACAAAAGAUGGCUGCACAAGAAGGCUCGCCUAUUAAUUUUUCUAUGAGCUCGUACGCAUUAAGAUGCCGAUACCUGCUAUUUUCAUCAAUUUCCUACAAAGAUUACGGAAGCUCCUUUGAAUUUUCUGUGUUAGAAUCUAUGUGUUGGUAAUAAUUCAUUUGUUUUCUUUUAUUCCAAUUUGAAGGCGUGAUUAUCUGAAUAGAUUGUGUCCGGGCAACUCUAAUGAGAACUUCAGAUCUAAAGUUCCUACAAGAAUGUAUCUCGCUACUGGUGAUGAAUACUGUUUGUACACUAAUGAGGCACAUUUUCAAUCAAAAGAUGUCUUUUGAAUUGUUUCAGAUGCACUAGAAAAUUCGAUUUGUUGUUCUUCAUCUUGUUUCUAGAAAUUUCCGUGCUACAUUUUUGAAUGUUUCGUUGAUUGGUAUAUUUACAAGCAUUCCAAAGUAAACCUGUUUGUGAAUGUAUGGAUGAGAAGACAGUUGGAAAGUUCUCUGGGUACUUGAGUUGACUUUAUAUUCAGUUUCUCAUGAAUAGUGUUUUCACAUGUCUAUCUUUUGCUCUCAACAGAUUAUUGACAUUUAGAUUCAUAAUUUGGCACUGAUAAUAUCACUAGAUGGUAGUUUUGUAGCUUGUAUGGUAGUAUUUCUCAUCGUUCAUGGACAUUUUCAUUUAAUUGCUUCACAUCAUUUCUUGAGAACCGAAUAGGUUAGAUGAGUCAUGGUGUUGGUACAGUUGUUUGGUUUUACACGAACGGCUGGAUGGUUCAAGACAUCGUGUUCACCAACUAGCCUAGUAAAUCCGAUUGUAUUCAACUAAAGAAGGUUCAAGGCCACAAGCUACCUAUCUUGAUGCUACGACUUGUCGUGUGUACUCCGUUUGUUAGAGUCUGCAUUUCAUUUUCAUUGCAUUCGCUUUGUGUUGCGCAUAUCGAGGAAUUUCCAUUCAUGUGGGGGAUUGUUGGAUAUUGGUUAAAUAAAUUGAGAAUUGAAAAUCGAUUAAAGUUCGUAUCGAAUUCGGCCAAAUACUCAAAAGCUCGACUCAAUCCGUUUAGGCAAAAUUGUUUGCCACUUCGCCGCUUCGGGGCGCACAAACGGGGAUCGACCUGCCCGGUCAGGUCGCGAGGGUCGAGGGGGCAGCGCCCCUCGUGGGGGGUCGGGGGCAACGCCCCCGAAAGAGAAUUUUGAUUUCUCUGCAUGUAUUGAAGGGUAUAUUUGGCAUUUCGAAAACCAAUAUCGGAUGAAUGAGAAAUUACGAAAAAGACCUCAACCAUUAGUGAAUAGACACCUUUUCAUAAAGGUGCAUUGUUUGGAAAUGGUGCAUGGUUUGGUCUCAACCAUUUCGUCCACACCCCUUCAUGGUCUAUAAAUAGGACCCUUUGGGUGUCCUAUUCCUCACAGUUUGAUAUGCAAAAACGUCUCUCAUCCUUUCUUCUAUCCAAAAUCAAAAUCAUUUCAUUUAUUUUGAUUUUCUUUCAUUUCAUCUGUGGAGUACAUAAGCCUACAUUGGGUUCGUUGUACUUGUGUUUUGGAGUGCUACAAACACAAGUGUAGCCGUUGUAUCUUGGGAGUCGAUUGGCGAAAUCCGUAGGCACCGUUGCGGGGCAAAUUCGACUUAAGGACAAAGAGUCCAACUCUUGCCUCGGCUUUGUCACCAUCAUUAUACUUAUUUCGGCGUCACUUUUCACAAAAUUCUUCCAACAGAACUUGUAUCCUCGUGAAUUCAAUUUUUCUUUUCAUCAUUUGCUACUGCCAUAACAGUGACUAAUAUGGAUAAUUGUUAACGUGCCUUUGCUUUUCCUUAGGAAAACAUUGCAUGAUACUUGCAAUUGUCUUUACACCUGUAUAUGACUUAAAAAAUCUUCAUUUUGUAUGUGAUGUCUCAGGUUUUUGGAGACUUUGCCAUUGAAAAACGGUGCAAAACUUGGCGUCUUGAGGUCUGUUCCUACUCACUUUGAUCUCAAAGCUGUAUUCUAUCCUUCUGGUCUACAUGUAUAACAUGGAUUAAACAGCAAUUUCAGAUUGCGCGAUUGAUGUAUGAAGUUGAUGGAACAGGGUUCUCCAAAUCAUGGAUUUGACGCUCUAAAAGCACCUAGCUCUAGAUGAGUCUGUUGAAGAAGUUUUGGAAGUCCUGCAGGAAUAUGCUCGAUUAGUCCAAGGACUGUGGGUUCCAAAGAGUUCGCUGGGACAUGGAACAGAUUCAGGAAUUGAAGUUUUAGCCAGGGACUAUGUUCUUCUAUUGUUUAGAAAGAAUCCACUAGGUUAACGACUGACAAAGACCUCAACGUCCUCAACUUCCUAAAGCAAUGAAAGAUGUCCUAAAUGUAUUGGCGUUGAGAGACCCACCCUCCUUCAGUGAUUGGCAACUCAGAGAUCUUCUUGAUCGAAGAUUCAUAAAACUCGAUCCUAUUGUUGCAAAGAAAUAAGAAGAAGAAUGGGAAUCCUUGGAAAAGAAGAUAAAUGAUCUUCUGUUUGGAGGAAGAAACGGACCUGGUACAAAGACUUCUUCAAAGUCUAAUGUCAUGAACAAUCCGGUCACGUCAAUGAGUUCCAGUAAAUUAGCUCUCAAAACUCCAAAUGAGGCAUCCUUGAGGACGCCAAUGCCAAAAGAGACUCGAGAAGCUUUAAUGAAGGCCCUUCAGAAACUUUUAAAAGGCAUCAAGGUUUGCAGGUGAGAUCACUUUAUUACAUCAAGCCUUUAGUUUCAAAUAGUAGUUAUAUGUGGUCAUAUUUUUUAUUGAAGAUAGUUAUCGUCACUGCAUUAAAAGUAUUCUAAAUCACUAGGUCACAGUUAUAUUGCAUUUUAUUUGAUUAGUAUUUGACAAUUUUCUUUGCAUGCAAUAAGUGUUGCUGUGACCUUGACAUUCAUGGCCUGGCUCAUUAAAAAAAUUGAGACACAGUAUAGUAAGUAGAAGAGAUGAGGAAGACGAGUGGUCUUGUGAAUUAGUUCUCUGCUUGCACUUAGGACACUAGUAUGAUUACAUUUUUGCAUUAACUGGGCUGGAGCAAUUGACACUGUUUAACAAAAUGCCAAUGGACCAUAUUUAAACAUUUUUUGCUAUUAUUACUUUUGUAUUACUUAUAUUCUCAAUGCAAACGCAAAGAAACUAGUUUGAAUUUUCUUAUUUAAUCAAAAUUUAAUUAAGCUAAUGUGCCCUUUAAUCUAGGAAACAUAACUUCACGCUUAGAGUGUUAUGGUUAUCCCGUGGCAGUUUAGUUUGAUUGUCAAUAGAUAAAAUUUUACUUGGCGCUGUGUAUGCCAGUUUUCAACAAAUUUGCCAGCGUUUGAGGGACUUGGCAGAUUCUGAGUCCGCCCGUUCGAGGGGAUUUGCCAAAGAGACAGUUGCUGCAGCAAACAGCAUUUGUGCUUUUGCUGAUGAGCUUCAGGCAAUCAUUAGUCGAUUUGCAUUUAAUAUUCAUGGUGUCUAUGUUCCAAAAUUACUCCAGAUCAUCCACAAUAUGAUCCAUUCAGGUUACACCUGCCUUCAUUUAUUUUGGUUCUAGAACAUUGAUAUUUUUCUUUUAUUAAGUUCUCUUUAUAAGAAAGGAUCACCAUUUUAUAUUGUUCAUUAUUGAUUUGUGGUUCUUUCUCUUCCAGGAAGGUUGUCAUUGAUCUUCUUAUUGCUGAAGGACCAAAAGCAAAACUCAAAGAGGUUCCCAUAGUCGAGGCUGCUAAGAUGGAACUUAAAAGGGAUAUACCUCAGAUUGGAUAUCAGAAGGUCAGAGUCAAGCUUACAGAUUAAUUAUGACGAAAUUGUAAUUAGGUGUUGAGAUCAAACACGCUCUCUCCUUGACACCAUUCAGGCGAACUUACUAAUUCCUGAAAUUUUUUUAAUUAGGUUUUGAUUAAUUUUUGAGGCCUUACGAAAGCACAAACAAGAUUGAGAAACUGAGGAGAUUGUCACAGGAGAUAUAGGAGAUUUCCACUCUCAUUGUGUGGGGGUGUGUGGUUGAGAGGGAGGUAGCCCUAUUUGCCUUGCCCUUAAUCUGGCAUCUAUCUUACCUGCCUAUCAUGACAGCUUCCAAUGUUUUUCCUUCCUAUGAAAGAUUCUUAAGCGUUUCACAACCUUUGUCACUCACUUCUUUUAAAUGAGCAGUAAGGACUUAAUCUAGCAUUAUUCUCAUGAGAGGAAGCUAAGCAAUGGAAUUAUAAAGCAGAGAAAUGUGUAGUGAAUAUACUUUUGAGAGCUGGUGAUAUGUGAUGUGAGGAAAGAUAUAUUAUGCUUGCUCCUAGAAGUUUCCCCAUGCAUAUGCUCUUAAAAUUCCCUCAAUAAUUUAGAAUACUCUUAGUGACCACCGAGCUAAUUUUCUGAUUCUCGUGUGAAUGUCUCAAGUCAGACCUCCUUGUGGGAAAAAUAUAUAUACACAUGGUUUCCUGAGCACACAGUCUUAUAGUUUCUUAUAAGCUUCCUAUGCCGAACCUUAGUUACUGGGAAAAGAACGGGGAUAUAUUUUUCUGGUCAUGUCCUCUUCACUGUCACUCUUGGUAUGUUCCAGCACUUCAAGAUAAAUAUUAAUUGACCUUUUGAGCCUCUUGUCCUCUUCCCUAUUAUCGUCGAUGGAAGCCUCAAUGACUUAUUUGUGAUAAAUUGCUUGCUAAUUUAGGUUAUGUAUUCCCUUAUGUGCUGCAGGUUUUACAGGAACUAUGUCUAUCACAAGGUUUUGAAUGGGUCCUUAAAAGUGGCGAUGGAAAUCCACAAAAGUAAAGUUCAUGCAACCAAAUUCUACGUUAGUCUACGAGGUAAGAAUUAGCAUAUUUACUAUGUAUUACGAUAAGUAAUAAAGUAGACACAUCUCACCACAAGACUUAAUGGAAAAUUUCUAAAUUGCAUGAAAUUCUUGAGCUUUGUGUUCAAGAAAGAAAAUCUCUGCUUAUUCUGUUUACAUGGAUCAUUGUGAUCUGUUGUUGUUUGUCUGAAUUUACCCUUAAGUGCCUUGGUAAUCGAGUUGAUGUGAUGUCUGAGUUUUGCAGUUUGAAAAGAGGAUUUACAUCGUUCCUUGAAGUUAUAUCAGUGCAUAGCAUCAGUUUAAAUCAUCCUUGAAUAUUGCCUAAUUGAUUCUCAUCACAUAUUGGAAUUUGAAAAGUUAAUAGGUCUGUUUAAUGUAAAUGCAGAAGUACAUAUACACAGAACAAGGAAUGUGUGUUUAUAUAUACGUAUUUGUGUUUAAACUACUAUUAAGAUGGCUGAGGUACAAAAGUCAUUUGUUGAAAAUGGUAAGGAACCUGUUUCUUUGGAAGCAGCAAGGGAUGUAUUCUUGAUAUCUCGAGUGGCUCUUUGAACAUUCAACCUUCAGUGCAGCUAUGAUGAUUUAAAAUAUACAAAGGAUACCAAAUACACUGGGGAUGAGUGUUCCAUGUAAUUAAACACAUUAAUAUAUACCAUCAGAAAUAAUAUUUUGUUAAAUAUAUAUGAUUUCAUGCUGCUACAAUAUUGUAUCCAUCUGUUAUCAUUAAUUCUUUUUCCCUUUAAAAUGUUCGGCCUUAUUGUCACUUGUCAAUACCGUGGUUCAUCCAAACAAUUCAUAUUUGAUAUUGACGAAAAUGAAAAAUUAUAAUGACUUGCAAAUGUAUUAAUUCUCUUAAAUGAAUUAAAGAACCUUAGUGCUACAACCUUACUCGUGGUCGUGGUUGUCGUAUUCAAUUUAAUUUUGUGCACCCAACCCUUGUACCUAAGUCGAAGUGAUGCAGUAGACACCUCGUGCUAUCAGAAUUUUCUUACGAGUGCCUUUGGAAAUUAAACCUUAUAUGUGGUAUCGUGUUUGCAGGUGCUACACCAUUAUUAUACUUCUCUGCCAACUUUAUUUAUUCACUAUCUGGAAUUCUAUUUGGCCGGAUUAGGUCACCAGAGUAUGAUUUGCUAUCUAGCAUGAUCUUGUAUGGAGUGAUGAUCUCAGACCAUAGGAAGGCAGGCAAGAUAAAGAAAAAGACAAUAGAUCUCGAAAUUUAACUUCCUUUACAUAUAUGGUUAUUCAUUGUACAGCUAAAUUAGUCUCUAAGCCAAGGAUCGAUGAGUCUUUUCCUUGUGUUGGCUAUUGGUUGACUGGGCAUUGUAAGAAUCUUUUUAGAGGGUAAUUUUUCAUGUCCAUUGCUUCUAACGGCUCUUCUCUCAACAUUGAUAUAGGGUAUAAUAUUGAAAUGUUGUGAACUCUUUAAGUCCCUCAAAGAAACCCAAAUGUCGAGUUGUUUAAUGGCUUGUUUGGUUGGACUUUGAAAAAGUCAAAGCUGUUUAUAAGAUUAUCGAUGUUUUUGGAUAAUUUUUAGAAAAUGAUUUGACUGGUUUGAUGAGCCUUUUAAAAUUGAUAACUUUUUACAAGUAAAAGUCUUGUCAAACAGGUGUUAAAGUAUAAGUCCUGUUAAUUGAGUUGAGUGAGGAUUAGUUUGUUAUACUAAAAUGUGCUUUUUAUAAUAAAAAGUGGACUAAAGUAGAUCAUGAUAAAUUGAUCUAUAAACAGCCCAUCUAACUUUAAAAAAAUCGAGUCAUUUUUACAUUGACAUUCAGUGCAUGUUUGGGAAAGUUAAACGGUUGAUUUUGUUAAAAGAAGUGGAAGGUCUUUUGAAAUGAGUGGUGGAAAAGAGAGUAAUACUGGUGAAUUUUGUGUAAUGUAAGAUUACUAUUAAGGGUGGUUAUAUUAUCAUCACAAUAAAUGUUUGGUACCCUAUAAUUUUCUUAUUUAUUUUAAAAAAUCACUAGUAAAAUGACAUAAGUACCCUAUCUUUUAUUCACUAAUAUAUUUAUUCAUACAAUCACUAUCAUCCGCACACAAAAAAAUACCUAAAGUCCUAUUUAAAGAUACAAAUGCCAAGAUCAAAAGAUCCAAGAUUGAAGAAAAGAGCAAGAAAUUUUAGGAUAUGGUAUAGGCAUUUUAGAAUAUUUAAUCUAUUAUUUUAAAAGUUCGCUAUAUUUUUCUGAAGAAACUCGUCAUUAUUGUGGAACAUGCCAUUAUACAACCUGCAAGAGGCAUUGGAUUUGGAGGCUAAAUGUUAUAACCCAUUCACUUAUAGUCAAAGUCAGGAAAAUUAUUUAGUCAAAGUCCAAAAUUCAAUUGGUUAAAGUCAAUUUCAAAUAGGGAUUUAAAUGAAAUAAAUUAUUUUAUUAGGGUUUAAUUUAUUAUGAAAAAUAGUUAAAGGUUUAAAAUGGAUAAAACUUAAUUUUAGGGAUCUACUUAUAUAUUAUUGGAAGUAAAGGACUAGAUGUUAUAUUAAAUUGAAGAAUAAGGACUUCCUAUGCAAAAAUGGGUUGUGGAGUGCAUGUGGCAAGUAAUUAACCCAUUACCAUUUUCAUAUGAUAUAUACAUACGGAGAGAUGAGGCUGGAGAUGGGCAGAAGCAAGAAAAACCAAGAAAGAGAAGGAAAAGGAGAAAAAGAAAGGGAGAGAGAGAGAGAGAGAGAAAAGGAGAAGAAAAGGAAGUGGGUCUUCAAGCUUGGAUUCUCCAUUUCUUCAUUGAUUUAGAGAGGUGGGUGUAAGUAGGAUGAGUUAUCUUUUUGAGUUUAUGGAAAUUUUCUAAAAUUUAAGGUUUAGCAAAAUUAAUGAUUGUUGAUAUAUGUUUGAGGCAUUAAAAACAACAAUAAUAUUAGUGUUGAAAGGAAGGAAAUGUGAAAUGGGUUUGUAAAUUAGAGUUCCAAUCUUUGAAUUAUUGUGUUUACACUUGAUUUAUGAUGAAUUAGAGUGGUGAAAAAAUAUUUAGGUUAGAUUUUGGUAUUUAUAAUAAAUUUUCGAGCAAAAUUCAUGUGCAGUUGCUAUUCAUGAAAUUCUGCCCAGAAAAGUGCCAUUUCUGUCAAUGGUUUUGAUGCCAGAUUUUAAUAUGCAGAAAUUGGUGCCAGGUUUCAAUUUUUUGGGAUUUUAGUGCUGUUUUUGACAAAACUCUUUUUUUUUUUCAGAUUUUUAAAGGCUUCAAUGAAGUUAUAUGAUAAGUAUUGAGGUUUAUGUAUUGGAAUAAAUUAUGUAUAGGGCUUGUAAAUGUAUAAGUUAAUGAUUUUAAGGAAGUGUGGUAAUUUAAUAGAUUUGAUAAUGCAUGGUGUUUAGUCGAUGAAUUAAUAAAGAGAAUAAAAGUUGGGGAUUAGAGAUGUAAGAGUAAAUAUAGAAGUUGAGGAGUUAAGUGGUGGAAUUGUAUUGAUUUAAUUGUCAAGUUUCAAUUUGAGUAAUUAUUAUACCGUUAUUUCAGGUAGUGACGUGAAAACUUGAAAAGACUUGUCAAUUUAGCUAGAUUUCUAUCCAUAAAUCUGUGAAUGGAAAAAAGAUAAAUAUUUUUAAAGUAUUUAUAAAUUAAGUAUAUUGUUAAAGUAUGUGCAAUUAUGUUCUCGAAGUAUAUGGUUAUUAUGAAAAUAUCUUUUAUUACGAUACAUGUGAUAUUUUAAAGAUUGUAUAUGGUACAUUGUGAAUUGGAAUAUCAGAUAUGAUUUUGAAAUCGACCAAAAAAGUACCCGUGAUUAUAUAUUUCUUCUAGUUCACUGAGGAGCCUUGGCCAUGUUCUAUACUACACUGAAGGGUUUUGGACCGGGGAUGAAAGAGUCUCGACCGUAUACAUAGGGUUGCACAAAAAAAAUAUGAAACCGCAAAUCGAACCGAAACCGUUGAGUUGAAACCAUUGGUUCGGGUCCACAUGGACCCAUGGUUUCUUUUUCGUCAAACCGAACCAAACCGUUUCAAAAUAGUUUGAUUUAGGUUUUGAUUUUCAAAAAUCGCACAAACUGAACGGAACCGUUUUUAAAUUUUUUAAUUAAAACAUUAAUUUUAUUAACUUAAAAAUUUUACAGUUUUUUCUAUUUCUUUUUAAAUAUCAAUUUAGUAAUACAAAUUAUAACCAACUUAUUGAAAUAAUCAUAAAAAGUAAAUUAUGUUCAUUAUUAUUGACCUAUGAUUUAACAGGUUCACAACAAAUGUCUUACCCGAUAUCUAAACUAAACUAAAAUUAUUUCAAAAUCAUAUGAAAUGAAGAAAAAACACAUAUUUUCACAAUCCAAAUCAUGAUUCAACAAAAUUACGUAAGUAAAUCACGCCCAAAACUUUAGAAGCCCUAACAUAAACUCUCAUUUUUCUAACAUUUGAUGCUUUUCUGCCACUGUUGAACGAUUACUAAUUGCAUUUGUCUGUUUCUGUUAGUCUACUAAUCUCUUCCUGAGUCGUCUCUUUCUCUCUUCUCGUCUUAGAUUCUUAUUCAAUCCAUUUUUCCAUUGUUCUUUCUUUUAUUUUAUUUUUUUGAACUUAUUAUAUAUUUAUGAGUUCUGGUUUGGAUAGAAAAAUGAUUAUUCGUGUGCCUAGUUGAUUAAUGAACUUGUUUGUGAUUUGGAAAAAACAAAAGACGGAAUGUAUUGAUUAUAUGAAAAUGUUAAAGAUCCCUAACUAGUGUUACUACCUUCUACUUUCAUAAAAUAGUUAGAGGAUAAAAUUCCUCAAUUUUCAAUAAGUCAAAAAUCAAUCAAUCCUUGUACAUCUAAAGAUAUCACGUUCAAUUCUUAUUUUACAUCUCACUAGCAGGACGAAAGGAAUUUUAACCAAACUAUAAUAACAAAAUGUAACUCUACCUUUACCAAUAGUUAUAUGACAAUGCGAAUGUCAAAUAAGAAAAGAUAAAUAAAAAUGAAGAAAGAUGUAUUUGUUCUAUUAACAUCUUUUAGAAAACAACUUUGAAAAUAAUUUAUUCAUGGGUUUCAUAGUAAUUAUAAAUGUAAUUUAGCAUUUAACAUAAUUAGUUAUUGUUUAAACUUAUAUUUAACUUACGUUAAAUACAUUACUAUAAUGUCGAAAAGUAAACCGCAGAUUAAAACCGAACCAAACCGCAAAUUAUGGUUUGGUUUGGUUUGGUUUGAUUUGAAAAAAUUUCAAACUGCAUAAAAUGGUUUGAGUUGAAAAUAUAGCACAAACCACUCAAAUCGAACCGCGAUCACCCCUACAUGUACAUAUAGUUCACUGACGGGCCUUGACCGUGCUCUAGAAUUGAUUAUGAGAGGUCUUUGAGAUCAUCUUUCGUUCAUGGAGGGAGUCAAACGCUCGUGGUAAAAGUUCUUAGACCGAGGGGCGGAUUACAUAUUUCAGCCAGAGGGUACAUUUUUAGUGAAUUUUUCAGUAUGCUUGAUGUGCUGAGAUUAUAGCGUGGUUAUCAGCUGAUAUUUAUAUCAUGAUUUUGAGAUGAUAUUUUACAAUGUUAUGUGAAUGUUUCACUUUUAGUUAUAAUUACAUAAUGUUAUCUUGUGAAUUAUUAAAUGAUAUGAACUCGAUUUUUGAUAGAAAUGUAAAAUUGAAUAAGUAUAAUUAUUUUUGAACUUCUUCAUUCACUGAACUAUCAACUCAUAUAUUUUCCCACAAUUUUUCCUAUAUGUAGCAAUUGAUUCUUUUUAACUGAAGAGCCUAAUGAUUUUGGAAUGAGAGCCACACAGUAUGUUGAAUAUUAUAACUCAUAUUGAUGAAACAUGAAGUAAAUAUUUUGGGCCCAUCGCAUUAUGUUUUACAUAAGUAUUUGAUUUUGUUGCAUUUUUUUUGAAAUAACUCAUAGUCAGCCUUGGUGAUAGAUUUGACAUCUAGUCAACAUUUAUCUUCGGUGCACGUCUCGUCUCGUCUCGGGUUCACUAAGGUGAUUCGGGACGUGUCGUGUCAGAGUGGUAUCUAAGCAUGGUUUUGAAAAUUUUUAUGAUUUAUGCAUGCUCAGUGGGUAUGAUCACAUGUCGUGGUGACAGAAAUCAUAAGCUCUCUAACUCAAAUGUAUGAAACCAAAAAUAAUAGAAAAAUAUUUUUUUAACUGAUUUAGAAACGACUCGUAUGUAAGUAUGGUAGUUGUAAUGAUCUAAUGGUUGGAAAUGAUAUUAGCUAUUGGGUUGAAACUAUGUGUGUAUGUAACCUAUUAAGAUUUGAACAUAUUGUGAUGAUUUUGUAGGGCAUUUGAAGUUACAGAUAUUACAACCACUUAAUUAUCAAUUUAUUUGUAGAGCUACAUGAUUAUUUUUAUGAGUACAUAGGAAAUUUUUUAGCUAUAGCUUGCACGAUAAAUACAAGGAAAUGAUAUGAUGUGUAAUCAGUGACAAUCAGUGGGGAAUUUUAAUUAUUCUUGAAGCCAAAUGGUUAUUAGUGUUAUCAAAUUUUGUGGUGAUUUAAGGCCACUUUAAUGGGAUGAUAAUAGAAAUCAUGAUGAUGUAUAUUUAUGCUAUAUGAUAAGGAAUUGUGGAAGACAAAAUGAUAAUUUGUUGAUUGAUAGAUAACAAUGUGUUAUUGUAUACUUUAAGCAUCAAGGAAAUUAACGGUAAUUUCAAUUAUUUAUGAGUAGUUUGAUUACAAGGAAUGUGAGAAUAAUAGAGAUGAACUUCACAAUGUUUACCUAUUAGGGGGUGAUUUGUUUAUUUAAAAAUAGAAUUAAUUGGAUAUGUGCAUUUAGGUAUGUUUAUGUGAAAAAAAAAUUGAAAUUGAGAAUGGUAGAAUUGAAGUUUGUUGAGAUUGGGAAAUUAACAUGCGAUAUAUUGAUAUGUGAAAUGUUCAAGUGAUAAAUAUGAAGGUUAUCAUCUUGUGAUAUUAAGGGAAAUUUAUAUAAUUAAAUGUUUUAGGUCAUACAAUAUGACGAUAAAUGCUAAGGUUACAAGAUCAUAACAUGAUAUGGUGAAUAGCAUGAAAAUGAAUGUAAUGGUUGUCCUAUAGCAAAGUAAUGUGAUGAUUUAUUUGGGUUAUUUAAGUUAACAAAUUUUGUUAAGGCCAUUUGUUGAUUAUUGUGUUACAUUUCAUACAAUUUGGAAGCGUUGAGUUAAAUUUUGAAGUUAAGAUGAAUUUAUUGAAAUGUUAGUAUGUAAAUUUUGGGCUAUUUUUAAUUGUAUUUUGGAUCAUGAACAAAGUAUUCAAUUUUUGUCAAAAUAAAUUUGUUAAGGAAUAUAAGUAGGACAUGUUAGCUAUGUCUAAAGUUUAAGAUGAUCAUCAAAUAUAGAUUUUACUCAUUGUGAACUAGUAUCUUUUGGUUACAUUAUCUUAAUUAAAGGUCUUUAUGUGAUAUACAAAAAAGAUUAUGCAUUGACGAUAGAUCAACGAUCUAUUUAUGAAAUAAGAGUAUAGAUUUUUAUGGAUCAAAUGUUAUUAUUGUCUCUUUAUAAAAAGAAAGAACAAAAUUUGUAUGUGUAUAGAAAUGUCAAAAGUUUUGCUAUCAGGAAAUAUUGAAAAAAUAUUUGCUCUUAUAUCUAAAGAUGAUAAGCGAUUGAUUCACGAUAAUGAUUUAUGUUAUGGUUUAGAAAUUGUUUUCUAAGUGGAAUGAUAAAAUAUGGAUUAUGUUGUAGAUUGAUAAAGAGAUAUGAUUAAAUCAUGAUAUAUGGUUGAUUAUAUUGGGAUUGACAUUUAGGAAUUGUGGCGUUAUCACAUGGUGGGAAGAUCAAUACUUACGGACCACAUGAGUUUAAGGAAUAUUUAUAUUUAAAAAGGAGCCGAACUUAAAGCUAUGUAUUUAUUAUCGUUAGGUGAUAAAAUGAAAAGUUAAAAAUAUCACAUAUUUAUAUUAGGAUGAUAUUUAAGGUAUCGGUUCAACAUGUAUUUCAUAUGUUCGGUGGUUAGUAAAUGGACGUCAGAUUUAACUAAUGCUAUAAGAUCAUCAGUGGAGUUGGUUGAAAAUCUUACAUAUGAAGAAAAAUCAAUUCGGAUCUUGGAUAGGAAAUGAAUAGAUUUUGUGCAGAAAGUCUAUUCCGCUAGUUAAAGUUUGUUUGGAAAAAAAAUAAUAAUAAAAAAUAGAGGCUUCAUGGGGCAAGUAUUCAAAUAUAUGCUCUAUAUCUUUGUGCUCGAAUCCUAAUUGAUUGAAUUUCGAGGACGAAAUUCUUUGAAGGGGGUAAGAUUGUUAUAACUCACUCACUCAUAGUCAAAGUCAAGAAAAUUAUUUAGUCAAAGUCCAAAAUUCAAUUGGUCAAAGUCAAUGUCAAAUAGGGAUUUAAAUGAAAUAAAUUAUUUUAUUGGGAUUUAAUUUAUUAUGAAAAAUAGUUAAAGGUUUAAAAUGGAUAAAACUUAAUUUUAGGGAUCUACUUAUAUAUUAUUAGAAGUAAAGGACUAGAUGUUAUAUUAAAUUGAAGAAUAAGGACUUUCCAUGCAAAAAUGGGUUGUGGAGUACAUGUGGCAAGUAAUUAACCCAUUACUAUUUUCAUAUGAUAUAUACAUACAGAGAGGUAAGGCUGGAGAUGGGCAGAAGCAAGAAAAACCGAGAAAGAGAGAAGGAAAAGAGAGAAGGAAAAGGGGGGAGAGAGAGAGAGAGAGAGCGAAGAAGAAGAAGAAGAAGAAGAAGAAGAAGAAGUGGGUCUUCAAGUUUGGAUUCUCCUUUUCUCCAUUGAUUUAGAGAGGUGGGUGUAAGUAGGAUGAGUUAUCUUUUUGAGUUUAUGAAAAUUUUCUAAAAUUUAAGGUUUAGCAAAAUUGAUGUUUGUUGAUAUAUGUUUGAGACAUUAAAAACAACAAUAAUAUUAGUGUUUAAAGGAAGGAAAUAUGAAAUGGGUUUGUAAAUUAGAGUUCCAAUCUUUGAAUUAUUGUGUUUACACUUGAUUUAUGAUGAAUUAGAGUGGAAAAAAAAAAAAUUAGGUUAGAUUUUGGUAUUUAUAAUAAAUUUUCGAGCAAAAUUCAUGUGCAGGUACUACUCAUGAAAUUCUGACCAAAAAAGUGCCAUUUCUGUCAAUGGUUUUGAUGCCAGAUUUUAAUAUGCAGAAAUUGGUGCCAGGUUUCAAUAUUUUGGGAUUUUAGUGCUGUUUUUGACAAAACUCUUAUUUUUCAGAUUUUUAAAGGCUUCAAUGAAGUUAUAUGACAAGUAUUGAGGUUUAUGUAUUGGAAUAAAUUAUGUAUAGGGCUUGUAUAUGUAUAAGUUAAUGAUUUUAAGGAAGUGUGGGUAAUUUAAUAGAUUUGAUAAUGCAUGGUGUUUAGUCGAUGAAUUAAUAAAGAGAAUAAAAGUUGGGGAUUGGAGAUGUAAGAGUAAAUAUAGAAGUUGAGGAGUUAAGUGGUGGAAUUGUAUUGAUUUAAUUGUUAAGUUUCAAUUUGAGUAAUUAUUAUUCCGUUAUUCAGGUAGUGACGUGAAAACUUGAAAAGACUCGUCAAUUUAGUCAGAUUUCUAUCCAUAAAUAUGUGAAAGGAAAAAAUAUAAAUAUUUUUAAAGUAUUUAUAAAUUAAGUAUAUUGUUAAAGUAUGUGCAAUUAUGUGCUCGAAUUAUAUGUUUAUUAUGAAAAUAUCUUUUAUUAUGAUAUAUGUGAGAUUUUAAAGAUUGUAUACGGUACAUUGUGAAUUGGAAUAUGAGACAUGAUUUUGAGAUCGACCAGAAAAGUACCCGUGAUUAUAUAUUUCUUCUAGUUCACUAAAAGGUCUUGGCCGUGUUCUAUACUACACUGAGGGGUCUUGAACCGAGGAUGAAGGGGUCUCGACCGUGUACAUAUAGUUCACUGAAGGGUCUUGGCCGUGUUCUAGAAUUGAUUAUGAGAUGUCUUUGAAACCAGCUUUCGUUCAUGGAGGGGGCCAAAGGUCCGUGGCGAAAGUUCUUAACCCGAGAGGCGGAUUACAUAUUUCAAUUAGAGGGUACAUUUUUGGUGGAUUUUUCAGUAUAUUUGAUGUGAUGAGAUUAUAGCGUGGUUAUCAGCUGAUAUUUAUAUCAUGAUUUUGAGAUGAUAUUUUACGACCUUAUGUGAAUAUUUCACUUUUGGUUAUAAUUACAUGAUGUUAUCUUGUGAAAUAUUAAAUGAUAUGAACUCGAUUUUCGAUAGAAAUGUAAAAUUGAAAAAGUAUAAUUAUUUUCGAACUUCUCCACUCACUGAACUAUCAACUCAUAUAUUUUUCCACGAUUUUUUCUACAGGUAGCAAUUGAUUCUUUUUAGCUGGAAGAGCCUAAUGAUUUCGGAAUGAGAGCCAUACGGCAUGUUGAAUAUUAUAACUCAUAUUGAUGAAACAUGAAGUAAAUAUUUUGAGUCCAUCGCAUUAUAUUUUACAUAAGUAUUUUAUUUUGUUGCAUUUUUUUGAAGUAACUCAUGUUAGCCUUGGUGAUAGAUUUGACAUCUAGUCAGCAUCUAUCAUUGGCGCACGUCUCAUCUCGGGUCCACUAGGGUGAUUCGGGACGGGACGGGUCGUGUCACUAAAGGACAGCAUUUAGAAAUGGAUCAUUGCAUGGAUCGUGAUAUCCCAUUUGCUGAAGAUUGGAUAAAAGUUAGAGAUAUUUGUAAACUUGUUCAAAAUGUAUAUGAUGUUGCUGAAGUUCUUUUCGAGACAAAACAUGAUAGUGCAGGCAUCUAUGUUCACAAAUUUCAAGAAUUACAAGCAAGUUUUAUAGAAGAAUCCAGAAAUUCAGAUAAAUUUGUUAGAAUCAUAGCUCGGAAGACACUAAAGAAGUUUGAGAAGUACUGGAAGAACAUGUUCCUUGUACUAACCGUUGUUACGGUUUUGAAGCCUCAAUAUAAAAUUAAGUAUAUUGAAUUUUCUUCCUUGAAGUAUGAUACUAGUUCUAGUAUAUCAGAAGUGACAACCAUUUCAAAGUCCAUUCACUCGCCUUAUGAUGAUUAUGUUACUAGCAAAACCAGAUAAGAAUAUACAUCAAAGAAAGAUGCAUACACCUAAAUGUUGGUUUUAAUUGUUGAGAUGAGUAUAACCAGUUUAUCCAAUCUAAUAGUCAAUCUCGAUCCCUAGGCAAGAGCUUGAAUGCUACUUGGAAGAACUUGUCGUGCCUUGGAGCAAAAAUUUCAGAGUGCCAUCACGGUGGCAAUCUGUGAGCCCCAAAUAUCCUACCAUGUCCAAAAUGGCUCGUGGAUCUCUGCACAUAAAAUGUUGAUAUUUCAUGUCCAAAAGAACAAAAGAUCCAAAGAUUAUUGAGCCAAUGGAUGAAGGAAAUGUUGAUAUUCCAUGUCCAAAAGAACAAAAGAUUCAAAAAUUAUUGAGCCAAUGGAUGGACGAAGAAUGGUUGGGGAAAAAUGAGGAGUAAUUUUGGGACGGAGAAUACAAUACUAUUAUUAUUAUUAUUAUUAUUAUUAUUAUUAUUAUUAUUAUUAUUAUUAUUAUUAUUAUUAUUAUUAUUAUUAUUAUCAUCAUCAUCAUCAUCAUCAUUAUUAUUUUCAUUUUUAGUUCUUUUUGGGGUUAAGACUAUAAUUGUAAAUUUGUUAUGGCAUUUUUAUUGGAAACAUGUUAUUAUUGUGGUGGUGUUAUAAUGUGUGUAGCAAGUAAAAUUUGUGGUGGCAAUAUAAUUACCCUAAUGUUAAUUGUUACUUUUGAUCCCAUCUUUUUAAUCUUUUUCAAACAAGCAUUUGCCUAAUUUUUUUAAUUAAUUAGACAAAUAGUCAAGUUGAAUAUGGUCUUUACUAUUAAAAAAAUGUAAAUAAACAAUAAUUAUUUUUCAUAAGACUAAAUUCUCCAACUCAUAAAAGGAAUGGCAAUACGACAGGUGAUUUUCCUUGUCUUUUGUCGCGUUGGAUAUUCUUGGGUAGAGGAUAGGAAAUUAGGAAUAGGGAAUUUGCUACUCUAUUUACUCAAUUUUCUAAUAUCAAAUUUCAAAUAUGAUUUAAGUUUAAAAACAUAAAUAUACAUAUAAAACUAAGAGUCUGAACAAGUAUGAAGUGAGUAAAAUGUUCUCAGUCCCUAUAUCGAUUUUCUAUUCGAUGGGACGUAACAAGACAUUUGCUGUCUUUGCCCAUAAAGAGCUUUUUAUAUUCUAAAAAAAAAAAGUCAUUUCCUCACUGUCAUUUAAAAGUAAAUAAGAUUAUUCAUAGUUGCUUACUAUUAGUAAUUGCUCUACGUGAAAGUUUGUUAUUUGAGACAUUAAUUUUUUAUAAUUUUAUUUCGUAAAACCAACCUUUCAUUCUUUAGCAGAGCUCUCUCUCUCCACCAUUUCAUUCAAUUUGAUAAUAAACUCAUCCUUGUCGAGGGUUAAAAUUAAAUUUUUAGUUUAAUUUUGAUAAAAAUUGAUGUUUAGAGCUCAUUUUCAUCUUAUUUAUGGACAAUUUUUAAACGUUGCACAGUACAAAACCUUUAUCGUGAGGGAUCUAUACCCUAGGCUGGCAGCUCUGUUUCUUUAUUUCUUAUUUCUGAUACCCAAUUGACAACGAUUAGUCAAAGUGAACCUGGAAAAGUGAAAAAACAAUGCAUGGCUUUUGUUUGGAGCAAUUCGCGUUCACAUUUCAAGAUAGGGGUAAAAUUGGAAGUUGGACAUAUAUAUGCAUAACACCAUUUGGACUAGCUUUCACAUGGUGGGCCACAUGAUGUGAUAGAAGAAUGCAUUUUUUCCACAAUAAAGGCGUCCAAACGUUAGCUUUCACAUGGUGGGCCACGUGAUGUGAUAGAAGAAUGCAUUUUUUCCACAAUAAUGACGCCCACACGUCAAUAAUGGCGCCCAAACGUCCAUUAUUGUAGAAAAAAAUGGAUUCUUCUAUCACAUCACAUGGUCCACCAUGUGAAAGCUAACGUUUGGGCGCCAUUAUUGUGGAAAAAAUGCAUUCUUCUAUCACAUCAUGUGGCCCACCAUGUGAAAGCUAGUCUAAAUGGUGUUAUGCAUAUAUAUGGUCAACUUCCAAGUUUAAAAAAAGGUGGAACCUCAACCUUGAGGGGCUUCACUGCCUCGCUCUUGGAGUAUCGUGAGGGAGGUAAAUUGCGGGAUGUGCCCCAACAGAUCAGGGAACAAGAACUUGUCCGUACACUGGUGCUUACAAAGAAUCCAAUUCCACAUCUUAGGAAUCGACCCCUUUGCGGCUGCCAACAAAAUUGAGAUUACCUCACUCCUGUCCUUUGCACCACUGGGUUAUGCCCCGGGGGCGUCAACUUCCAAGUUUACCCCUAUCUUGAAAUGUGAACACGUAUUGUUCCAAACAAAAGCUAUGCAUUUUUUACUUUUCCAAUGAACCAAGUUUCCAUUAUUGAGGAUAGAGUGUUGUAAAGCUCAUAUAAAGCAAAUGUCGAUAAGAGGGAAUUAAAAUUUUAGAGGGUAUUUGGUGGGGAUAAAAAUUAGAUUUUUUAGUAGAUUGUGAUAGAAGUUGUUAAANNNNNNNNNNNNNNNNNNNNNNNNNNNNNNNNNNNNNNNNNNNNNNNNNNNNNNNNNNNNNNNNNNNNNNNNNNNNNNNNNNNNNNNNNNNNNNNNNNNNNNNNNNNNNNNNNNNNNNNNNNNNNNNNNNNNNNNNNNNNNNNNNNNNNNNNNNNNNNNNNNNNNNNNNNNNNNNNNNNNNNNNNNNNNNNNNNNNNNNNNNNNNNNNNNNNNNNNNNNNNNNNNNNNNNNNNNNNNNNNNNNNNNNNNNNNNNNNNNNNNNNNNNNNNNNNNNNNNNNNNNNNNNNNNNNNNNNNNNNNNNNNNNNNNNNNNNNNNNNNNNNNNNNNNNNNNNNNNNNNNNNNNNNNNNNNNNNNNNNNNNNNNNNNNNNNNNNNNNNNNNNNNNNNNNNNNNNNNNNNNNNNNNNNNNNNNNNNNNNNNNNNNNNNNNNNNNNNNNNNNNNNNNNNNNNNNNNNNNNNNNNNNNNNNNNNNNNNNNNNNNNNNNNNNNNNNNNNNNNNNNNNNNNNNNNNNNAGGUAAAUUGCGGGAUGUGCCCCAACAGAUCAGGGAACAAGAACUUGUCCGUACACUGGUGCUUACAAAGAAUCCAAUUCCACAUCUUAGGAAUCGACCCCUUUGCGGCUGCCAACAAAAUUGAGAUUACCUCACUCCUGUCCUUUGCACCACUGGGUUAUGCCCCGGGGGCGUCAACUUCCAAGUUUACCCCUAUCUUGAAAUGUGAACACGUAUUGUUCCAAACAAAAGCUAUGCAUUUUUUACUUUUCCAAUGAACCAAGUUUCCAUUAUUGAGGAUAGAGUGUUGUAAAGCUCAUAUAAAGCAAAUGUCGAUAAGAGGGAAUUAAAAUUUUAGAGGGUAUUUGGUGGGGAUAAAAAUUAGAUUUUUUAGUAGAUUGUGAUAGAAGUUGUUAAAUGUGUAGUUGAAAAAUUGUGGAACCUAUAAAAGAUGUGGUUAGUGUUGAUUGUUUGACUUUAACUUAGAUUAAAAUCAGAUUUUAAUCCAAAUCAAAUAGUCUGUUAAAUCCUUGUCAAAGUCAAAGUCAAUAAUUCAUUUAAAUCACGUAUUUUAAGACAUUCAUAAGUUUUUAAUCAUAUACUGCAUCAAAUUUUAUCAAAAUUUACUAAAAAUUUAAUUUUAACUUGUAACAUCACAUUUCUCUUUUCCUAAUUUUUGCGAAUAUGAUAUUCCCUAAUGAUAUAUUUAAUGCUUAUUAUUAAUUUAUUGUCAAUGUGACUACUAAUAUGUUGUAGUGGAUUAUACCUUGAACGUCCUAGGUGAUUGACAUGCCAAUUAAAGCUAAUUAUAUGAAAAUCAAAUGAAAAUCUAGAAAAGGGAAGGAAAUGUAAAUAGAUGAAGAAAGAGGACUAGUAAUUAUUGAGGAGAGUGUGCUGUACAGCUCAUAUAAAGCAAAUGUCAGUAAUGGGGAAUUAAAAUUUAAAUAUUUACCAAAGUUGGAGUCAAUAAUUGAUUUAAAUCAAGUACUUUAUGAUAUUCAUAACUUUUCAAAUAUGUUAUUGAGUUGUGAAUAUCACAGAAGAAUGCAUUUUUGGAAAAAGUUUUGUCUGAUUUGAUGAGCUUUUUUGAAGGAAAAUGAUAACUUUUUUACAAGGAGUAGAAGUCUUGUCAAAGCGGCGUUAAGUAUAAGAUCUAAUAAUUAAGUUGAGUGAGGAUUAGUUUGUUCUACUCAAAUGUGCUUUUUACAAUAAAAAAUGAACCAAAGUAGAUCAAGAUAAAUUGAUCUAUAAACAGCUUCUCUAACCUUAAAAAAAUCGAGUCAUUUUUACAUUGACAUUCAGUGCUUGUUUGGGAAAGUUAAACAGUUGAUUUUGUUAAAAGAAGUGGAAGAUCUUUUGGAAUUAGUGGUGGAAAAGCGAGUAAUACUAGUGGAUUUUAUGUAAUGUAAGAUUAAUAUAAAGGGUGGUUAUAUUAUCACCACAAUAAGUGUUUGGUACCCUAUAAUUUUCUUAUUUAUUUUAAAAAAUUACUAGUAAAAUGACAUAAGUACCCUAUCUUUUAUUCACUAAUAUAUUUAUUCAUACGAUCACUACCAUCCGUACACAAAAAAUACAUAACUCCUACUUAAAGAUACAAAUGCCAAGAUCAAAAGAUCCAAGAUUCACUAAUAUAUUUAUUCAUAUGACCACUACCAUCCGUACACAAAAAAUACAUAACUCCUACUUAAAUAUACAAAUGCCAAGAUCAAAAGAUCCAAGAUUGAAGAAAAGAACAAGAAAUUUUAGGAUAUGGUAUAGGCAUUUUGGAAUAUUGAAUGUAUUAUUUUAAAAGUUCGCUAUAUUCUUCUUGGAAACUCGUCGUUAUUGUGGAAUAUGCCAUUAUACAACCUGCAAAAGGUAUUGGAUUUGGAGGCUAAAGGACAGUAUUUAGAAAUGGAUCAAUGCAAGGAUCGCGAUAUCCCAUUUGCUGAAGACUGGAAAAAAGUAAGAGAUAUUUGUAAACUUGUCCAAAAUGUAUAUGAUGUUGCUGAUGUUCUUUUCGAGACAAAACAUGCUAGUGCGGGCAUCUAUGUUCAUAAAUUUCAAGAAUUACAAGCAAGUUUGAUAGAAGAAUCUAGAAAUUCUGAUAAAUUUGUUAGAAUCAUAGCUCAGAGGAUGCUAAAGAAGUUUGAGAAGUACUGGAAGAACAUGUUCCUUGUACUAACCGUUGUUACUGUUUUGGAUCCGCAAUAUAAAAUGAAGUAUAUUGAAUUUUCUUCCUUGAAGUAUGAUACUAGUUAUAGUAUCUCGGAAGUGACAGCCAUUUCAAAGUCCAUUUACUAGCCUUAUGAUGAUUAUGUUACUAGCAAAACUAGAGAAGAAUAUUCUAUGAGUGAUUCGAAUUCUGAGUUUGAAGAAGAGAUUCCUACAAACAUCAAAGAAAGAUGCCUACUCCCAAACUUUGCUUUUAAUUGCUUAGAUGAGUAUAAACAGUUUAUCCAAUCUGAUAGUCGAUCUCGACCAUUAGGUAAAAGCUUGAAUGCUACUUGGAAGAACCUGUCGUGCCUUGGAGCAAAAAUUUCAGCGUGCUAUCUUGAUGGCAAUAUGUGAGCCCCAAAUAUCCUACCUUGUCCAAAAUGGCUCGUGGAUCUUUGCACAUAAAAUGUUGAUAUUUCAUGUCCAAAAAAUAAUUGAGCCAAUGGAUGAAGGAAAUUGAUGAGGAAGAAUGGAUGGGGGAAAAUGAGGAGUAAUUUUGGGAAGGAGAGUACAUUGUUAUUAUUAUUAUUAUUUUUUUUUUUUUCAUUUUCAGUUUUUAUUGGGUUAAGGCUAUAAUUAUAAAUUUGUUAUGGUAUUUUUAUUAGAAACAUGUUGUUUUAAUGUGUGUAGCAAGUAAAAUUUGUGGUGGCAAUAGAAUUGCCUUAGCAUUAAUUGUUACUUUUGAUCCCGACUUUUUAAUCUUUUUCAAACAAGCAUUUGCUCAAUUUUUUGAAUAACUAGACAAAUAGUCAAGUUGAACAUGGUCUUUACAAUUGAAAAAAUGUAAAUAAAUAAUAAUUUUUUUUCAUAAGAUUAAAUUCUCCAACUCAUAAAAGGAAUGGCAAUACGACAGGUAGUUUUCCUUGUCUUUUAUGGCGUUGGAUUUUCUUGGGUGGAGGGUAGGAAAUUAGGAAUAGGGAAUUCAUUACUCUAUUUGCUCAAUUUUCUAAUAUCAUUUUGAAAAACAAUUUAAGUUUAAAAACAUAUAUGUACAUGUAAAAAUAAGAGUCUGAACGAGUAUGAAGUAACUUGUUCUUCCUAUAUUGAUUUUCUAUUCAGUGGGAUGGAACAAGACAUUUGCUGUCUUCGCCUAUAAAGAGCUUUAUAUUCUUAAAAAAGGUCAUUUUCACAUUGACAAUUAAAAGUGAAUAAUACUAUUCAUAGUUGUUCACUAUCAAUUAUUUCUCUAUAAUUUUAUUUCUUAAAACUAACCGUUCAUUCUUUAGCAGAGUUUUGUGUUUCUCCACCAUUUCAUUCAAUUUGACAAUAAGCUCAUACUUGGAGGGGUUAAAAUUAAAUUUUUAGUAAAUUUUGGUAAAUAUUGUUGUUUAGAGCUCAUUUCAUCUUAUUUAUAGACAAUUUUGACCACUGCACAAUACAAAACUCUUUCUUUAUUCUGAUUUAUGACACUGAAUUGAAAUAAUCUAUCAAAGCCCUUGUUUAGGAGAGCUUUCGUUUUCAAUUGUAGCCAGUGACCAUUAUACAUAUAUGUUAAAUAAGGCAAGUUGAGUGGGAGCCCUCAAGGUUGGAGUUCAACCUUUCAAAUAAGGCAAAUUGCAAUUUUUGACUAUUUUAAGACAGAAUGAUCCCUUAACAUUUCAUUCAUUCUUCAUGAGACAAGGACAUUUUUGGUAUUUAAUUUUGAGACAGUAAAAAAUUGCAACCAAAAUGAGACCCAUGUUCAACUGUGUAAGGGAGAAAAAUUGCUAAAAAUGGAAAAAAAGCUCUCCCAGACAAGAGCAAAGUGAACUUCGAAAAGUAAAAAUACAUUUUUUGUUUGUAACAAUACUUGUUCACGUUUCAAUAUAGGGGUAAAAUUGGAAGUUGCCCAUAUAUAUUUAUAACACCAUUUGGAGUUUGGACUAGCUUUCACAUGGCGGGCAAUGUGAUAUGAUAGAAGAAUGCAAUUUUCCACAAUAAUGGCGCCCAAACGAUGACCUGCUAAUGUUAUUGAAUGAUUUAAUUGAAUUAUUAACUUUUACUUUCAUAAAAAUAUAAUUGCUACAUUUGCUUUAUAUGAGCUGUACAACACACACCAAGAAUUACUAGUUUUCUUUCUUCAUCCGUUAACAUUUCCUCCUCUUUUCUGGGUUUUCAUUCGAUUGUCAGAGCUGCAACAUCCAUUUCCAUGACUUCAAAGCUAUAUGCUAAUCAGAAUUUUCUGUUUUUGCUUUAGUGGUAGCGUCUAUUAUUCUUCAAACAAGCAUUUGCUCAAUUUUUUGAAUAACUAGACAAAUAGUCAAGAUGAACAUGGUCUUUACAAUUGAAAAAAUGUAAAUAAAUAAUAAUUAUUUUUUAUAAGAUUAAAUUCUCCAACUCAUAAAAGGAUGGCAAUAUGGCAGGCGGUUUUCCUUGUCUUUUGUCGCGUUGGAUUUUUUUGGGUAGAGGGUAGGAAAUUAGGAAUAGGUACUUUUACCCAAUUUUCUAAUAUCAUUUUUUUAAAAAUACAAUUUAAGUUUAAAAACAUAUAUGUACACGUUAAAUUAGGAGUCUAAACGAGUAUCAAGUAACUUGUUCUCAAUUCCCAUAUCGAUUUUCUAUUCGAUGGAUGGAACAAGACAUUUGCUGUUUUUGCCCAAAAAGAGCUUUAUAUUUUAAAAAAGUUCAUUUCCACAUUGACAUUUAAAAAUAAAUAAUAUUAUUCACUCACUGUCAAUUAAUUUUCUAUAAUUUUAUUUCUUAAAACCAACCGUUCAUUCUUUAGCGGUGUUUUGUCUCUGUCCACCAUUUUUCCCACUUCCACAUGGUGGGCCAUGUGAUAUGAUAGAAGAAUGAAAUUGUUCCACAAUAAUGGCGCCCAUACGACGACACGCUAUGUUAUUGAAUGAUUUAAUUGAAUUUUAAUUGCGACAUUUGCUUACAACACUCAAAAUUACUAGUCUUCUUUCUUCAUCCGUUUACAUUUCCUCCUCUUUUGUGGGUUUUCAAAGCUAUAACAUCCAUUUCCAUGGCUUCAAAGCUACAAGCUAAUCAGAAUUUUCUGUUUUUGCGUCAGUGGUAGCGUCCAUUAUGCUUUAAACAAAAGUUUAGGGGGUAGACAACUCACAUACACUAUCUUUCUCUUUCCCUGCAAUUCGACCAUCCUUUCCUUUCCUUUCCUUGCAAUGGAUAUCUCACUCACUAAUUCGUUUACUAGUCCUGCAGAUCUCUUUCUAAUUGUGAGCGAUCAUAUAUUAUAUAUCUCCUCCAAACAUCAUCCUAUAAUUGAUACGUUACUUGGUUUUAUACCUUUACAAACGCACGGUUUCUUUGAUGAAUUUCACAGAAACAUUUUCUAUGAAUCAGUGUUAGCUGGACUUGAUCAAGAGCUUAAGGUGUUCUUUACAGUCCCUGACCAGCAAAUCUUGUCCAAGUUAACUCCUACUCUCAAUUCUAAUGAAGUUGUUGCGGCGUUCAUCAACUUUCUCCUCCUGAUGGUAGAAGUCAUUCUACAUUUUGAGGAAGAUUCGAUUGCUCGUGUAAAGGGUUCGUUCCAAAAUCUCCGGACAGAGCUUGGAUUUCUUAUCACUUUUCUUGGGGAUACAGCAAUGCAUUUGCAGCCCACCGAGACUAUAGUGAUAGAUAUUGAAGAUGUGGUCAAUGAGGUAGGAUGUUUCUUGUAUUCCUUCCUUUGGGCCAUUGUUAUGUUCAUUCUAAUCUGUAAAGAGAAAGAAUUAUAUACUAGAAUGUACGGUUGGAAAGUUGGGGUUAAUGAGGUAGGAAGUCUCCGUCUUUCUGACUUUAUCCACUUUCUUGAGGAUCAACCAUUGCUAAACACUAUGUUGAAAGCAACGAAAGAUAUUAAAGCUUCGCUCCAUAAGAUAGGAAGUUUAUUAGAUUCCUUCAUUUCCAAGAAGAAUGAUCAAGCUAUGGAGCCAGGAAACUUAAAUCUUGCUCUUUCUGAUUUGUUAGCAAAGUUUGAGACCUUGAAAACAAAGAUCAAGGAGCACUGCAUCAGAGUCUCAAAGAUCCCAAGUGAUAUGGCUCCUAAGACUGGUGUGGUUUCACUCUUCAUUGUUGAUUCCGUCCUCGAUGAUCUCAUGGAUCUAAUAAAUAACAAGUCUGACUCGACUGGUGUUGUGAAUGAUCAAAUUGUAAUGCUUCAGACGCUUCAGAAGGAGCUAAUGUUAUUGGGAUCAUCCAUCACAGAUAUAGCAUUGCAGCAGGAAGCAGAACAUGAAGAACUUGUGAUACGGAGCAGAGACAUAGCAUAUGAAGUUGAAUAUGUUAUCAAAUCAUUUCGUCAAGCUUGGUAUCUUUCUCUCCGGCUCCCUCAACUCAUUGACAAGAUUCAGCUUAUUACGAUGGCUAUCGAAAAAAUGAAGAACAAUGUUGAUAUAUCUAGAAUGUCAAUUUUUUCGAAACAUCCACAUGAACAUGUAGAUCCACAGUCAGAAGAAUCUCCCAUUUUGGAAGACUUUGUUGUGGGAUUUGACAAUGUAACAAUUGAAAUUGUAGAACAACUUGCUCGAGGAAUAGAAAAGCUACAAAUUAUUUCCAUAUUUGGGAUGCCUGGACUUGGUAAGACGACCUUGGCAAAUAAAUUAUAUAAUCAUCGCUACGUUUUAUACCAUUUUCACAAUCGUGCCUGGUGUGCUGUUUCUCAAAUAUAUAAUAAGAAAAAUGUGUUGAUUGAAAUUUUGAGCUCAAUGAGUAACAAUAAGAGGGAUACAUACAUGAAAAAGGAGGAAAACAGCUUGGUCGACGAUCUUUACAAAAACUUAAAAGGAAGGCGAUACCUCAUUGUGAUAGAUGAUAUAUGGGAUAUCAAUGUGUGGAAUGAUUUAAAAAGAUGUUUUCCAGAUGACGGAGUUGGAAGCAGAAUCUUAUUCACUACUCGAAAUAAAGAAGUGGGUUUGAAAGCUUUACCUCAUAAUUUCACAAAGGAACUUCCUUUUUUGUCGGAAGUUGAAUGUUGGGACAUAUUACAAGGGAAAGUGUUCCAAGAUAAAAAAUGUCCUCAAGAAUUGCUAGACAUUGGCAAGCAAAUUGCAAAAAAUUGUCAUGGCCUACCACUCGCAGUGGUUGUGAUAGCUGGAGUUCUUGCAAACAUGGAGAAGAAAAAACACUUGUGGGAAAAAGUUGCCAGAAAUUUAGGUUCUCAUAUAUCUGAAAUACCAGAGAAGUGCAUCCAAAUAUUGCAGCUUAGCUACGACCAUUUACCAAUGCAUUUGAAAACGUGUUUUCUUUACUUUGGAGCAUUCAAAGGAGACAUGAAGAUCCCUGUACGGAAGUUGAUAUCUCUUUGGGUUGCCGAAGGAUUUAUAAAGAAGGAAGAACAGAAGAACAUAGAGGACGUGGCACGAGAAUAUUUAAUGAAAUUGAUUGAUAGGAGUCUAGUACUUGUUGCUGAAAAAAGAUAUGAUGGAGGAGUCAAAACAUGCAAGAUUCAUGAUCUAUUGCGUGAAAUGUGCUUGAAAAUAGCUGAAGAAAAUAACUUUUUGAAGUUUAUCAAACAGUAAGUUCAAUGUCUCUUCUUUUUCCUUUCCUUUCCUUUCCAUCCAUUUUUUAUUUUAGCUUACUUAGAAGGUUAUUAUAUUUGAUAAUCGUAACAAUGAUGUGAUUAUGUUGUUUUUGUUGCCAGUAAUGAUGAUGAUGAAGAUAAACAACGGUUCUUCAGUCAAGUAUCAACGUAUCAGCAGCACCAUUGCCUGAGUAUCAACUGUACGAUACCUCCGAGUUCACUACCUUUUGGCCUACACGUACGCUCUCUUCUAUAUGAUAUUCAUUUUGUGGGAUCGAGCACACCAAGACCGACCACAUCAAUCUCAUGCAGCCACAAACUUCUUAGGGUCUUUGAUUUUAGCAGCAGGUCACUACCCUGGGGUCUAAUAAUAGGAUUGGAACACCUGGUUCUAAUAAUAGGAUUGGAACAUCUAGUUCACUUGAGGUACUUGGCACUUUCAUGUACACGGCCACCAUUAAAUUUGGAAAGGUUCCACAAACUAGAAUUUCUUGUUGUGGACAAUGAUGUUGAAGUUGAAAUACCUGAGAUCCUCCUUAAUACAGUGAGUUUGAGACACAUGGAGUUCAAGGGCGGUGCACGCUUCAGUGAAUCUAGUUGUCAGCUGGCAACUAACAGUAAGAACUUCCAAAUAAAUAACCUACGAAGUAUUUCUAGACUCUCAAUUUACGUUGAAUUGGAUGAGAAAGUUUUGGGACGUUCGCCCAAUCUUCGUAGACUGAAAGGCAGGGUGGAUAAAGAUUUACUAAAUCCUUCUUUCGACUUCCUUAAUCAGCUCGAAUCACUAAAGCUAUAUGAAAUAUUUCAUUGUUCUUUUAGUUUGCCCUUAAAUUUGAAAAAAUUGACACUAGAUCAUGCAAAGGUGUCUCGAAAACAAAUGGAGAUAAUUGGAAGGUUGCCUUGCCUUGAGGUUCUCAAAUUAGAAUCGGUUGCCUUUGAGGAAGAACAAUGGAACACAAGUGAGGGUGAAUUCCCACAACUCAAAUACUUGAAACUUGCAAAUGUAAACAUUGCAGAAUGGAAUGCCUCAAGUGAUCAUUUCCCGGUACUUCAACGAAUAGUAUUGAAAUCUUGCGGGAAUCUAAAGAAGAUCCCUUUCAGUUUAAAUGAUAUUCCAACGUUACAGGAGAUUUGGUUAUAUGGAUGUCCACCAACUACCAACGAAUCAGCUAAGGAAAUUAAGGAAGAACAAAAAGCGAUGGGCAAUGAAGAGCUUGAAGUCAUGAUCUCUGAAAAACAAUUGGAGGAAAAUGAAUACAACGAACUUCUGAAGGUAAUAAUGAGAGAGAUUCUCUUCUUUAAAUCUCUUUCACGUUCUCAUCUUGGUCCUAGGUAUUUUGUAUUAUGCUAAAAUGAAACAUCAAAAAUAAAUUCUACUGUAAUUUUGGCUUGUAUUGGAAUUAAGCCCCUCUUUGGUUUGGGUUAAAAUAAGAUUUUUAAUAGAUUUUCAUAAAGGUCAAUGAAAAGUGUGAUUGAAAAAUUAAUAAAAUUUAUGAAUUUCAUAAAAUAUGUGGUUGAAAAUGAGCUAGGGGAAAAAAUUAGUUUUAAAAAUUUGGGACCAAAUAGGGGGCUCUAUUUUAUGAGCUUCUUGAUGUUAUUCUAGGAAUAAUGAUAAGUGCGUUUUUAUGCACUUAUGUUUGAAUUGUGGCUUAAAUUUGUUUGAUUCUUGAAUUGCAGGGUAAAUUGAUGGACACGGUGGAACUCAUGAGAAAAAUGAAGCGACAAGAACCAAAAGGAAUCAAAGUGCCAAAACGAAUCAAAGUGAAAGUUCAAGGACCAAAGCGCAAAUAUCCAAAAGAUGAACCGAAGGAGCAAGAAAAGAUUUGAUAGAGCCAAGUACCAAUUGGAGGUUAAUAUUGGUAACCUCUGUCAUGGUGAAUUCAAUUUUAUUACUGUACACUCAUGGUGAUUUAAAUCAAAAGAAAAUAUUUCGUGAACAAAUUACUAAUCCAUAAGGUUCUAUGUUUGGACAUUGAUCUCUAUUAUUUCUGCCUUUCACAUUUUUUACCAUAAAAUCGUUUUUACAUAAAAUCCCAAAGGUCACAAUUUCACUUCUAGUUAGAUUUUGUCCUUGGAAUAAUUUGAUUGUUUAGGCCCAAUUCCUUUGUUAAUUGCAUGGAGGUCCUUUAACUUCCGAACUUCCGAACUUGUUAUCUUGGUCCUUGAUUCCAGAUUCUGUCCAAUGUCCAUCCUUCUUGAUCAAAUAUCGUCCCCUUUUAUUGUUUCCUGUUCAAUAUUGUUUUUUCUUCUAAAAUAAUUAACAUAUACACAAAAUUAAGUAUCUGGCUCAUAAAAGUAUUUCCAAACACCCACUUUUGAUGGCUUAUAUAAGUGUAAAAUCAUACUUAUCAACUGUCAUAGAUAUACAACUUCAAGAGCCGAAUGAUCUUUUUUUGAGGUAAAUAGUGAUUUACUCAUUUGUAUUGCAUAUUUGUGUCCGCACAAUUCACUAAAGGACAAGUGAAUUCAAUUGUGUGAGUAAUAUGCCCAAGAUUUUAAAUCAGUAGAAACCUUGGCAUUGAUGAGCAAAUUUAUAUAUAUAUAUAUAUAUAUAUAUAUAUAUAUAUUAUUGAUAUGCACACUCAUGAGAUUUUAAUAGGGCUAGGAUAGGAGACCUUAAUGAUAUUGCAUAAAAGUUGUUUCUAACGUGAAAAGGUGUAGCAAUUACUUUACAGGCUUGUAACAUUGGUGUUAGUUAUUUCAGGCUUUAGAGAUGAUAAUUCUCGGCGAUGAAGUUUGUGAAGAAUCGAUUGCGUAAUUAGAAAGGAGAUCAAUGGUUGAAUGACACUUUGGUGGCGUAUAUUAGAACGAUGUAUUUGACGAUAUCGACAACGAUGUAAUUAUACGAUAUUUUCAAAAUAUGUAAGCGUGUAGGCUAUAAUUGUAGUAAAAUAUUGACUUAUUUUCAUCAAUACAUUGUUUUAAAAAAGUGUAUCUUAAUUUUCAAUCAUACAAUGAAAAAUGUCUGGCUUUGGAAUGAUAUUAGGCUUGAUAAAAUCAAUUAUCUUCGGUGGCAAAACCAAUUUCUGAAUGUCAUCAUGGCUAAUGGAUUAGUAGGUUUUAUAGAUGUUACAUUUACUUUUCCAUCCAAGUUUGUUGUACAACUGCUCAUUCGGUCGAAAUUUUUAUUUUUUCGAUAUUAUGACUUCAAGCUUUUCAUUUCCCAUCGCAUGUUGUUCUUCCUGAAUUUGCUUAUCAGAUUCUUAAAUUGCUUGCUCAGACCCUCUGCCACAGAACUUUCCUUAUCAUGAAUUUGUUCGUAAGAUUGUAGGUUAAGGAUUUCCUUCAAAUAAAAUAGAAGAAGAAAAAUGAUAGAUUUUCAUGUAUAUCAAAUUGAAACAGCAAUCUCUACAUAUAGAUGUUAGUACGCCUUUCCAAAGCGUUACAUUUGUCAAAUCUAUUCAUGAUUACAAUUAUAUAUUCAGCAAUACUGAAUGAAAAUAUUCAAGCUUCCCUUCUUAAUUUCUGUACAACUUUUUUAAUUUGCUAUAUGCAUAUUUCCAGAAGCAGCUAAGUUGAUAUGAAACAAAUAAAAUUUUAUUAUUCAAAAAUCAAAAAAACAGAAGAACUACAAAGUUAGCAGUCAUUUUCAAGAUUAUCUUCCACUCUAUCCAUCCCCAAAGUUCAAAACAGGAGGGGGUGUUUCUCCUCUUUCAGUAUUAUUAUGUAAUUGACUCUUCAUGUAAAGAGUUGAUUGAACUGAUUGACUCAAACAAAAAAUAUACAUGGAGGCACCAACAACAAAUGACGACGUAAUUAUAGUUGAUGACGCAAAAUAAGGAUAAUUUCAUUGAAAUAAAUGACGAGCAUCAUUUUUUACUGCCAUGUCAUCGAUAUCCAAGUGACAAAACUAGACUAAGAUCAUGUAAGCAUCUGAAUUCUUGAACACACCAUUCUUUGAAAAGAUUUUCGAGAUGUCAAAUUUGAAUAAAGUUCCUUUGUAUUCAUCAAAAUAACUACAGGCUCUAUCACAUUUGUCGACCUUUAGUUCAUUUUCAAAAAGCCCGUGUUGCAAGAUUGAAGUACUCCUGACCUCCUACCUCCUAGCUAGACAGAGGAUCAGGAUUCGUCUUCAUCUUCAUCUUUGCCCUCGUCUUCCACUUCAUCUUCAUCUUCAUCUUCAUCUUCAGAAUCUACGUAAUCGACCUUUGCAAUAGGAGAUGCAAGCCAAAACUUGUUCAACUGUUUCAGAAUCUAAAGUCCUUUGUCAGCGUUAGCGUUGGCCAUUGACCAGAUCACCAUUCUCUUCAGCUUAGACGAUUUUUCUAGUAAAAGCUUAGUCACUGCCAUCUCAGCAACUGUGCCUGAAAUAAAAUGCAGCUUCACUUUUUGAAGUUGAGUUAAAGUUACAUCUGAGUAGCCUUGCACUUACAGAAAAUCUAGAAUAGGACUACAGAAAAUCUAGAAUAGGACUAGCAUCAGCAUUUGCACUCUCACAAAUCUAGACAAUAAGGCAAGAUAUCACCGAGCUUAAACUUUUGUUUUAAAAUAGAGAAUUGAAGAUGUAAGUCGUAAUGGUCAUAUCCAUCACUUACCUUGAAUCUCAGUUCCUCAAGGUCGGGGGAGCUUCUGAUCAAGCACAGAACACAAGAGAGUUCAUCCAAUAAAUUAGAACAUAUAUAAAAUAACUUCAGAACUUUAAGGUGCAUUAAAGUAGCUGAUAGCCUUUCUUGGGCUUGACCUGCAGCCAAAAUCUUCAAAGCGGUGGUGAAAGCAUGAUCUAAUAUAGUUUAGUCGACGAUUUCAAGGGAUUAUAUUUAUAAUAAAAAAUACCUUAAUGAAAGUAUAGCUCAAGUACACUUUCUGAAGGCCAGGCAGAGAAUCAAAAAACUGAAUGAAGUUACAUUGCCCAUCUUCCAAAAUAUUGUCAACUACCCAAUCAUUAUGUAAAGCAACCAAAAUCAUUGCAAGAUGUGGGGAUUUCUUAAAAUAAAACGAUGAUAUAGGGAAACAUGUCAAUUCAAAGUGUUUUAGCAUAGAGUAUCUAUUUCUACGUAGUCAAAUUUGUUUGAAACAUUCAGCAAUAGUUUCCCCAGUACCGGGCAGCUUGAUAUCAAACUUCCUAAAUUCCUAAUACAUCAGCAUCAAUGGUCACGUCAAACAAUUCCAGCCUAAUUGGUCUAUUAAAUCCUUCAAAGCUUGGUGGUGGAGGAUUGAUCAACCAAGACAACGGCUUCAAAUGUUUCAACUGUAUACACAUAAAUGGUGAAGAAGGCGAUGUGUACUGUUCUCCACUCUUUAUUUUAAAGGUGAAUUCUUCAACACUGUUCUUCCAUAAGAUAUGUAUCAAGUAGUCAAUUUCUGAACAAUUUUUAAGUUUCGGAAUAACGAGGCUCAAUUUAGUUAUGGGUCCUGGAUGAAGCAAAAGAUCCUUGUAAAAGAUCAACAAGAACUUCAUUCUAGCUGAUUCUAGGUUUCCCUUAUUAAGGGAUAAAAAUCCAACAUCGAUUAAAUAUCGAAAUAUUGACCAACUUAAAAAAGAUCUUGGGCUACUCCUCUUAAUCAGAUUGACCUUUUAAGAUGGAACCUCAAAUUUUAACAUGGUAUCAACUCAUUAAACUCCAACGAGCAACUCAAUCCCGAUACGACUCUAAAAAUGAGCACACAGAUUUCAAGAUUGGUUUAUUCAAACGAGCCAACAUCUUGUGGGGGCAUGUUAAGGGAUAAAAAUUUCACAUCGACUAAAUACUGAAAUAUUGACCAAUUUAUAAAAAUCUUGUGCUACUCCUCUUAAUAAGAUUGACCUUUUAAGAUGGAACUCUAAAUCUUCACAUGAUAUCAGAGCUCAUUAAGUUUCAACGAGCAAUUCGAUCCAAUUAAAACUCUAAAAAUGAGCACACGAAUUUCAAGAUUGGUCUGCUCAAACGAGCCACCAUUUUGCGGAAACAUAUUAUUAAGGGAUAAAAAUCCAACAUCGAUUAAAUACCAAAAUAUUGACCAACUUAAAAAAGAUUCUGUGCUACUCCUCUUAAUAAGGCGGACCUUUUAAGAUAGAACCCCAAGUUUUAACAUCCCUUAUAUUCUUGCCAUAGGGUCUCAUGAAAUCUGACGCAUAUUUGUGUGGGUCUUGUAAUUGAAUUUCGUCGAGUCCUAAUGCACUUUAACUUGUUGAAGACUUAAAGGUUGAAUCCCAACCUUGAGGGCCUCCAUCGCUCCGCCCCUGAAGCAUCAUGAGGGAGGUAAAUUGUGGGAUGUGCCCCAACAGGACAGGGAACAAGAGCUUGCCCGUACACUGGUGCCCACAAAGUGUUCAAUUCCAUAUCUUAGGAAUCGAACCCUCACAUUGCGACUGCCAGCAAGACCAAGACUAUCUCACUCCUGUCCUUUGCACCACUGGGUUAUGCCCCGGAGGCUAACUUGUUGAAGACUUUCCUAGUGAUGUAGUGGUUUCACGCUUUAAAGUAGGUUUAAUUUUUCUCAAAAGAGAGAUCAUCAAGUAAAUUUGAGAAAUUCGACUUUCAACACAAGUACAACUUUGUUAAAGUGUUAUAAGUUAAUAUUAAAAAAAUGUUUGAAUUGGUAGAUGAUGAGGAUGGCCAACCUAAUUGGGAAGUCUAGGUACACUUAUUCCUACCUCUUAACAUCCUUGUGUAAACAUGGAAAUGUAAACUUAUAAAGUAAAUAACUUUUAGUUUACGAGAAUUAUAAAUAAAAUAAGUUAUUAAUUUUAACAAUAAACAAGCACAUAUUUAAAAGAAAAACAAAUAUAAAUCGUAAUCAAAAGUUUUAUCCACAAAAAAAUCAUAGAGACACUGCAUUUCUUUAACACGCUUCAUACACGGUGAUUUUGAAUGUGUAUAUGGCGAAUACAUCUACACAUUAGAUAUCUGCAUAUAUAUUAUCAUUUAACAUAUAAAUUAAGCUCAUGUUUGGAAAGGUAUAGCUAAAAAAUUGAUAAAAAUUUAAGUUAAAAAGUCAAAGAUUAAUUUUCAUCACACAUUUAUUAGGAUCCAUAAUUUUUAUCUACUUUUCUAUCAAAUUUAUAAAAUUUAUCAAAAUCCAAUUAAAAUCUAAUUUUCAGCUAAACCAAAUGAGGACUAAUUCGUAUGUAGUAACAUGCAAUCCAAUGCGUAUGCUAGAAGUCAACAUAUGAAUUUUCAAAGCUAUUAUACCUUUGAUUUCACCCAAUAAUAGGAAUCUAUUAAAAAUCUUAUUUUAAGCUAAAUCAGACAGGGGCUAAUUCACAUGUUGUAGCAUGCAAUCCCAUGCGAGCUCUAGAAGUCACUAUAUGACAUUUCCAAACUAUACACAUCUGAUUUCACCCAAUACAAGAAGUAACCAGUCCAUGGCUAGUAACAAUUAAGCCCUUGUUUGAGCCUCAUCCCCCCCCCCCCCCCCCCCCCCCCCCCCCCGAGGGGUUUUUAUUUUGGAAUAGUUUUCCUGGAAAAUGCGUGGUUAAAUUUUUUUUAUUUUUAAAAUCAACUUAUGUGUAAAAUUAAUUUAUUGAAGAAUGUGUGGUUGAAAUUGAGUUUUGAAACAAUGAGUCUUUGGUAAAAUGGAGCUCAAACAAGGGCCAAGUGCUUUCACCAUUACAUUGUGUCCACUUACUUUUAUAGUAAUCUAUCCAACAAAGUAAAGCAUUAGCUCAAAAAGACUUAAGACAGCUUGAAAUUGAAGAUGUAGCUAGCAUAAUAUUAUACGCCAUUCAGAAAAAAAGGGUUUCUAGUCUCAAGAAGCCCACAUCACAAGAUUUCAAUUACUCCUGACCUUUUUGAGCUAGUAAGCGAGCCUGCAUUAAGCUCUACCACCAAAGUUCAUUUUUAUCGAAAGCUUUAAAAAAUGACCUUUGCAUUUGGUAAACACGCUUAAAUUUGUUCGUCUCGAUCAAAAUCCCAAAAUUCUUCGUCAGCAAGUUUCUCUAAUGGUCAUUUCAGCCUGAUCACCAUCUUAUCAAGCUUCGGCGAUUUCUCUAAUAAAAGCUUGACGAGUGUCAUCUCAAGAACUGUUGAAGAAAUACAUUCCAGCUUCACUUUUUGAAGCCGAUUAAAGCUACAAAAAAAUGCUUUCCAACAGCCAAAAAAAUUGGUCGCUAAAAUAAAAAUUCUGGUUGGUAAAAAGUAUCAGCAACCAAAAUUGAAUGAUCGCUGCUUGGUCGCUAAUUCACCGUCGGUGAAUGUGUUUAGUGACCAAUGUUGUUUGGUUGCUAAUUAUGUAACGUUCACCAACCAAAAUCAACUUAUGUGUAAAAUUAAUUUAUUGAAGAAUGUGUGGUUGAAAUUGAGUUUUGAAACAAUGAGUCUUUGGUAAAAUGGAGCUCAAACAAGGGCCAAGUGCUUUCACCAUUACAUUGUGUCCACUUACUUUUAUAGUAAUCUAUCCAACAAAGUAAAGCAUUAGCUCAAAAAGACUUAAGACAGCUUGAAAUUGAAGAUGUAGCUAGCAUAAUAUUAUACGCCAUUCAGAAAAAAAGGGUUUCUAGUCUCAAGAAGCCCACAUCACAAGAUUUCAAUUACUCCUGACCUUUUUGAGCUAGUAAGCGAGCCUGCAUUAAGCUCUACCACCAAAGUUCAUUUUUAUCGAAAGCUUUAAAAAAUGACCUUUGCAUUUGGUAAACACGCUUAAAUUUGUUCGUCUCGAUCAAAAUCCCAAAAUUCUUCGUCAGCAAGUUUCUCUAAUGGUCAUUUCAGCCUGAUCACCAUCUUAUCAAGCUUCGGCGAUUUCUCUAAUAAAAGCUUGACGAGUGUCAUCUCAAGAACUGUUGAAGAAAUACAUUCCAGCUUCACUUUUUGAAGCCGAUUAAAGCUACAAAAAAAUGCUUUCCAACAGCCAAAAAAAUUGGUCGCUAAAAUAAAAAUUCUGGUUGGUAAAAAGUAUCAGCAACCAAAAUUGAAUGAUCGCUGCUUGGUCGCUAAUUCACCGUCGGUGAAUGUGUUUAGUGACCAAUGUUGUUUGGUUGCUAAUUAUGUAACGUUCACCAACCAAAUGUUUGGUCUGUAUUUGGUGGCUGAUAAUAGCAAAAAAUUGGUUGGUAUGUACCCUUUUGCAACCAAGAGUUUGGUCAGUAAAGGUGUAGGUCAAUGAAGGUGUAGAAUUUUUAUUUAUUUAUUUUUUACCAAUGGUUUAGAUGGAAUUUCAGCAACCACAAGUUAGGUUGUACCUUAUUAAAAUUUCUAAUUAAUAAAGUUAAUAAAUAAUGCAAGAGAAAAUAAUAAAAAAAUAUACAAUAACUACAAAAAAAUAAUUGUGAUUGCAUACAUAACAAUUACUAAUAGUUAAUACAUAAAUUAAAAUGUCAUUGUAUAUUUAUCCAACAACAUAUCAUAGACCCUAAUAUAGAAUGUGUCAUAUAUCUCACCAAAUCUAUCCUAUACCUUACAAAAGAUGUCUUAUAUUUUUAGUAACAUAAGUGUCCUAGACUUUAUGAACAAAAGGUAUGUGCAGACAAAAAAAUAAAAAAAUAAAAAAAAUCUAGUUAUAGACUUUUGUUCCAUUCAUACUCUAUAUCUUGCAUCAUCAGUAUCACUGGAUCAAUGAAUUUGCAGAAUUUGAUGCAUGCAAAAAGGGACACCAGUCACCUUUUAAAUAGCACCCUUUCCGAAAGAGUAUGCAGGGCAUCCCUUGUUUAUUAGAGACAUUAGGAACAUCAGAAGGUGUAGAGACAGUCUGCAAUGGAAGUAUAGAAGAUGAAGCAGAAGUUCGUUCUUGUGUUCCCAAUAGUCCAUCCAAUGACUGAAGAACAAAAGAAGAUCAAUACCCACUUUGCUAAUAAUAAAAACGAAUAGUUAAGAAUUGUGAUAUCACCGAAAAUAAAAGAAGAUCAGUAUCUAUGUUUGCAUAUGAUAUAAUAAUACACUUUCGGAUGAUAGAAUAAUGCAAUCUAUGUUAAGAAAGAGAAGGAUGAUAGAAUCCAUACUUGGGAUUCGAGCAAUUACCAUCAAUGCAAUUGAACUUAAAUUAAAUGUAUUUCUACUAGGUGUGCAUAAAGUAGACUAAGCCCUACAAUAAUAAAGUUCUUACUUUAUGUAUUCUCAAAAUAUGAUGAAUGCUAUGUUUUCCUUUUGUAAGGAUCCCGUAUAAUUGAACCUUCACAUGGGUGCAAAUAGAAGCUGCAUCUAUAGCUAAAAAGGACUUCAUAUACACUGUGAACUACAGAGCAUAUAAAAAGGAAUAUAGUAGAAGAAAUACCAAGUAUAAUAAAGAUCACAAACAUUACUGAACUAAACUCAGUACAACAAACCUUCCAGUUGAAUCCAAAAGCAGUGCUCUUAUAUUAUCAGUGUCCUCUACGCUUCAUAAUCUUAGAACCAGAUAUUGGGUACCACACACCCACAACCUAUAAGAUAUAAAAAAUUUGUAGGCCAAUUAUAAGGCAAUCCAAAGAUUAUUAUAUCGUAAGUGUGUUGAAACCAUUACAUUUGAACAUUUGAAAAAACAGGAUACUCCUUAGUAGUCUCUCACAAUAAAGCAAUACAUGAAACAGAAGUAAUAGGAUACUCCAAAGAUGACUAGUAAUAUAUUUGGUUGAAAGAGGCUACACCAGAUAGCAACCAUCAUGCCAGUACACAAAUUUCUCUUCCUUGAACAUCAAGUGGAUCUGCAAGCAGGAAUAAGGUUUUACUAGGUUGAAUGGCUUAAAAUGAUCUUUCCAAUCCAUCUAGACGGAAAUACAUGGGCAAAGCCUAAACAACGAUUGGUUCGAUCCAUCUUAUUGAUUGGACUCAUAAGAAUUAAUGAAUCUAUCAAAUAGAUAAAAUGAUCUAAACUAAUCCAGCAACAUUCAUUUCCUUUUCAUUUUAUUGUUUCCUUUUCAUUUUAUUAUCCGUUCUUUGUUAAACCUUCUGUCUACACACAAAAUGAAGUAUUUUACCUUGAUUUACAGCAAUAACUUCCUCAUUGCUUAUAACUUCAAAUGUCUCUGAGUCACGUUUCUUAUAUCACAACCAAUCAAAAGAGGUGCCAGCACAUUCAACAAAAUGCCAAUUAAUUCGUGGAGGAUUGAGAAGGCGAAUGUUAUUUUAUGUUGAUUACAAGAAUACCUCAUUGUUUGACAAUGGUUCCGAUGAAAGAUUCAUGCUUUUAAGCUGGUAGAUGACAAGUUAUUAAAAAGGAGACACUAACAAAGUAUAGUAUUAUAUUUGGUUGAAAUCUAUGUUUUAUCGGAACCAAAAGUACAGUUGGGAGGUAUGCAUUAGUGACAGCAAUGAAUACCGAUAUUUUUUUAACAGUCCCAUAAAAAAACAUUAACCUCGAAAGGAAAUAUAGAGAUACACAAAAGAGUUAAUCGAAGAAGAGAGAAAGUAUACCCAAUCCACAAGCAAUUUGAAUGUAGCAGAGUAGGCAGCAACAUCUUCAGCUAAUGCCCGUCUCUUUAAUGUUCCAUCACAACUCCUAGUGAAGAGAUAAUUAUACGCAUAUAGAACUGCAAAUAAAGGAACUGCCCAACAGAAGAGACGACAAAAAUUAGUACGCAAUCUGCAGUAGCAUAUACUUGUAGGGACAAUUACGAAGAUUCAUAAUUGGUUGAAAGAUUGACGUACUCAAACCUCUCCAGUUUUGGGUAAUUGCUGUGAGAACUGCGAGUAGGGAGAGACGAAAUGUCGAAGGGAGUGUAAUUUGAAAAUUUAAUUUAGCCCCUGUUUGAGCCCAUUUUUACCUCAUUAAAAUGAAAAAUAUGAUCGUUAUCCAUCACAUCAAACCAUCAUUUUUAAAUUUCUAUCUCUGGUGUGGGGCCUAUAACGGCUCUAUUUCUCAUUCUCAUUCUCAUUCUCAUUAUAACGUGGCUCAAACGGGCUCUUAGGGUUUCGAAUGGGAUAGGUCUCAUUUUUCCGAUUUAGGCUAUUCAUUCGGACAUCAACAAUUAUAUUAUAUCUGAAAAUUGUGUUAGAUGUAUAUUAUAUUUUUAUUUAUUACUUAGCCGAUGUUUAUUUUUUAUUAUUUGUCCAUUAAAAUGAAAAAUAUAAUUAUUAUCCAUCACAUCAAGCCACCAUAUUUGACUUUAUUUCUCUUGUGUGAACCCGUAAUGACAAUAUUUUUCAUGCAUAUUCUUACAUUAAUGUGGCUCAAACAGGGCCUUAAAAAUAUUUAUAAAUUAGUAUUAAAAAUGACACUUUUGUUAGGAAAUUAAUAAUUUUAUAGAUAAUUUAUUUUAAUUUUUUUUAUCGAAAGUACUAAUAACUAAAAUAUGGCUGUUGAUUUAAAAGUGCAUCUCCAUUGACCAACAAAAAUAUGUUCAUUGGUCGGUAAAAUGUCUAUACUAAAUUCUCCAAUGAUAAAAAUCAAUGUUGGUUGCUAAAACCCAUUAUUGACCAAUUCUUGAUCGCUAAUUAAUUCUUCAAAAAUAUCACUAGCCAAAUUAAUAAAUAAUCUAGACGACAUCCUUCGGUGACCACAUCAAAUUUGGUUGAUGAUACACAAAAUCAGCAACCAACCCUUGUUUGGUUGAUGAAACAAUCUUCCAUAGACCAAAUAUUGGUCGUUGCAUCAUCAUUAACACCAACCAAACAAAGUGAUUGCUAUAACUUCAAAUAAAAAAUGUCCACUCCUUUUAGGGGUUUUAGCGACCAUUUUGGGCAUGGUUGCUGAAACAUUCCUCCAAGGACUAUAAAUUGGUAGCUAAAUCAUUACAUAUUUCCGACUAUAUCACAAUGGUCGCAAAACCCCAAUAAAAAAGGUGGGAUCUAUUCCCUCCAAGGGCUUCAGUGACCAAUCUAUAUAUGGUUGUUGAAACAAUCUUCCAGCGACCAAAUAUUGGUUGCUAAAAGUGCCUGUCGCGCAAAAUAAUUUUGCUUGCUUUUUCCCACCUAUUUAUUAGCGACUAAAUUGUGUUUGGUGGCUAAUACAUCGAAUCGGCAACCAUUUUUUGGUUGCAAUAGGGCACAAGAAAAAUAAUACAAUUCUAUCCGACCAAAAAUGUUACCAACCAAUAAUUGGUCGGUAAAUGUGGCUUUUAGCGACCAAUUUUAUUUGGUCGCUAAAUCUUUGGUCGGUGGAGCCCUUUUUUGUUGUAGCAUAUAUAUCCGAGUAGUCUUGCAACCUCAAGAAGUCUAAAACAGGAUGUGCUUCAGCAAGUGGGAGUGGCCUAUGCAAAAUCUACACAAUAUGACAAAAAGUCACUUAUCUUAAACUUUUAGGUUAAAUUGGAAAAUAGAGUAUCGUAAACUGUAUAGUCGUGUCCAUUACUUGUCUGGUGUUUCAGUUUCUCAAGAUUCGGGGAGCUUUUGAACAAGCAAAGAACAUAAGAGAGAUCCUCCACUGAGUCUAAACAUACAUAACAUAAAUUUAGAAUUUUAAGCUGGACUUCAGUAGCUGGAAGCCUUGUUUGGAAAUCUUGGAAGCGGAUGGCAAAAGCAUGAUCAAAUAUAGUUAAAUUGAUGAUUUCAAGGAAAUUAUAGUUAUAAUCAGCCAUACCUUCAUCAUCUGAUAGUCCAUGCACAGUUGAUGGAGUGAGGGCAGGGAAUCAAAAAACUCAGUGAAGUUAUAUUUUCUAUGAAUGAUAAAAUUGUAACGGAGAGAGUGGGGAUUUCUUAAAAUAAACAUAUGUGCAGAAUAUUUCAAUUUAACGAGUUUUAGCUUGGGAGCAUUAAUUGUUAAGUGGUGAAAUCCAGCUGGGACAUGCAACUCCAGUUGCUUCUAAUACUUCAGUAUCAAUGAUGACAUCAAGCAAUUCCAGUGUAAUCAGCCUAUUAAAACCUUUGAAGCUUGGUGGAGGAUUGAUCGAACAAAAAGAAAGUUUCAAAUGUUUCAAUAGUGAACAUGUAAAUAGUGAAGAAGGCAAUUUGUACACUUCACCCUUCUUCAUUUUCAAAGUGGAUUCUUCAACAUCUUUCUUCCAUGAGAUAUAUAUCUAGUGGUCAAUUUCAGAACCAACUCUGAGUUUUGGAAUAAUUAGUGAUGUCAAUGGGCUGAGCCCCUUAAUCUCAUGAGCUCGGCUCGCGCUCAUGGCGAGCCGAGCUCGUGGCUCAUUUUCAACGAGCCAAGCUCGACCUCGGCUCACAAGCUCGUGGCUCGUCCGAGCUCGUGGACCUAGCCGAGCUUUGGCUUGCGAGCUCGUCAUCUUUUUCUUUUUUUUUUAAAUAGAGAAAAGCACAAAUAAUGUAAUAAAAAUACUUUUUUAAAAAAUAAAAAAUGUUAAAAAAUACAAAUAAUUUAAUGAAGACAUUUUUUUCUUUUUUUUAUUUAUAUCAUAUUGUAAUAUUUUUUAUAAAGUAUAAAAUAUUUAUAUAAUGAAAACGAAUUGUUUUUUGAAAUACAUUUACAAAAAUACAUUUUUUUCAAUUUCUUUUUAAAGUAAAUAAAAUGUAAACCCUCCUUCUUUAUCCGAGCUUGGGACCAAUUACAUCAAUUUUAAGUAGACGAAGUUAAAAAUUGUACACAAACAACUUGUUAUAACGUGUAUAAUUUUUAAAGAAAAUUAAAUUUAACGAUUAAAAAAUAAGAAAGUUUUGAUUAAUAUAAUUAAAUCAAAUAUCACUUACUUGACGACAUGCAAUUUCAGCACAUUUAUCUUGUAAUCGAAAAUGAGCAUCCUGUCAAUCUUUCACGCACAUUAAUGCUUCCAAAUAUCUUCUUUCAGUCGGCUCCUGAUAUCGAUCAAAAUACAUUUAUCUGCACUAAAAGUAGACUCCGAAACAAUAGUGCUAAUCGGAGGUGUCAACAAAUCUUUCGCAAUUACGGAAACAAUUGGCCAACGUCUUUCAUACUUUCGCCAGAAUUCAAUUACUUCCUCUGAACUUUUUUAAUUGUUCCGUUUGUUGGUAUAUUAUGAUUGAAGUAAUCAAUUAAUUCGGAAGACAUCACACUUUGAGUUGCGACCGAUGUUUGAUGAGAUGCAAAUGUAGAUGACAUGACACUAGAUGAACAUAUUGCAGUUGCAUCAUAUCUAAAUGUAUUAAUGCCUUGAAAUAAAUUCAUUAUUUCGACAUCAUCUUUUUCAAUUUCAGCCGAAUGAGUAGGUGUAGAGAGUACCUGACUAAUAUUCCCACCUAUUCUUUUCGCAUAUAAAUCAUACAUUCCACAUAAUAUUUGCUCUAAAUUAUUAUAAGUGAUAGGUAUAUCAAGCAUUAAGACUUUAUUGAUUUGAUCAAUUAGGUAUUUAGUUCUCGAAAUAUUAUAUCGGGGGUCCAUUGCGCAUGCUAAAGGAAAUAACAUAGGCAGUUUUUCCCAAUAUUUUUCUAAACUUUAAUUCCAUUGCAAUUAUAAUUUCACUAAUAUCAGGAUUAUUUGUAUAUUUAUGGAAUGUUCUUACAACUAUAUAAAGGAGUUCAAGCACCAUAUAGCUUGUGGGAUAAUAAACGCCGGACAAAAUCUUUGUGAUCUCAUAAAAAGAUGUCAAAAAUCGUUUAACUUUCAAAGCCUAAACCCAAUCGGAUUCAUUCAACAUACCAUCGUCAUCACUUCUAACGUGUCUAUUAUUAUAAAAGUCAGUUAUUAAAUGUUCAAAACCUUCAUAUGACUUUAAUAGCAAGUAAGUAGAGUUCCAUCUAUGGCCUACGUCGCUAUCAAAUGUUUUAGCAGCCGUCACCCCUAGUUCGGCAUAAAAAUCUUCAAAUGCUUGUUUUCUACUAGGAGAGAUCGUAAUAUAUACUAAUACAUUCCUAAUCCUUUGAAAUUCAUCAUUUAUAUGUCUUAGGCCAUUUUGCACAAUUAAAUUCAAGAUAUGGCACACACAAUGAAUAUGAAACAAAUGCCCACCAAAAUUAGGUUGAAGUGUCCUACACAAUUUAUCGACGACUACUUUAUUAAUACUAGCAUUAUCAAAAGUAAAAGACCAAAUUUUAGUCUCACAAUUAUAUUCUCUAACAAUACUGGCAAUAUCAUUAUAUAUAUUAUUAGUAUUGUGAGGAAAUUCAAUAAUUCUAAAAGCAAUAAUUUUUUUAUGCAUGCACCAAAGUGGGACUAUAUAGUGUGCGGUUGCGGCUAUAUAUGAUCUUUUAUUAACCUCUUCCAAUAUAUCAGAAGUUAAAGAUGUAACACCCCAUAUUGUUGCAAAUCCAUAAUUAAUUGUUGUUUUGAAUUAUUGAAAAUAUUGCAUUAUAUUGGCACGAAGAGUAUUUCGACUUACCCCAACGUACCUUGUUUGCAGAUAUUCUUUCACGAACGAGACGAAGUGUUGGUUGUUUGCAAUAGCCAAAGGCAACUUAGUGGCGGCAACAAAUUUCACCAUUUCGGUUCGAGUAUUGUCUUCCGAAUAAACCCACGUGGAUAGGGGUGAAGUCGUAGAACCAACGCCUGGAUUGCCAAAUUGCAAUUGUGUUUGACCAGCUGGAAGAAGUCCAUGUUUGGCCACACAUGCUUUGUAGUGGCGGUUGAGAUAGGUGGUACCAAUUCCUUUUUGCCAUACCAAUCUUUGUUGACAGUAUUUACAUACUGCCUUAGAUUCUGCAAGGCCAUCGAUGACUUUUUUCGUUGAAAUCAGCUUAAAAUGAUCCCAAAAUAUUGCUUGUUUUUUGUCCUUUUGCUUUUCCCUUGCAUUUAGAAUGUUUAAUUCAGCAUCUUCGUUCUCAUGUUCCACUUCGGAAACGUUAAUAUAAUCCAACUCAAUUGGAUUGUGGCUUUCCUGAUCGUGAAUGUGAAUAUCUUCAGUAUGAAUACGUCAUUUAGACCGGCAAAUUCAUUUGAAAACUGACUUUACAGCGUCCUAGGCGAUUCGCCAUGUGGUCCACAUUCCGUAUUGAAUAAGCUUUUAACAAAUGAGCGUUGAUCCAUUUUUUUGAUUGUUUAUGAUGAAAUCCAAAUAUAAUAACUAGAACAAUAUAAAUGUAGUGAGAAUUGAGAAUUGGAUGAAUUGAAAUUGUAACUGAAUAAACUGUAAAAAAUGAAUCGAUAUUGUUUAUUUUGUAGCACAAGAGAGUAAAAAUUUGACAAUUGAUAUAAUAAAAGAGAGUUGAGAAAUGAGAGGUAGUGAAUUAGAGGAGACAAUUGAUAUGAGAAAAAAAAAGACGAGUUAAAGGGUAUUUAUAGUAGAAGGGAAAAAAAUUUAAAAAAUUUCAGCGACCAUUUUGGUCACUAUUUUCACGAGCCACAAGCCGAUCGUGGGUGGCUCGUCUUCAAGGUGAGCCAAGCGGGCUCGGCUCGUUUCUCGACGAGGCCAGCUUGGCUCGUGCUUGGGCUUGUGAUUGUACGAGCUCGAGCCGCCCACAAACUCUAUUUCGAUGAGCCAAGCGAUCGAGCUGACGAGCGGGUCGGCCCUUUUGACAUCCUUAGGAGUAAUGAGGCUCGACUUAAUUAUGGAUCCUUGGUGAAGUAAAAGAAUCUGGUAAAGAAUCCCUACAAACUUCAUUCUAGCCAAUUCUUGGUUUCUCUUUUGAUUCUUGCCAUGUUGUAACAUCAAAUAUCAGCUGUGGCAGUUUGACCCAUUUGUUGGGAAUCUACUUAACGUGUGCAGCGAAAAAUUAAAAAAAAAAUUCAAUUCCCACGAGGAAGAGGUUGUACAUUUUCUAGAUCUGCAAACUUCUUUGCCUUAUCUUUGUUCCAGCAACUUGGAUCUAUCUCCCACAGCUGUCUAAUUGUUCAGCCUCCAACGGUCAUCCACAUAGAGAACAAGAUUGUAGGAUUAAGGUUUUUCUUGUGCUAGAAAGAAUAAUGAAAAAUUUCUAAAGUUUUUGAAAACCUUAAUCAUAUUUAUAUAAGCCCGAAUGGGCUGGGCCGGGCCUGACCUAGUCCAAUAUUUAAUUAACCCAUUUAAUUAAAUCCGGUUCAUGAAUUGAUUAAUCUAAUUAAUCAAUUCAGGCCUAUAAAUAAGCAACCUAAUUUAUUAAUUUAUUCAACACUUGUUAAAUUAAUUAAUUGACAAGUCACAAUCUUCUAAUUCUCCUUUUGUGUGCAACCCAUUAGGUUUCCGAUCACGAUACCUAACGAUGUGAAAUAUUAUUUUGAUCUAAUCAAAAUUGAUAAAUUAAAAUAUCCUUUUAAUUUAUCACCAAUUCACACUCGUUGUCCAAGCUUGACAUAUAACAAUGUGUCAGGGCAAUACAUGUGAUGAGAAAUGUUACGUGGUAUGAGAAAACCAAACUCGUUCAUUUACCGUCAAACUAUAAUCCCUUCGUCAAUAUGAUCCGAUCAAUUACGAGAUAUAGAAGUGUGUCAAUCUCGACUAUCAAUCAUAUCUUUUACUCCACUAAUAAGUCAAUAUAAGUCAAAAACUCCUUUUCGACUUAUGAGUACACCUUGGCCAAGAAUUUUAUUAUUGACUUAAUUGAAUGAAAUGCAGAUCAUAAUCUCUUACUAUGUAAGAGUGACGAAUCCUCUAUUAGUCAUUCACAACCUUCACAUGAUUCUUGACAUACUCGAACGAUGUGGUAUUAGUGGCCCUUGGCAGAGCAACAUCCAACACUGUCAAAGCAUUACUAUCCUCAUAUAAGGUACUAUGAUGACAUCAAGUCAAAGAACAAAUUCCACUACCGAACGUUAGAAAUUAACCACUGACAUUCAGAUAGUUAUCCAUAUAGAAUCUCUCGACGGGUCACCAAUGUUUUGUUCUAUAGCAAAAUAUCCACGGGUUCAUUCAAGUGUCACCACACUUUAGCUUGUGAGAUCAGCUACUUACUUCAUAAGUAAGAAAUAUCACACGUGAUGGUCUAUCUGUAAUAACGAUAUAUAUAUCUCGUUAUUACUUACGACCACAGACGAUUUAAGAUUCAAUCACAUAUAACUUGUAUCUCACAAUCACAACUCCUUGUGAUUAACAAAUUACGAAAAUUUGAAUCUGCGGACUCUAUUAUAUAAUUUAAUUGUAUAUUAAUUAAAUAAUAGAUCUAACAUUAAAUUGCAUUAAUUAUGUAUUAAAAGUAUUUAUAUACAAAGUUGAUUGGAACUAGGACAUAACACUUACACCAUUUAUACCUCCAUUGCUUUCACAAGACACAAGUCUUUGCAGCAUCACGUACUAUCAAACACAUUAAUAUGAUCUAUAUGACAUUAUCAGGAAGGUCACUUAUCAUAUCAAUAGGCUCGAAUUGGGCAAUCUUCAUUCUGCUAUGUAAUUGGCUAACAAAAUUCUGUAACAACUCUCAAUUAAUAAAAAUUUCAAAUUGCCUUAAACUAACUUGCAUGCGUGUAGAAGAUAUAAACAAAUUCUGCAUUAAGUUCACAAAAUUUUGUUCGCUUUAUUUUAAUUUUUUACACCGAUAUUUUUAAUAGUUAUCGAAUUGGUCAUAUCACUAAGAAAGUAGAGAUAAUAUUCAUAGUUGAUAUUUACAUUUGCAUAUGCUUAAAAUAUACUUUUGAACAGAAUUUCAAUAAAAAAAAAAAAAAAUUCAUGUAGCCCAUCCAAACUUAUUCACAACAAUCUUUAGUUGUUAUUAUUAUUAUUAUUAUUAUUAUUAUUAUUAUUAUUAUUAUUAUUAUAACUCAGAUAUCCAAACUUCGCCUAAAUAAUCCUGAGCAGUGGCGGCCUUCCCCCCUGGUUUACCACCCGGCUAAAUCCGGAUGCGAACACAACUUAUACACAAUUGGGCUGGACAUUCAGGAUGCUGCUCUUCUCCCUGUAAACUUUCCUUUACGACGUGCGGACAAGACCCCCGAAGAGGUGACAAAGCGCACCAUAACUUUGCCUCCAUAGAACAACUACCUUCCAACAUAAAUGUUGCCUUCUAGCUACCAUGGGGAGUCGAACCUCCGAUAUCCGUGUGGAACCCUCCUGCUUUACCACUACACCAUGCCCGUGAGGGCACAAUCUUUAGUUUGUUGUUAUUCUUAGUGGUGGACAAGGUGGCCAACUGCUCAUUCUAAUAAAUUAUGAGCAAACAAUAAAAUAAGCACCUCAUAUAUAUUGUUUCAAGUUUUAUUGAAUUGUAUGCAUAUUAUAAUUAACUUUAAUUGGCAUGUCAAUCGUCUUGGACUUUCAAGGUAUAAUCCACUACAACAUUUUAUUAGUCACAAUGAAGAUAAAUUAACAAUAAACAUAUAACAUUUCAUUAGGCAGUAUUACAUUUGCAAAAAUUAGGACAAGAGAAAUGUGAUGUUACAUGUUAAAAUUAAUUUUUUAGUCAAUUUUGAUAAAAAUUGAUGUAAUAGGUGAUUAGAAAGUUAUGAAUAUCAUAAAAUACGUGAUCUAAAUGAAUUAUUGAUUUUGACUUUGAUAAAAAUUUAAAUUUAAAUUCCCAUCCCAAUACCUACUUACCCACAUGAAUAAUGAUUGAAAAUUAGAUGAUGUGGCAUGGCUUAUUAAAACAAAAGAAAAAGAAACACUACCUCUACAAGUGUAAAAAAUCGGGAAAUGGGAAUUCAUUCUACCAUUUUAACCCUACUUUGCGUCGACUCGCGCCACUGCCAAACCCACCCAUCGCUAAUUUUCAAUCCAUCUCCGACGCAACUCCGACCACUGGGUAAAUAGAAAGACUACAUUUCACACCAUUUUUCCCAAAUUUUGUGUCGAUCUUACAACCGAAAACCCAUCCAUAUCGAGUCAAAAUCCGGGGAACUGACCGGAGAACUUUGAGCUAUUUGUAAACAAGAGGUUGGACGUGUUCCUUACAUCCCACCACUUUCAUCAGCAAGUCUGAAACUUGCUCUAACCCUAAAUGAUAGAAAAAGGUAUUUUCUCAUCCUUCCUUGAAUGCAUCCAAAUUUGUUUAAAUUUAUUGUUAAGUGGUCACAUGAGUCCAUAUGUUGUCAUCCUUCGCCUAUUACCCACAACAGAUAACUGAGUUCUAUUGACCUGAGUUUGAAAACUUGAACAGAGCAUAACUUAUACGUCACUCAUUUUUGUUCUAUUCUGGAUCCGAAAUUAUGGAAGAUGAUAACCAUGACUUGUUUAUCAAAGUGUGUACAUUUGAAUAUUUAACCUUUGUUGUAUUUGUUUUCAUCAAUGUCUUUCUUGAUUUCUUCAUGUAUGGAACCGAUCUUUUUAUGACAAACAUAUCUCUUCUCAUUGACAGAGGCAUUGAAGCUAAACAGCCAAACUCUGCUAUUGGUAAAUGUGCUGGGGUUAAACUCAUUAAGAAUAACAAGAAGAUUGCUGCUUUUGUCCCCCAUGAUGUUUGUUUAAAUGUGCUUUACUUUGCUAGUGAAAUUAGUACAUCUAGAAAUGUUCAUACUUCUUAAGCAUGGAUGCCUGAUAUGUAAUUUGCUGGAUAUUAUUUCGUAUUUUCUUUUAAUUUACUGUAUCAGAAUUUGUGUUGCUAUGUGUUGAUAUUUAGAUAAUCAUUUUCUGGUCUCUCUCUCUCUCUUGCAGUUGGAACAUUGCAUGCAUUUUUUUUUAUUGAUAAUCAAGUAAUAUAUUUUGGCCAAAUUAAUUGAAAUCCUAUGUAACUUGGGCAUGCUUUUCGGCCGUGUGAUAGUCCUUUCUAAAUGUGGACAAGGCACAAUGUUGGCUUAAUAACUCAGCUUGGUCGAGCUCGCCUGUACUAGUCGUGGAGGAUCGGCACAACUAUUUCUCCAAGGCCACAACUACUAUUUUGUCCUAGGAUAGAAGGCUAAUAUAAGUCUGUUGUCACAAAAAAGUUUGUUGAUUCAGUUUGUAUAUUUGUUUAUCAAAGUGUGUACACACUUUUGAUAUGUUAGUUUUUUACUUUUGAUAAAAACAACUCUUUCUAUUACACAAUAGUUUGGAUUACGACUAUUCAACUUCGUUCAAAUGUACACGUAUUUGCAUUUUAUUGUUUGACUAUUCAAAUGUACACACGUCACAAUAUUAUUUAUUUACGUGCUUUAUGGUAACCAAUUUUUAUUACCAUUAUUGCAUUGACAAAGGUUUUCAACAUACAGUGAAUUGAAGCACACAUUGCAGUGAGUCUAAUGUCUAAACACAAUAAGAAGAUACUUUGGUUCUUUUCAUUCUUUUAACCGUGUUCUAAAGUCUAAAUAUUUGGGCUUGUCUUAACUUAAUGAGGAAACCGGUUCUGUUGCCUUGUCUUCUACACUUAGCAAAAUGCCCAGUUUAGUAUAGGAAACUUUCAUUUUGGGACACAUAACAAAUGUUAUCAACUACACAACACAAGCAACUUUUGUCAAAUAAUUUGGCCGGGAUGUUUGAAAAUAUAAAUGAGAACAAUUACAUGACAAAUUUCUAAAACCAUAACAUAUGUUACAACGAACCUCAUAACAAUCAUAUGUCAAACGAUCGAACAAUUAUGACAAGAUUAACCGUACAUCUAAUAUCCUACAAUGACCAAACCGUUCGUUCAUUAUGAUAAUCCAUAAAGCAAAUUCAAAUAAGCCGUUUAAGUCUAACCCUUUCCUUUCCCUUCCCAUCACACUUUGCGAUUUCCUAUCCUUUAAUAAAACUCAGGCGCAAUGAUAUGUCCACGUCUAGUUUCUCGCUAAUUCGAGCUAGAUUGUCAAAGAGUUUUGGCAACUCUUCAUAUUCCACGUUCGACGCAUGAUUCACCGCUUCAUUAACGGAACUCGACUCCAUGCUUAACACUUCUUCUUUUACCCAGUCAAAAUAUUCACAAUCAUUACUACAAGUGAAGAACAAUCGUCCUUUGUUACUAACAUCCCAUUCGACCUCAAAACAUUUUCGAUAACCGUGUUUACACGAAGGGCAUCGACGUUUUGAUUGGCAUUGUCCAAAGUAGCGAGUGUCAAAUUCCGGAAUUCCUUCCUCUCAUUCUAGUCGAUCCUAGCUAAAAAAACAAAUAAACAAGCAUGAAUGCAAUUGAAUCACAAAUUCCCAUAUCAACUACCUAAACCUCACCAUCCAUGUCAAAAAGCAUUACCCAAUUUGAUUGUCGACAUUAAAGAAUCAAAAGCAAAAGAGUAAAGGCAGAGCUAUAUGACCGACAUUAACCAUUCAAAACCAACAAUUCUGAUUAUCAAACAAGGCAUUAAACUAUUCGAGUCUCUGUCUAAAUGCAAGCCAUAUAAAAUCAUAUUAUCAAUGCCAUAUUAUUGAGUGUGGCCCCUUGAAAAAUCAACAUUGGGGAGAUUUAAUGUAAGAAUAAAAAAAAACCACCAAAAUUAAAGUAUAGAACCAGAAAAGAAGAACUACUUAUACAUUAUCACCGGAGAUGGAGCACAGUGUGGAGGUGAACGGAGUUCAAUGCGUUGUCGGCGAUGGCAAGUGAGUACGAAUGGCGGAUGCUAACUUGGUAUACCCUUCGUUGGUGCCGAUCUUUUGUGAUGGUGAGUGCAUACAUGGAAAAGUGAUUUGGGAGGAAUGAAAGAAAUUUCUUGAUAGUGCUUGGAGGAAAAUGGUUCAGACGGAAUGGGAGAAAUGGGAGAGAUAGUUUGGGGCAAGUUUUGGGGGAAAUUUUUGUAGUGGGUUUCUUUAUCUUUUUUUUUUUUAGUUUGUUUGUCUUUUUAUUUUUUAAUUAAUAGGCCAUGCCGCCUCAUCAAAUUUAAAAUCCUUUACCCAUUCUGUAGUGCCUUUUCUGUACCCAUAGCUAAAUUGUACCUCAUAUGCUUCAUAUGAGAUGUAUAGCACACUUUCCUCAAUAAUUAGUUAAUUACUUUACUAGUCUUCUCUCCUUAAUAAUUACUUUACUAGUCUUCUUUCUUCAUCCGUUUACAUUUCCUUCCAUUUUUUGGUUCAGAGCUACAACCUCCAUUUCCAUGGCUUCUAUGCUAUAAGCUAAUCAAACCUUUCUGCUUUUGCUUCAGUGGUAGCGCUUAUUGUGUUUUAAGCAAAAAUUUAGAGGGUAGACAACAUUCGCUUUCACUAUCUUUCUUUUUCCCUGCAAUUCGACCAUCCUUUCCUUUCCUUGCAAUGGAUAUCUCAUUCACUGAUCCGUUUACUAGUCCUAUAAAUCUCCUUGAAAUUGUGAUCGAGCAUAUAUCACGUGUCUCCUCCUCACAUGUACAUAUAAUUUAUAUGUUAACUGUGCUUCGAGAUUUACUAUACCGUAGAGACUUUGAAGAUAUUGAAGAAUUCAGAAACUUUUUCCAAGUAUUAGUGUCAUUUGGGCAAGAGCUUAUGGUGCUCUUUACAGUCCCUAACCAGCAAAUCUUGUUCAAUUUAACUCCUACUCUCAAUUAUAAUGAAGUUGGUGUGGCCUUCAUCAACUUUUACCUCUUAAUGGUAGAAGUUAUCAUACAUUUUGAGGAAGAGUUGAUUGCUUGUUUAAAGGGUACGUUCCAAAAUCUCCGGACAGAGCUUGGAUUUCUCAUAAAUUUUCUUGGGGAUACAGCAAUGCAUUUGCAGCCCACCUAGACUAUAUUGAUAGAUAUCGAAGAUGUGGUCAAUGAGGUAGGAAUUUUCUUGUAUUCCUUACUUUUGGCCAUUGUUGUAUUUAUUCUGAUCAAUAAAGAAGAAGAAGCCUGUACUAGAAUAAUGGAUUUGGAAUUUGUGGUUGAUGAGGUAAAAAGUCUAAUUCAUUCCAAAUUUUUCCACUUACCAUUGCUAUCCACUAUGGUGAAGUGAAGAAAAAGAAGAAAAAAACAGAAAAAGGCAAUGAUGGAUAUCAAAGCUCUGCUCCCAAAAAUAGGAAGUUUAUUAUAUAUCUUUAUUUUCACCGAGGAUGAUCAAGUUAUGGAGACAGGAAUCUUGGAUCUUGCUCUUUCUGAUUUAUUUACAAACUUUGAGACCUUGAAAGCAAAGAUUAAAGAGCACUGCAUCACGGUCUCAAAGAUGCCAAGUGAUAUCGCUCCAAAGACUAGUGUGCUUUCACUCUUCAUUAUUGAUUCUGUCCUUGAUGAUCUCAUAGAUCUAAUAAAUAACAAGUCUGACUGGAUUGUUGUUGUGAAUGAUCAAAUUGUAACACUCCACGAGGAGCUAAUGUUAUUGGGAUCAUCCAUCACAGAUAUAGCACUGCAGCACGAAGUAGAACAUGAAGAACUUGUGACACGGAGCAAAGACAUAGUAUAUGAAGUUGAAUUUGAAAUCAACUCAUUUCCUCAUGUUUGGUAUCUUAUUCUCCGGCUCCCUCAACUCAUCGACAAGAUUCGGCUUAUUGUGAUGGCUAUCAAAGAAAUGAAGAACAAUAUUGAAGUAGUCAGAAUGUCAAAUGUUUCAAAACAUCCACAUGAACACGUAGAGCCACAGUCAAAAGAACCUUCCAUUUUGGAAGACAUUGUUGUGGGAUUUGACAAUGUAGUAAUUGAAAUCACAGAACAACUUGUUGGAGGAACAGGCCAGCUGCAAAUUAUUUGCAUCUUUGGGAUGUCUGGACUUGGUAAAACGACCUUGGAAAAUAAAUUAUAUAAACAUCUCUCCAUUUUAUACCAUUUUUACAAGCGUGCCUAGUGUGUUGUUUCUCAAAUAUAUACUAAGAAAAAUAUAUUGAUUGAAAUUUUGGGCUCAAUGAAUAACAGUAAGAGGGAUACAUACAUGAAAAAGGAGGAAGAAAUCUUGGUUCAAGAUCUUUACAAAAACUUAAAAAGAAGGCGAUUCCUCAUUGUGAUAGAUGACAUUGGGAUAUCAGUGUGUGGAUUGAUUUGAAAAGUUGUUUUUUAGAUGACGGAAUUGGAAGCAGAAUCUUAUUCGCUACUCGAAAUAAAGAAGUGGGUUUGAAGGCUUCAGCUCGCAAUGUCAUAAAUGAACUUCCUUUUUUGUUAGAAGUUGAGUGUUGGGAAAUAUUACAAGGGAGUGUUCAAAGAUAGAAAAUGUCCUCAAGAAUUGCUAGAUACUGGCAAGCUAAUUGUAAAAAACUAUCAGGGCCUACCACUUGCAGUGGUGGUAAUAGCUGGAGUUCUUGCAAACAUGGAGAAGUGAAAAAAACCUGUGGAAAAAAAUUGCAUGAAAUUUAAGUUCACAUAUAUCCGAAAUACGAGAGAAGUGCAUCCGAACAUUGCAAUUUAGCUACAAUCAUUUACCAAUGCAUUUGAAACCACGUUUUCUUUACUUUGGAGCAUUCAAAGAAGACAUGGAUAUCCCUGCACGGAAGUUGAUAUUUCUAUGGGUUGCAGAAGGAUUUAUAAAGAAGGAAGAACAGAAGAACAUAGAGGAUGUGGCACUAGAAUAACUAAUGAAACUGAUCGAUAGGAGCCUAGUACUUGUUGCUGAAAGAAGUUUUGAUGGAAGAGUCAAAACAUGCAAGAAUCAUGAUCUAUUGCAUGAAAUGUGCUUGAGAAUAGCUGAAGAAAAUAACUUUUUGAAGUUGAUCAAAGUGUAUUUCAAUGUUUUUCUUCUAUUUCCUUUCUUUUCUGUCCAUUUUUUUUAUUUUAGCUUACUAAGAAUGGUUAUUAUAUUUGAUGAUCGUAACAUGAUGUGAUUCUGUUUUUUUUUUUUACCAGUAAUGAUGAUGAUGAACAACGGUUCUUCAGUCAAGUAUCGACGUAUCAACAGUACCAUCAUCUGAGUAUCAACUAUGCAAAAUUUCUUAGUUCACUACCUGUUGGUCUACACGUACGCUCUCUUCUAUUGGAUUUGGAUUUUAUGAGUUCCAUCAAAUUAAUCUCAUGCAGCUACAAAGUUUUUAGGGUCUUUUGUGGAUGGUCACUGUAUGACUUUCUAAUAGGACUUGAAUAUCUGGUUCACUUGAGGUAUUUGGAAAUUUCAUGUACACUGCCACAAAUGGAAAACUUCCACAUAUUAGAAUUUCGUGUUGUGUACAAUGAUGAUGAAAUUGAAUUACCAGAGAUCCUUCUUAAUAUGGUGAGUUUGAGACACAUGGAGUUUAAGGGUGGUGCGUACUUCAUUGAAUCUAGUCGUCAACUUGCAACUAACAAUAAGAGCUUCCAAAUAAAUAACCUACAAAGUAUUUUUGUACUCUCAAUUUAUGAUGAAAUGGAUGAGAGUAUUUUGAGAAGUUCACCCAACCUUUGCAGAGUGGAAGGCAGAGUUGAGAAUUCAUUAAAUUGUUCCUUCAACUUCCUUAAUCAGCUCGAAUCACUGAAGCUAUCAACAGCACAUGGUACGCUUUAUUGGCGUUCCAGUUUGAUUAGUUGGCCCUUAAAUCUAAAAAAAUUAACUCUAGUUGGUGUAUAUCUGUCUCGAAAACAAAUGGAGAUAAUUGGAAGAUUGCGUUGCCUUGAGGUUCUCAAAUUAGUGUCUGCUGCCUUUGAGUGGGAACAAUGGGACACAAGUGAAAGUGAAUUCCCACAACUUAAAUACUUGAAACUUUGUGCCGUAAAAAUUGCAGAAUGGAAUGCCUCAAGUGAUAAUUUCCCAAGGCUUCAACGAAUAGUAUUGGAACAUUGCAAGAAUCUAAAGAUGAUCCCUUCCAAUUUAGGUGAUAUUCCAACGUUACAGAAGAUUGAGUUAUUUAUGUGUGGUCAAACUGCCAACGAAUCAGCAAAGAAAAUUGAGGAAGAGCAAAAGGAGAUGGGGAAUGAAAAUUUUGAAGUCACAAUCUGUAGCACAUUUGGUGAUAUUGAAGCCAUUCUUUCACACAUUUCCCCGCAGAUGAUGAAGGAAUUCAACAGCAGGGAAAUUCAGAAGGUAAUAAUGAAAGAUAAUUUCUCUUUUAAUUCUCUUUCACGUUCUCAUCUUGGUCCUGUUAUACUAAAAUGAUGUUGGAUAUUGGUUAAAUAAAUUGAGAAUUGAAAAUCGAUUAAAGUUCGUAUCGAAUUCGGCCAAAUACUCAAAAGCUCGACUCAAUCCGUUUAGGCAAAAUUGUUUGCCACUUCGCCGCUUCGGGGCGCACAAACGGGGAUCGACCUGCCCGGUCAGGUCGCGAGGGUCGAGGGGGCAGCGCCUCUCGUGGGGGUCGGGGGCAACGCCCCCGAAAGAGAAUUUUGAUUUCUCUGCAUGUAUUGAAGGGUAUAUUUGGCAUUUCGAAAACCAAUAUCGGAUGAAUGAGAAAUUACGAAAAAGACCUCAACCAUUAGUCAAUAGACACCUUUUCAAAAGGUGCAUUGUUUGGAAAGGGUGCAUGGUUUGGCCUCAACCAUUUCGUCCACACCCUUUCUUGGUCUAUAAAUAGGACCCUUUGGGUGUCCUAUUCCACACAAUUUGAUAUGCAAAAACGUCUCUCAUCCUCUCUUCUAUCCAAAAUCAAAAUCAUUUUAUUUAUUUUGAUUUUCUUUCAUUUCAUCUGUGGAGUACAUAAGUCUACAUUUGGUUCGUUGUACUUGUGUUUUGGAGUGCUACAAACACAAGUGUAGCCGUUGUAUCUUGGGAGUCGAUUGCCGAAAUCCGUAGGCACCGUUGCGGGGCAAAUUCGACUUAAGGACAAAGAGUCCAACUCUUGCCUCGGCUUUGUCACCAUCAUUAUACUUAUUUCGGCGUCACUAUUCACAAAAUUCUUCCAACAAAUGAAACAUCAAAUAAAAUUUUUGGCUUAUAUUGAAAUUAACCCCUGUUUAGUUCAAAUUAAAAUCAGAUUUUUAGUAGAUUUUCAUAAAGGUUGAUAAAAUGUGUGAUUGAAAAGUUAAUAAAAGUUACAAAUCUCAUAAAAUGUGUGUUGAAAAUGAGUUUGGGGGGAAAAAUGAGUUACAAAAAAUUGGGACCAAACAGGAGCUAAGGUUGGCUCUAUUUUAUGAGCCUCUUGAUGUUAUUUUAGGAAUUACUAAACCACAAGGUUCUAUGUUUUGGCAUUGCUUCUCUAUUAUUUCAGCUUUUCAUAUUUUUUACUAUAAAAUCAUGUUGACAUAAAAUCACAACGAUCACAUUUUCACUUCUAGCUCAUUUUAGUCCUCAAAAUAAUUUCAUUGUUUAGCUCAAGUCCUCCAUUAAUUGCAUGGGCAGUCCUUCAAUGCCCAAACUUGAUAUCUUUGUCCUAGAUUCUAGAUUCCAUCCAAUUUCCAUCCUUCUUGAUCAAAUAUCGUCCCUUUUUAUUCUUUCUUGUUCAAGACUAGUUUUUCUCUUAAAAUAAUCAAUAAAAACACAAAAUUAAAUAUCUGGCUCAUAAAAUUACCCCCAAACACCCUCUUUUGGUGGCUUGGAUAAGUCUAAAAUCACACUUACCAGCUGUCAUAGAUAUGCAACUUCAAGAGUGGAAUGAUAUUUCUUCGAGGUAAAUAGCAACUUACUCAAUUGUGUUAUAUGUUUAUGUCCGUAUAAUUCAUCUUCUACUUUGAAUGAGGACAAGUUAAUUCAAUUGUGUGAGUAAUAUUCUAAAGAUUUUAGGGAGAAUUACAGUUGGGGUCUCAAACUUUUCAAAUUAUUGUAGAUCACACCCAAACCUUGUGUUUUUAUUGUAGCUAAAGGACAUGUGGACAGAAUUCAUCAAUUUAAUCAUCAGUUUACCAAAAAUACUACCUAACACAAUUUUUUUAUUAUAUUUUUUAUGUAAUUAUUUAAAUUAUUUUAUAUGGGAUAACAUGGUUAGAUCGUUGACUUUUGGUCAACUAAUGGUCAAAUGAAUGGAUUCCAUCCACAUGUCGGCUUGGGUAUAGUUUGCAACAAUAUAAAAGGUUUGGGACCCCAGUUGCAAUUUCUCCAAGAUUUUAAACAAGUAGAGAUCUUGGCACUUGAUGAGUAAAUUUACACAUAUUAUUGAUAUACACACAAGAUUUUAAAGGGUUAGAGACGUUAGUGAUCUUGCAGAAAAGUUGACUGUGAUAAAAAAAAAUGUGUACCCAUUAGUUUACAUGUUUGUAACAUUGGCGCUAAUUUUUUCAGAUGUCCAUUCUCGAUGAUUGAGAUUUUCCAGAAUUGAUUGCGUAAUUGGAAGGGAGAUCAAUGGUUGAGUGACACAUUGGUGGCAUAUAUUGAGAGCGAUGUAUUUGACAAUAUUGAUAAUGAUGUAAUUAUAUGAUGUUUCCAAAGUAUUAAAAUUUGUAUAAUGCAGUUAUAGUAAUGUAUUGACUUAUUUUCAUAUAUAUAUAUAUAUAUAUUUUUUUUUUUUUAAAGAAAAUUGUACCUUAAUUUUUUAUCCUACAAUGAAAAUUGUGUGGCUCCACCAAUGAUAAUAGGCUUGAUAAAAACAAUUAUCUUUGGUGGAAAAUCAACUUCUGAAUGUCGUCAUGGCUAGUGGAUUAGAGGGUUUUAUUGAUGGCACAUAUACUUUUCCAUCAAAGAUUGUUGAAGAAAUGCUCAUCCUAAACCCCCACAGUAAGCAGCAUGGCAGAGGUUUAAUAGGCUUGUAAUGAGUUUGAUUUACAACUCACUAAGGAAUUAUGUCUCGAAUAGUGAGUGGAUUUGAUUACUGCUGAUGAUAUCUGGACUUCGGGUCGAAAUUUUUAUUAACUUUUCAGAAUUAUGACUUCAAGGUCUUAAUUUCCAAUCUCUUGUUGUUCUUAGUUCUUACAGAAUUUGCUUCACAGAUUCUUAGAGUGCUUGCUCAGACCCUCUGCCAGAGAACUUUCCCGAUCAAUAAUUUGGUCAGGAGUUCUUGUAUGUGCACCCACCACCACCAUGUAGUCGGCCAUUUCGACCGGCACCAAAGAAGCAUAUGAAUCAACUCAAACUCCUUUACCGAAGCAGAGCUCUGUAUCGAGAUUUUCGCUGUGGUUUCUCUGUUUUACUAGACUCCAAAAUCCAGCAUCCUUCCAUAUUUUCCUCGCAUCUGGGAACCAAAAUAAAGCAUGUGCCACAAUGAAAUCUCUAAGUGAUUAACAUAGGAGGAGCCAUUGUAAUUCUUCUUUAAAUAAAGUCAUAAGAUUGUUGGUUAAGGGAUUCCUUCAAAUAUAAUAGAAGAAGAGAGAUGGUAGAUUUUCAUGUAUAUCAAAUCGAAACAGCAAUCUCUCCACAUAUGGAUGUUAGUAGGCCUUUCAUGGGCGGACCCAAGAAGGGUCCCCUAGGGUUACUUGAUCCUCCAGUUUUUUCAACACUUUUUUUUUUUUUUUUUUGUCUUAGUUUUCGGGCUCACUAUGAAAUUUCAAAUGAAAUUGAAAUACUAUAUUUUUAAUAUCAUUUUGAAGUACUCACAGUCUAGUAUUUUCAUAUCGUUAAUGUUGUGUGAAAUAACCAAUCGUAGCAAAUGUUAUGACGCGUCAAAAUAGACAAUUUCAAAUUAAUAUUUCGAGAAUUUCGAUAACGAACUAACUUUAAAAAUUUUUCGACAACUAUACACUAGUCAUAUACAUAAAUCUUCUAUAUCCUCUUGAAGCUCAUUUCUAAAACUAUAUCAUAAACACAUUGAAUAAUCUAAAUAAAUAUCGAAAAUAGUUAAACGUACGUCAAACGUGUAUGCUAAAAAGAAACGUAUAACUUGUCUUUUUUGAAAAAAAAAUCAAUUAUUUUAUUAAUGCUUAUUAUUUUUGUGCGAAAAAUUUCUCAAUAUAAUUUACAUCAUUUAAUUAGGAAAUUUUAUAUGUGGUAUGAAGUCAAAUUUUUUUUUUUUUGACGUAAAAAUUCUUUAAAAAUUUUUUAUUACUUCAUAGGGGUUAAAAUUAUUAUACUACGUUUUCUUGGUUAUUUUUAUUUCUGAAAAAAAAUUUACAUGUAAAAAAAUUCAAUCAUUUUUAGGAAUUUUUUUAUAAUUGUUAUCUUUUCUUCUCGAUCAAUUUUUUUUUUCAAAUGACUCAAAAAUUAUAUUAGGAAAUUUAUUAGAUUAAUUUUUAAAAAAUUAAUGAUUGAGAGAAAAAAGUAACAAUAAUAAUAAAAAAUCCUAAAAAUGAUAAAAAAAAUUUAUAUAUAUAUAAAAAAAAAUUAGAUAUAAAAAUAAUCAAGAUGAAAAAGUAGUAUAACAAUUUAUAACCAAUAUAAAGUAAUAAAAAAAAUUCGUCUUUUUUUUUUUUUAAUUUGAUUGUGACCCCCUAAUAUAAAAUGUCUACGUCCACCUCUGACGCCUUUCCAAAGCGUUGCAAAUCUAUUCAUGAUUACAAUCAUAUAAUGGUGGCUGCUGGGUUUAUAUAGUACACACAAAAGACAAUGGAAAAGGGAGGCUGGAAGAGAAGAAAAUAAAUGGCGGCUGCUAUAGAAGAAAGUUGUGGUUGCCAGAGAAAGUUUUUCUUUCAACUCAACUUUGGGUGUGGAAUUCACGCAUGCUUUUAUUUUUAUUUUUAUUUUGCUUCGCUACAUAGUACAAAUUGUGAAUUGCUCUAAAGUAUAUUUUGGUAAUUCUAAAGAUGUAGUAUUCAAAGUAGGUAUCUCACAAAUUUCAUCAAAGUGAUUGUUUGUGAUGAGAUUAUUUCUUGUCCUUGGAGAUUGAUUAUUGUGGUAUUCUCCAAUUUGUUGACAAUUCAAAUUUUUGCUUAAAUUUGAAUAUUGUAAUAUAUAUUUAUCAAUUUGGAUUUGGCUUGAGUUAUCCCAUGAUUUUUUCCUGUACACUGGAGGGUUUUUCCAUGUAAAAAUUUGGUGUUGCGUUCUCUAGUUUUUUGCUUUGAUAAUUUACUUUCAUAUUUAAUCAUUGUAUUUAAUUGCUUGGAUUGUUGAAUUUAUUCUUGAAAUAUGCGAAAUUGCUUGGAUUGUUGAAUUUAUUCUUGCAAUAUGUGAAAUUGCCCAACACCUUGGUCCUUCUCAGGUCGCUGCAUCAAUCAUCACUAUACGGAAUUUUUUAGUAAUUGCUACUUGCUAAGUGAUAGGAUAAUUGGUAAUCUGUGAGUUUUUAAUUCCUUUGUUAGCUAAGCAUCAUUCCUAAAUUCAUGAACAUGCCUUGUAGCAUUUUUCUGUGUAUAUAUUCAACAAGACGGGAUGAAAAGAUUCAAGCUUCCCUUCUCAAUUUCUGUUCGACUUUUUAAUUUGCUAUAUGCAUAUUUCCAGAAGCCACUAAGUUAAUACGAAACAAAUAGAAAAAGGAAAUUUUUCUAUUACUAAACGUUGCAAGCUAUACAAUGGACAUAACAUUGCAAGUCAUGCAUUUGGAUGUUUUUAAAGACCAAAACAAACUGCUCCAUUGGAUGAGUAUCACAAGUUAAAAAUUCUACAAUGAAUUUUUGAUGUGGUGCAAAAGGAAUUGGACUUUAUGGAAAAGUGGGAUCGACGCAAGCAAAAAUAGAUAACUUCUCAAUUUUUGGAGAAAUGUUGGGGUUGUCCAUUUUUGGCUAAAUUUUAGUCAAAUUUGAUCGAAAACAUGUCAAUGAACAAAACUCAGCAGUUUUCCAUCUGAUGUAGGCCCAAUUUCGGCCCAAUUCUUUUGUUUAAGCUUUUUUCCUUUUUUGGUAAAUUUUGUUUUGGUUAUAUUUUUUUCAAUUUAAGUCAGAUUUGAAUUCCAUUUGUUGGAGGAUAAUCUUUAUGAUUAAAACUUUCAAUUUUAGUCAUUAUCUCGAUUUUUUCAAGUUUUGAAAAAAAAAUUAUUAUUAUUUUUUAUUUUUUCGAAUUUUCCUAGGGUUUUUCCUAUAUAAAAGCAUUGUAAGCCCUUUAUGGUCACGCUUUUGAGAGAAAUAGAUUUUUUUCAUGAGUUUUUUUCAUCUUGUUAGAUCUAUUCAUCUUUUCUAUAAUUUUCCGCUACGUCAAUUUUGGAAACAAAUCAACUUAUUCCAAAAUGACUAGGCCAAAACAUCGAAAUAAGUUAAAUCAUAGUCUACGUUAUUUCUUUCACGACGUAUAUCAUAUACUUCAAAUGAGCCAUUAUAUGUAUUUUAUGUUGGCGAAACUAUGAAACUGUGUAGAGUAAAUUUACAACAAUUACUAUUGUUAGGAAAAGUAUUUUAGUGCCACUGUUUCAGAAGUUACAUGACAUAUUGGCCUCUUAUUUGGUGAAACAAGAUUUUUGGAAUUGUAUGUGGAUCACAUUAUAGGGUUGCAACCAAUUGAUCUUGCUUUAUUUGACUCUUGCACUACAAUGGAAUUCAUUGAUUCUAUAUGUAGAAUUUCUAUUCAAAACUGGCUCAAUUCGGCUCGAUUCUGAAGAAAACCAGACCAAACAAGGUCGCUUCAUAGUUAACCUACAUUCAUUUUUUUCAAAACCUCAUUCAUUUUUUUCUGUAUUUUUUCUCUGCUCAUGCAAUUUGGAUCAAACAAAAUAUUUGAGAUAAUCUUUUCAAGAAAAAUAAUAAAACACAGCAUUCACAAAUAUGUAACUAAUGCCAAGAUUUCUAUCUGUGAAAGUUGUGACAGUAGGUAAUUCAAAAAUUAUUAUGAAGAUAGUGGAACUUAUUGAUGGAUACAGAUUUGUAUUAUUACCUCCGUCGUUUGUUGACUACAAGUUCACCAAGUUGCAACAUCAAAGGUAAUGCUAUCAACAAUGAGCAAUAAUGCUUACCAAAACAACAUCAAAUUUAUUUGUUAUCUUGCUCAAUCAUGCGCAUUAAUCUAGCAUAUGAAACAUACAAUAUAUUUCCCUAUGCAUAUAAACUGUCUCGAAAUUUUACUCUAAUUUACGAUUUAUAAUCAACUUUUGUGGAAUUGGCACUCUAUUAUUAAAAUUCAAUUGUGUGUAUCAUUUUUAUACACAUAUCUUGAGGUUUGUGAGAACCUAAAAUAUUUUGAGAAAAUGCUUCUUUGUGAUAAAAUGGUUAUGACAUGGGAGAAAAAAGAGGAGUGCGUCUGUGUAGGGGUGGCGGUGGUCAUGGUUGGCAACUAGGGGCGGAAUUAGAGGUGGGCUAGGCUGGGCUAUACAUUUAUUUUCUUAUAAAAAUAUAUUUUAUGACUAAAAAAAAUUAUGUGAAAUUUUUUUCUUUUACAGUUAGCCCAACAUAAAAGAUAUUUUAGUUCAGUCAUGGCUCCGUCUUUUAACAAUGACGACGUUGAUUAGGAAGGAUUUGUUAGGUGGAGUUUGGGGUGAAAUGUAGAAGAUAUUGAAUUUAUUUUUCUCUUUUUCUUUCUUUUUCAUUUUGGCUAUUUAGUUAUUUUUUAAGUGGUUUAAGUGUGUGGACUAUUUUUGUCCUUCCUUAAAAGUCAUGUGCAAGUCUGCAUACUUCACUUAACGGCUGCUUUGGAUGAAAGUCGUUUAGAGGGGAAUUAGUCCUAUUUGGUAUUGAUUAAAAUCAAAAUUUUAAUUUAAGACAAUGUCAACAAACAAUUUUAAUCGCUUAUCUCAUUGAUUUCACAGCUUUUCAAUCAUUUAUUUCAUCAAUUUUUAUUAAAAUAUUCUAAAAAUCUUAUUUUAAUUCUCAUCAAAUAGAUGCUUAAGUUUGCUAAUUUUUCAAAGAUCAAGGGCACAAACCGAACAAAACAUGGUUUGGGAGUAGGUUUGCUACUUUGCUUAAAAGUUGGGACUAAAAUUAGUUUCAUGUGGUGCGUGUUGGGAAAGUGAUUAGAUAAAUAUUUGAUAAUUAUAGUGGUGAUAUCUAUAUAAUAUAUGGACAAUAAAUGAACGAUGCAUAUGAAUAUUAUGACAUACAAAAAUAAAAACAUAAAUUUAAUCCACUUAAAUUAUAAGAGCACUGCUACAUUAACAGGGUCACAGACACCUUGUCAAUAGGAGGACAUGUAUCCCCUUGAAAAAACAAGGCCCAUGUGGCCUUGUUUGAGAAGAGUUAUACAAGUUAUAAUUCAAUCACUUGUGCAAAAUUUGUAAAAAGUGACAUUUUUCAAAAUGUGCUUAUCACAUCAGAUGGAAAUUCAUUUCCAACUUUGAUCAUUCAUUAUUUGGCGCACAAUACCAUGGAACUCCGAAGUCCAAAGUAGUCAACGAAGUUGGAAAUUAUCAUAAAUGAAUAUCAAUUCUUUCAACAGUGCAUUUCAAAUUUUCAGUAAAGCCUAAAGUAGUGAUUUGAAGGUUUUUGUAAUUUACUAAUAAAUUAGGAGUAAAAGAACAAUGGAUCUUGAUAAAAUGGUUAUGACAUGGGAGAGAAAAGAGGAGUGCGUCUGUGUAGGGGUGGUGGUGGUCAUCUGAUACUUUAGGUUUGUGACAACCUAAAGUAUUUUGACAAAUGAUGAAGCGUUUUCUUACCAUGGGCUCGUAAUGUGCAAUUCAAGUCAUUUUUCCUCUAUAUAAAAUUAAAAACAAAUACCAAAUUUGCAAAAACCAAAGUUUAAAUUCAUCACUUUUAAUAUAGUGUUACAUAGUCUAAAAUCAAACACACACCUAUAUUUAACAUAGAAGAUUUCGAAGAAUAAAAGUCACAUGAUCGAGUUAGGAACUUUUCAAUGGUAAGUUAGAAUAAAAGAAAAGAAAAAAUAGUAAAACAGUGUAGGAAUUUGUCAAGAAAAUGUCUUUCCAAAUGAAUCUUUUGGAGCUCUACAUUUUUUAGAUAUUUCAUUUUAAACUAAUUUCACUAAGAUUGAUCAAUUUAAUCCCAAAUAAUUUAAAAUAUUACAAUAUUCUAACAUAACUCUGCCAAACACAAAACAAUAUAGAUAUAUAAAGAUUUUUUGUCACGUACUCAUAUUGUAGCAUUCAAGUUAUUUCGCAACAUCCUUUAAAGAAAGGAGAAUUUUUUUUUUUUUUUUGAAGUGAUUGUGCUAAAUAAUAAGAAACAAUAAGUGGAUAUUAGAUAUUAAAUUGUAACGGACAUUAAAAUUGAUAAUAUUUUAAAGGAUGAAAGUUAAAUAAUGCAGGUAAAAGAUCACUAAGCAAUGGGGGUGAUAGAAAUAAGAAACAGAAAUUUCUAUUAAGCAACAGAAAUAAGCACCAUUGCAGUUUGAAAUCUAUCUUAAUUUGAACUAUAUCAAUAUGAUACUAAACUAACAAGGUAGUUGAUUAGUUUCUUAAGGGAAAUUGGCACAAAACGUCCCUACCUUUCAAGUGUAUUGUGGAAAACAUCCCUACCUUUCAUUUUUUGGCACAAAACGUCCCUACCUUCCACUUUCUUGGAGCUGAACGUCUUUUUCAUCAAUUUUUGACGAUUUUACCCUCCAUUCAAAUAAAACAAAAAGAAAAGAAAGGAAAAAAAACAAAAAACUAAUUGCAACCACAUUCCCAAAUUUUCUAAAAAUUGCAAAUGGUAACUUGAUAAUUACCGUAUUAAAUAAAUUGAAAAAAAAUAAAAAACUUCAGAAAAAAAUUUAAAAAAUGGGUUGUCUUCUUCACCCUACCCUACUAUUCAUCUUCUUCUUUGUAAGAAAAAAAAUUAAGAAAGAGAGACAGAGAGAGACUUUCCCCCAAAAUAAUUAUUUUGGUGCACAACAAAUCCUCCAAAUCCGAAGCCCCAUUACAUCUCUCUGCACUUCCCCUCUUUGUACAAGCUCCUUCAUUUUCAUAUCCAGUAUCAAACCCCAUUGUGCAGAGAGAUGUAAUGGGGCUUCGAAUUUGAAGGAUUUGCUGUGCAGAGAUAUUUUGUAUGGUGGGGUGGGGUGAAUAGUAGUGUAGGGUGAAGAAGACAACCCAUUUUUUUAAAUUUUUUUCUUAAUUUUUUGAUUUUUUUUUCAAUUUAUUUAAUAUGGUAAUUAUCAAGUUACCAUAUGCAAUUUUUAGAAAUUUUGGGAAUGUGGUUGUAAUUAGUUUUUUGUUUUUUUUCCUUUCUUUUCUUUUUGUUUUAUUUGAAUGGAGGGUAAAAUCGUCAAAAAAUGAUGAAAAGGACGUUCAGCGCCAAGAAAGUGGAAGGUAGAGACGUUUUGUGCCAAAAAAUGAAAGGUAGGGAUGUUUUUCACAAUACACUUAAAAGGUAGGAACGUUUUGUGCUAAUUACCCUUUUCUUAAUUAUUACAUAUCAUUAGCAUUAAGCUAGCGGUAAUUAAACAACAGUAUAGCAUUUUUUAUGCCCCGAAAUAUUAAGAUUCGGCACAUGUAAUUGCUUGAUUAAAAUAUAUAUGAAUGAAAAUAAUUCGAUAAAUAAGCUAAAAUUUAAUGGACAAGGUCUUGAAAUCGAAAAUCGAGCUAAUCUUUAUCCAAAAUCAAAAAUAAACUUAAAAGAAUGAAAGAAAGAAGACUUAUUCACGAAAAUUAAAAUAUUACCGGGGUUUGGAUUGAAAUCGACGAUCAGAAAUUAAUUUGACUAGUUAGUGAUUUUUUUUUUUUUUUCGAUUAUAAAUUUAUAUGGAAGAAAGAAACUAAAAUUUGUCUUUUUUGAAUUUAAAAAAUGGUUGGAACUAAUAUAUCAAUGUAAAAUACGUUAUCCACUAGCUUUUAUAAAUAAACGACGUCAAAAUAAGAACUCAUGAUCUUUACUUACUUCGAAAUCGUGUUGAACGAAAAACGUAAUAUAUAUUAAUGACCUGUCUCACAUGCCUUUUGUUUUUGAACCCUAUAGAAUGAUUUUUGAAGUUACCUUAAUUAUUAUUUGAAAAUUAAUCUUUAAAAGAGUUUCCUAAUUUGAAUGUACUUUUGGAGUAAGUCAUAUUAGACCAAAAUUCUCUAAAAAUUAUUAAAAACCAUACCUUCAUCAUCCGAUAGUCUAUGCACAGUUGCUGAAGUGCGGGCAGGGAAUCAAAGAACUCAAUGAAGUUAUAUUUUCUAUGAAUGAUAGAAUUGUAACACAGAGUAGUUAAGGAUUUCUUAAAAUAAACAUAUGCACGGAAACAUUUCAAUUUAACGAGUUUUAGCUUAGGAGCAUCAAUUGUUAAGUGGUGAAAUCCACUCGGACAUGCAACGCCAGUUGCUCCAGUUCUGGUGAGCUAGAUAUCAAACUUCCUAAUACAUCAGUAUCAAUGAUGACAUCAAGCAAUUCCAGUGUAAUCAGCCUAUUUAAACCUUUGAAGCUUGGCAGAGGACUGAUCGAACAAGUAGAAAGUUUCAAAUGUUUCAAUAGUGAACACAUAAACAGUUAAGAAGGCAAUUUGUACGCUUCAUACUUGUUCAUUUUCAAAGUGAAUUCUUCAAUACCUUUCUUCCAUAAGAUAUAUAUCAAAUGGUCAAUUUCAGAACCACCUGUGAGUUUUGGAAUAAUGAGGCUCGACUUAGUUAGGAUCCUUGGUGAAGUCAAAGAAUCUGGUAAAGGAUCCCUGCAAACUUCAUUCUAGCCAAUUCUUGGUUUCUCUCUGAUUCUUGCCAUAACGUAUCAUCAAAUAUCAGCUGUGGCAGUUUGACCCAUUUAUACCUCCAUUGCUUUGACAAGACACAUUAAUAUGAUCGCUAUGACAUUAUCAGGAAGAUCACUUAUCAUAUCAACAGGUUGGAAUUGGUCAAUCUUCAUUCUGCUAUGUAAUUGGCGAACAAAAUUCUGUAAUAACUCACAAUUAAUGAAAAUAUCAAAUUGCCUUAACUAACUUGCAUGCAUGCAGAAGAUAUUAACAAAUUCAACAUGAAGUUUACACAAUUUUGUUCGCUUUAUUUUAGUUUUUUACACCAAUAUUUUAAUAGUUAAAUUGGUCAUAUGACUAAGAAAUUAGAGAUAAUAUUCACAGUUGAUAUUUACAUUUGCUUAUGCUUGAAAUAUAAUUUCGAAAUUGCAAUAGCAAAAAAUUCAAGUGCUUAUUCACACCAAUCUUUAGUUUGUUGUUAUUCUUAGUGGUGGACAAGGGUGGCCAACUGCUUAAGUGCAUUCUUAGUAGUGGACAAGGGUGGCCAACUGCUCAUUCUAAUAAAGUAUGAACAAACAAUAAAAUAAGCACCUCAUAUAGAUUAUUUCAAGUUUUAUUGAAUUGUAUGCAUAUUAUAAUUAACUUUAAUUGGCCUGUCAAUGGCCUUGGACUUUCAAGGUAUAAUCCACUACAAUAUCUUAUUAAUCACAAUGAUUAUAAUUAACAAUAAGCAUUAAACAUAUCAUUAGGCAAUAUUAUAUUUUCAAAAAUUAGGAAAAGAGAAAUGUGAUGUUACAUGUUAAAAUUAAUUUUUUUUUUUUAAAGUUAAUUUUGAUAAAAAUUGAUGCAAUAUGUGCUUAGAAAGUUAUGAAUAUUAUAAAAUACGUGAACUAAAUGAAUUAUUGAUUUUCACUUUGAUAAAAAUCUAAAUUUUAAUUCUCAUCCAACAUACCUACUUACCCACAUAUGCUUCAUAUGAGCUGUGCAACACACUCUCCUUAAUAAUUAGUUAAUUACUAUUACAAACUGAAUCCAAGAAAACAUAGAUGAAAUCAUAAAUUCGCAGAUUACACCAUAAAUCCUAAAUCACAACAUCAAGGCUUAGAUCUUUCAAUCGAAGGCUCAGACCACACCCAUUUACCAUCACAGAGGCACCGGGACUCAAAAACGAACCCUCACAACCCAACACACCAAGGUCACUUCACUGGACUCAAGAAAUCAAACUGCCUACCUUCGAUCGAUCACUCACACAAAGGAAAAUCACACAAGAACAUGAUUAUCACAAAGAUAAUCAACCAGAAAUCUCACAAAGAGAAGAAGGAAGGGUCACACAGACAAAGGAACUCGAAGGUUCCAAACGGCAGAGAGAAAGAGAAAAACAGAAAGUGACGAUCCAAGAGCCAAACAGGGAGUAAGGAGGAUAUUUAUAGUAAAUAUCAUCAACCGUUGAUCAGCGGGUCAAUCCAACGGUCCAAGAGCGACUAAUGGUGUGUGGGCUGGAUAUUGGGCUCGGUUAAGUGGGCCUUCUAGGUAUAUAUUUAAUGGACCAAGUAAUAAAUCCAAUUUGGGCCUUUUCAUCAUUGCCUAACGUUGGACUGGAUCAAAUGGCAUCACAGCCCAACAAUUACUUUACAAGUCUUCUUUCUUCUUCCGUUUACAUUUCAUUCCCCUUUCUGGUUCAGAGCUACAACCUCCAUUUCCAUGACUUCUAAGCUAUAAGCUAAUCAAAAUUUUUUGUUUUUUGCUUCAGUGAUAGCGUCUAUUAUGCUUUAAACAAAAAUUUAGAGGGUAGACAACGUUCGCUUUCACUAUCUUUCUUUUUCCCUGCCAUUCGAACAUCCUCUCCUUUCCUUGCAAUGGAUAUCUCGUCCACUGAUCCGUUUACUACUCCUAUAGAUCUCCUUGAAAUUGUGAUCGACCAAAUAUCACGUGUCUCCUCCUCACAUGGACAUGUAAUUAAUAAGUUAAUUGUUUUUCAAGGAUUACUAUACUGUACAGACUUCGAAGAUAUUGAAGAAAUCAGAAACUAUUUCGAACUGUUAGCGUCAUUUGGGCAAGAGCUUAUGGUGUUCUUUACAGUCCCUAACCAACAAAUCUUUUCCAAUUUAACUCCCACGCUCAAUUCUAAUGAAGUUGUCGUGGCCUUCAUCAACUUUCUCCUCUUAAUGGUAGAAGUCAUCAUACAUUUUAAGGAAGAUUCGAUUGCUCGUGUAAAGGGUUCGUUCCAAAAUCUCCGGACAGAGCUUGGAUUUCUUAUCAGUUUUCUUGGGGAUACAGCAAUGCAUUUGCAGCCCACCAAGACUAUGUUGAUUGAUAUUGAAGACGUGGUCAAUGAGGUAGGAAGUUUCUUGUAUUUCUUACUUUUGUCCAUUGUUGUAUUCAUUCUGAUCAGUAAAGAAGAAGAAGAAGCCUGUACUAGAAAAAUGGAUUUGGAAUUUGUGGUUAAUGAGGUACAAAGUCUAUUUCAUUCCAACUUUUUCCACUUACCAUUGCUCUCCACUAUGGUGAAGGGAAGAAAGGGAAAAAAGGGAAGAAAGAUAAGAAAAAAACAGAAAAAGGCAAUGAUGGAUAUCAAAGCUCUGCUCCAUGAGAUAGGAAGUUUAUUAGGUUUCUUCUUCAUUUUCACCAAGAAUGAUCAAGUUAUGGAGACAGGAAUGUUGGGUCUUGCUCUUUCUCAUUUGUUAGCAAAGUUUGAGACCUUGAAAACAAAGAUCAAGGAGCACUGCAUCACAGUCUCAAAGAUGCCAAGUGAUAUGGCUCCAAAGGCUGGAGUGGUUUCACUCUUUAUUAUUGAUUCCGUCCUCGAUGAUCUCAUGGAUCUAACAAAUAACAAGUCUAACUCGACUGUUGUUGUGAAUGAUCAAAUUGUAAUGCUCCAUGAGGAGCUAAUGUUAUUGGGAUCAUCCAUCACGGAUAUAGUAUUGCAGCACGAAGCAAAACAUGAAGAACUUGUGACACGGAGCAGAGACAUAGCAUAUGAAGUUGAAUAUGUUAUCAACUCAUUUCCUCAUGUUUGGUAUCUUAGUCUUCGGCUUCCUCAACUCAUUGACAAGAUUCGGCUUAUUGUGAUGGCUGUCAAAGAAAUGAAGAACAAUAUUGAUGUAGCUAGAAUGUCAAAUGUUUCAAAACAUCCACAUGAACACAUAGAGUCACAGUCAAAAGAACCUCCCAUUUUGGAAGACAUUGUUGUGGGAUUUGACAAUGUAGCAAUUGAAAUUGCAGAACAACUUGUUGGAGGAACAUGCCAGCUGCAAGUUAUUUCCAUCUUUGGGAUGUCUGGGCUUGGUAAGACGACCUUGGCAAAUAAAUUAUAUAAACAUCCCUCCAUUUUAUACCAUUUUUACAAGCGUGCCUGGUGUGCUGUUUCUCAAAUAUAUAAUAAGAAAAAUUUGUUGAUUGAAAUUUUGAGCUCAAUGAGUAACAGUAAGAGGGAUACAUACAUGAAAAAGGAGGAAGAAAGCUUGGUUGAAGAUCUUUACAAAAACUUAAAAGGAAGGCGAUACCUCAUUGUGGUAGAUGAUAUAUGGGAUAUCAUUGUGUGGAGUGAUUUGAAAAGAUGUUUUCCAGAUGACGGAAUUGGAAGCAGAAUCUUAUUCACUACUCGAAAUAAAGAAGUGAGUUUGAAAGCUUCACCUCGUAGUGUCAUAAAUGAACUUCCUUUUCUGUCGGAAGUUGAGUGUUGGGAAAUAUUACAAGGGAAAGUGUUCCAAGAUAGAAAAUGUCCUCAGGAAUUGGUAGACAUUGGCAAGCUAAUUGCAAAAAACUGUCAUGGCCUACCACUUGCAGUGGUCGUAAUAUCUGGAGUUCUUGCAAACAUGGAGAAGAAAAAACACUUGUGGAAAAAAAUUGCAAAAAAUUUAAGUUCACAUAUAUCUGAAAUACCAGAGAAGUGCAUCCAAACAUUGCAACUUAGCUACAACCAUCUACCAAUGCAUUUGAAACCAUGUUUUCUUUACUUAGGAGCAUUCAGAGAAGACACAAAUAUCCCUGUACGAAAGUUGAUAUCUCUCUGGGUUGCCGAAGGAUUUAUAAAGAAGGAAGAACAUAAGAACAUAGAGGACGUGGCACGAGAAUAUCUAAUGAAACUAAUUGAUAGGAGCCUAGUACUCGUUGCUGAAAGAAGAUAUGAUGGAGGAGUCAAAACAUGCAAGAUUCAUGAUCUAUUGCGUGAAAUGUGCUUGAGCAUAGCUGAAGAAAAUAACUUUUUGAAGUUGAUCAAAGAGUAAGUUCAAUGUUUCUCUUCUAUUUCCUUUCCUUUCUGUCCAUUUUUUUUUUUUUUUUUUUUUUUUUAUUAAAAAAAAAAAAAAAAAACAAAAAAUUGUCCAUUUUUUUUUUUUUUUUUUUAGCUUACUAAGAAUGGUUAUUAUAUUUGAUGAUCGUAAACAAUGAUAUGGUUAUGUUGUUUUGUUACCAGUAAUGAUGAUGAUGAACAACGGUUGUUCAGUCAAGUAUCAACGUAUCAGCGGCACCAUCGUCUGAGUAUCAACUGUGCAAAAUAUCCUAGCUCGCUACCUGUUGGCCUACAUGUACGCUCUCUUCUAUUUGAUUUGGAUUUUAUGAGCUCCAUCAAAUUAAUCUCAUGCAGCUACAAAGUUCUUAGGGUCUUUUGUGGAUGGUCACUGUAUGAUUUUCUAAUAGGAUUUGAAUAUCUGGUUCACUUGAGGUACUUGGAAAUUUCAUGUACACUGCCACCAAUGGAAAACUUCCGCAAAUUAGAAUUUCUUGUUGUGUACAAUGAUGAUGAAAUUGAAAUACCUGAGAUCCUUCUUAAUAUGGUGAGUUUGAGACACAUGGAGUUUAACGGUGGUGCAUACUUCAGUGAAUCUAGCCGUCAGCUAGCAACUAACAGUAAGAGCUUCCAAAUAAAUAACCUACAAAGUAUUUCUGCACUCUCAAUUUAUGAUGAAAUGGAUGAGAAAAUUUUGAGAAGUUCACCCAACCUUCGCAGAGUACAAGUUAGCAUUGAGAAUUUAUUAAAUUGUUCCUUCAACUUCCUUUAUCAGCUCGAAUCACUGAAGCUAUCAACAGAAUACAAUACGCUUUAUUGGCGUUCCAGUCUGAUCAGUUUGCCCUUAAAUCUAAAAAAAUUAACUCUAGUUUGUGUAUAUCUGUCUCGAAAACAAAUGGAGAUAAUUGCAAGAUUGCCAUGCCUUGAGGUUCUCAAAUUAGUAUCUGCUGCCUUUGAGGGAGAACAAUGGGACACAAGUGAAAGUGAAUUCCCUCAACUUAAAUACUUGAAACUUUGUGGUGUAAAAAUUGCAGAAUGGAAUGCCUCAAGUGAUAAUUUCCCAAGGCUUCAACGAAUAGUAUUGGAAUAUUGCGAGAAUCUAAAGAUGAUCCCUUCUAAUUUAGGUGAUAUUCCAACAUUACAGAAGAUUGAGUUAUUUAUGUGUGGUCAAACUGCAAAUGAAUCAGCUAAGAAAAUUGAGGAAGAACAAAAGGAGAUGGGGAAUGAAAAGUUUGAAGUCACAAUCUCUAACACAUUCGAUGAUAUUGAAGCCAUUCUCUCACCCAUUUCCCCGCAGGAGAUGAAGGAAUUCUACGGGAGCGAAAUUCAGAAGGUACAAAUGAAGGAGAAUCUCUCCAUUAAUUCUCUUUCACGUUCUCAUCUUAGUGUUGUUAUACUAGAAUGAAACAUCAAAUAAAUUUUUGGCUAAUAUUGAAAUUAAUGGAUUAAAAUCAUAUUUUUAGUAGAUUUUCAUGAAGUUUGAUAAAAUGUGUGAUUAAAAAGUUAAUAAAAGUUACAAGUCUCAUAAAAUGUGUGAUUGAAAAUAAGUUUGGGAAAAAAAUGAGUUACAAAAAAUUGGGGCCAAACAGGAGCUAAGGUUGGCUCUACUCUAUGAGCCUCUUAAUGUCAUUCUAAGAAUUACUAGCCCAUAAGGUUCUAUGUUUUUGGCAUUGAUUCUCUAUUAUUUCAGCUUUUCAUAUUUUUCUACUAUAUAAUCGUGUUUACAUAAAAUCACAAUGAUCACAUUUUCACUUCUAGUUCAAUUAAGUCCUCGAAAGAAUUUGUUUAUUUAGCCUAAGUCGCCCAUUAAUUGCAUAGGCAGUCCUUCAAUGUCCAAACUUGAUACCUUAGUCCUUGAUUCCAAAUUCCAUCUAACUUCCAUCCAUCUUGGUCAAAUAUCGCCCCUUUUUAUUCUUUCUUGUUCAAUACUGAUUUUUUUCCUAAAAUAAUCAAUAAACACACAGAAUUAAGUUUUCUAGCUCAUAGUGAUCUUGCAAAAAAGCUGACUGUGUUGAAAUAAAGGUGUACCCAUUAGUUUACAAGCUUGUAACAUUGGCGUUAAUUCUUUCAGAAGUCCAUUCUCGGUGAUUGAGAUUUUCAAGAAUCGAUUGCAUAAUUGGAAAGGAGAUCAAUGGUUGAGCGACACUUUGAUGGCGUAUAUUGAGAACGAUGCAUUUGCCACUAUUGAUAAUGAUGUAAUUAUACUAUGUUUUCAAUGUAUUAAAAUUUGUAUGCGGCAGUUAUAGUAAUGUAUUGACUUAUUUUCGUUAAUAUAUUGUUUUUUUAGAAAAAAAUUGUAUCUUAAUUUUUGAUCCUACAAUGAAAAUUGUGUGGCUCCGCCAAUGUUAUUAGGCUUGAUUAAAACAAUUAUCUUUGGUGGAAAAAUCAACUUCUGAAUGUUAUAAUGGCUAGUGGAUUAGAGGGUUUUAUUGAUGGUACAUAUACUUUCCCCCCACAGUAAGCAGCACAUAUACUUUCCCCCCACAGUAAGCAGCAUGGCAGAGGUUUAAUAGGCUUGUAACGAGUUUGAUUUACAACUCACUAAGGAAUUAUGGCUUCAGUAGUGAGUGGAUUUGAUUACUGCUGAUGAUAUCUGGACUUCGGGUCGAAAUUUUUAUUAACUUUUCAGAAUUAUGACUUCAAGCUCUUAAUUUCCAAUCUCUUGUUGUUCUUAGUUCUUACAGAAUUUGAUUCACAAAUUCUUAAGAAUGCUUGCUCAGACCCUCUGCCAGAGAACUUUCCCGAUCAAUAAUUUGGUCAGGAGUUCUUGUUUGUCCACCCACCAUCACCAUGUAGUCGGCCAUUUUGCCCUGCACCAAAGAAGCAUACGAAUCAGUUCAAACUCCUUUACCCGAGCAGAGCUCUGUUUUGAGACUUUCGCUGAGGUUUCUCUGUUUUAUUAGAAUCCAAAAUCCAGCAUCCUUCCAUAUUUUCCUCGCAUCUGGGAACCAAAAUAAAGCACGUGCAACAGUGAAAUCUCUAAGUGAUUAACAUAGGAGAAGCCAUUGUAAUUCUUCUUCAAAUAAAGUCAAAAGAUUGUUGGUUAAGGGAUUCCUUCAAAUAUAAUAGAAGAAGAGAGAUGGCAGAUUUUCAUGUAUAUCAAAUUGAAACAGAAAUCUCUACAUAUGGAUGUUAGUACGCCUUUCCAAAGCGUUACAAAUCUAUUCAUGAUUACAAUCCUAUAAUGGUGGCUGCUGGGUUUAUAUAGUACACACAAAAGACGAGGGAAAAGAGAGGCUGGAAGAGAAGAAAAUAAACGGCGGCUGCUGUAGAAGAAAGUUGACUGUGGGUGUGGAUUUGACGCAUGUUUUUUUUUUUUUUUUUUUUUUUUUUUUUUUUAAUUUAGUACAAAUUGUGAAUUGCUCUAAACUAUAUUUUGGGUACUCCAAAGGUGUAGUAUUUCACAAGUUCCAUCAAAGUGAUGGUUAGUGAUGAGAUUAUUUCUUGUCCUUGGAGAUUGAUUAUUGUGGUAUUUUCCAAUUUGUUGACAAUUCAAAUUUUGGGACAUAAACUUAAAUAUUAUAAUCUAUAUUUAUUGUAGUGGAUUUGGCCAGAGUUGCCCCUUGGUUUUUUCAUGUACACUGGAGGGUUUUUUCCACGUAAAAUUUUGGUGUUGCUUUCUCUAGUUUUUUGCUUUGAGUAUUUACUUUCAUAUUUAAUCACUGUAGUUAAUUGCUUGAAUUGUUUAAUUUAUUCUUGCAAUAAAUGAAAUUGUCCAACACCUUGGUCCUUCUCACUUUUCAGAUUGCUGCAUUUUUCAGUAAUUGCUACUUGCUAAACGAUAGGAUAAUCAAUAAUCUGUGAGUUUGUAAUUCCUUUGUUAGCUAAACAUCAUUCCUAAAUUCAUGGACGUGCCGCCGUAUAGCAUUUUCUUUGUAUAUAUUCAAUAAUACUAAAUAAAAAGAUUCAAGCUUCCCUUCUUAAUUUCUGUUCGAAUUUUUAAUUUGCUAUAUAUAUGCAUAUAUUUCCAGAAGCAGCUAAGUUAAUACGAAACAAAUAGAAAAAGAAAAUUUUAUUAUUCAAAAAUCUUUCACCCUAUCUAUCCUCAAAGUUCAAAACAGGAGGGGGUGUUUCUCCUUUUUCAGUAUUAUUAUGCAAUUGACUCUUCGUGUAAAGAGUUGAUAGAACUGAUUGACUCAAAAAGAUAAUAUAUAUGGAGGUACCAACAAUAAAUGACAACGUCAUUAUAGUUGAUGACGUAAAAUAAGUAUAACUUUACUGAAAUAAAUGACGGGCAUCAUUUUUUACCGCUAUAUCAUCGACUUCCAAGUGACAGAAUUAGACUAAGAGCAUCUAAGCAUCUGAAUUCCUGAACCCACCAUUCUUUCAAAAGAUUUUUGAUAGGUCAAGUUUGAAUAAAGUUCAUUUCUAUUCAUCAAAUUAAACUACUAGCUCUAUCACAUUUAUCGACCUUUAGUUCAUUCUUAUAGACAUACUCCAUAAGUAUUAGUUAACAUAGUAGGCCAAAAUUGUAGAUUACGUACUUGUCCAUGUAAAUUGAUUUAUCAUAUGAUCUUUUAAUUGUCCACCUCAACUCCUCCAGUAAUUUGUCUUGAAUGUCCAAUAUUUUAAAAGCAUUAAAGCGUCCUUUGUGAUAUCCAAGUUCGAACAAGUAGCUAUAGACAUGUCUUCGAUGUGAUAUUGAAGUAUUAAGAAAUAAAAUUAAAUUGCUUACAAACUAAUUAGUUCACAUCUACCCUUCUACAAUAUAAAGAUAGCUUAGUUGAGCUUGUAUAGAGAGCACAAGUUUUUUGAAAAAGAUAUUUUUCACAACAUAUUCCAAGUAAUCCAGUUUUGAAGUCAACAAAACUGCAAUAUUGUGAUGUGAUCCAAGAAGCACAAGUAACAAAGUCAAGUCCAGAGUCGAGCCCAAGGAAAGAUCCGUUGAUAGUCGAGGGGCCAAUGAAUCUCAGUCUCAAAGAUGCCAAGUGACAUGGCUCCAAAGACUGGUGUGGUUUCAGUCUUUAUUAUUGAUUCCGUCCUCGAUGAUCUCAUGGAUCUAACAAAUAACAAGUCUAACUCGAUUGUUGUUGUGAAUGAUCAAAUUGCAACGCUCCACGAGGAGCUAAUGUUAUUGGGAUCAUCCAUCACGGCUAUAGUAUUGCAGCACGAAGCAGAACAUGAAGAACUUGUGAUACGGAGCAGAGACAUAGCAUAUGAAGUUGAAUAUGUUAUCAACUCAUUACCUCAUGUUUGGUAUCUUUCUCUCCGGCUCCCUCAACUCAUUGACAAGAUUCGGCUUAUUAUGAUAGCUGUCAAAAAAAUGAAGAACAAUGUUGAUGUAGUUAGAAUGUUAGUUGUCUCAAAACAUCCACAUGAGCUGGUAGAGUCAGAGUCAAAAGAACCUCCCAUUUUGGAAGAAAUUGUUGUGGGAUUUGACAAUGUAACAAUUAAAAUUACAGAACAACUUGUUGGAGGAACAGGCCAGCUGCAAAUUAUUUCCAUCUUUGGGAUGCCUAGACUUGGUAAGACGACCUUGGCAAAUAAAUUAUAUAAUCAUCCCUCCGUUUUACAGCAUUUUGACAAGCGUGCCUGGUGUGUUGUUUCUCAAAUGUAUAAUAAGGAAAAUGUUUUG